GGAGAAGCAGAAGCUCGGGCAGGGCGGCUUCGGGCCCGUGUACCGGGGCAGGCUCCCGGUCCCCGACGGCCGGGAGGUGGCCGUCAAGCGGCUCGGCGCCGGGUCCAGGCAGGGCGCGCGGGAGUUCAAGAACGAGGCCAACCUGCUGUCCCGCGUCCAGCACCGCAACGUCGUCAACCUGCUCGGCUACUGCGCCCACGGCGCCGACGAGAAGCUGCUCGUCUACGAGUACGUCCCCAACGAGAGCCUCGACAAGAUCCUCUUCUCCGCCGCCGCCCCGCCGCGCUGUGAGCCCCCGCCAUUCCCUCCCGUGUUUUUGAUUUUAAUCGGUUUGGUUGAUUCGUGAGUGAAUUCGCCCUANNNNNNNNNNNNNNNNNNNNNNNNNNNNNNNNNNNNNNNNNNNNNNNNNNNNNNNNNNNNNNNNNNNNNNNNNNNNNNNNNNNNNNNNNNNNNNNNNNNNUUCUCCCAUUGCAAGAAUCAUAGAUCUAGUUGGCCAAACAAAACCCACAACUCGAAGAGAAUUACAAGGAUAUGAAAUCAUGCAUAAGAGAGAUCAGAAGAGACUCAAAUAAGAUUCAUAGAUAAUCUGAUCAUAAAUCCACAAUUCAUCGGAUCUCGACAAACACACCGCAAAAGAAGAUUACAUCGGAUAGAUCUCCAUGAAGAUCAUGGAGAACUUUGUAUUGAAGAUCCAAGAGAGAGAAGAAGCCAUCUAGCUACUAGCUAUGGACCCGUAGGUAUAUGGUGAACUACUCACGCAUCAUCGUAGAGGUCAUGGUGUUGAUGAAGAAGCCCUCCGUAUCCGAAUCCCCCCUCCGACAGGGCACCAGAACGUGCCCGAGAUGGGAUCUUGUGGAGACAAAAGCUUGCGGCGGCGGAAAAUUACUUUCGAUGAUCUCCUGAUUUUUUAUGGGAUUUUAGGGAAUUUAUAGGCGAAAGUCCUAGGGCAGAGGUGGCCCAGGGAGCCCACAAGCCAGGGAGGCGCGGGCCCCUUGGCCGCGGCUAGGGGGCUUGUGGGGUCCAUGCACACCCCUGCCUUGAUUCUCAGGCUUCCCGAUCUUUUUCUGUUUCGGAAAAAUCUUUUUGGCAGUUUCGUUCCGUUUGGUCUCCGUUCAAAAUCCUCCUCUGAAAGGGGUCAAAAACAUGGAAAAAAAGGAAUUGGCACUUGGCACUGAGUUAAUAAGUUAGUCCCAAAAAAAUAUAUAAAAGGCAUGCAAAACAUCCAAAGAUUGAGAAGAUAAUAACAUGAAACCAUCAAAAAUUAUAGAUACGUUGGAGACGUAUCAAACAACACGCGUGCCAACAACAGGCCUAUGUUUGUCUCUAGCGUGUGGUUUAGCAAUUCUAGCAGCAUCUUCACAAAAGUGAAUAUCAUGGCCAUCAACAUUGUCAGACAAGAGAUCUUUGAUAAUAGCAAUGCUAGGUUCAACUCUAAUUUGCUCAGGGGGUGUAGGUGUUCUAAUGUAGCCUCUACGUAUCACAGUUGAAACUUUAGAAUGAUCCUUUAUCCUAACAGGGAAAGUUGGUUUCUCAAUGUAAGCAUUGGGAACACCAGGAUCAUUAUAGGCAAUGACUCUCUCUUCAACUGGAUUGGGUUUAACUACAUUGACUUCUAAGGGAGGAUGAUAUUUAAACCACUUCUCUUUGGGGAGAUCAAUAUGAGCAGCAAAUGAUUCACACAAUGAAGCUACUAUCUUAGAGUCAAGUCCAUACUUAGCGCUACAAUCACUAAAGGUAUUUGUUUCAACAAAGGAUUUAACGCAAUCAAACUUGAAAUUCAUACCUCACUCCUUACCUUCAUCAAGCUCCCAAUCUUCAUAGUUGCAUUUAAUUCUCUCCAAUAAAUUCCAUUUGAAGUCAAUAUCUCUCUUCAUAAAAGAACCGGUACAAGAAGUGUCAAGCAUGGUGCGAUCAUCAUGAGAAAGACGAGCAUAGAAGUUCUGAAUGAUAAUUUCUCUCGAGAGCUCAUGGUUGGGGCAUGAAUAUAACAUUGAUUUAAGCUUUGAUACGUCUCCAACGUAUCUAUAAUUUUUGAUGGUUUCAUGCUAUUAUCUUGUCAAACUUUGGACGUUUUGUAUGCCUUUUAUAUAUUUUUUUGGGACUAACUUAUUAACUCAGUGCCAAGUGCCAGUUCCUGUUUUUUCCGUGUUUUUGACCCUUUUCAGAGGAGAAUUUUAAACGGAGUCCAAAGGGAAUAAAAUCUGUGGAAUGAUUUUUUCCGUAACAGAAGAUGCACGGGAAACUUGAGAACCAAGGCAGGGGACCUCCGAGGAGGUCACAGGCCCACCAGGCCCGACCUAGGGGGGCGGGCCUACCAGGCUUGUGAGCUCCCCGUGGCUCCCCUGCCCUAGGUCUUCCGCCUAUAUAUUCCCUAAAAUCCCAGAAAAAAUCAGGAGAUCAUCGAAAGUACUUUUCCGCCGCCGCAAGCUUCUGUCUCCGCAAGAUCCCAUCUGGGGCACGUUCUGGUGCCGUGCCGGAGAGGGGAUUCGGAUACGGAGGGCUUCUUCACCAACACCAUGACCUCUCCGAUGAUGCGUGAGUAGUUCACCAUAGACCUACGGGUUCAUAUCUAGUAGCUAGAUGGCUUCUUCUCUCUCUUGGAUCUUCAAUACAAAGUUCUCUAUGAUCUUCAUGGAGAUCUAUCCAAUGUAAUCUUCUUUUGCGGUGUGUUUGUCGAGAUCCGAUGAAUUGUGAAUUUAUGAUCAGAUUAUCUAUGAAUCUUAUUUGAGUUUCUUCUCAUCUCUCUUAUGCAUGAUUUCAUAUCCUUGUAAUUCUCUUUGAGUUGUGGGUUUUGUUUGGACAACUUGAUCUAUGAUUCUUGCAAUGGGAGAAGUGCUUGGUUUUGGGUUCAUANNNNNNNNNNNNNNNNNNNNNNNNNNNNNNNNNNNNNNNNNNNNNNNNNNNNNNNNNNNNNNNNNNNNNNNNNNNNNNNNNNNNNNNNNNNNNNNNNNNNGGAUCACAUCAUUAGGAGAAUCAUGUGAUGGACUAGACCCAAACUAUGAACGUAGCAUAUUGAUCGUGUCAUUUUAUUGCUAUUAUUUUCUGCGUGUCAAGUAUUUGUUCCUAUGACCAUGAGAUCAUAUAACCCAUUGGCACCGGAGGGAUGCCUUGUGUGUAUCAAACAUCACAACGUAACUGGGUGAUUAUAAAGGUGCUCUACAGGUAUCUCCGAAGGUGUCGAUUGGGUUAGUAUGGAUCAAGACUAGGAUUUGUCACUCCGUGUGACGGAGAGUUAUCUCGGGGCCCACUCGGUAAUACAACAUCACACACAAGCCUUGCAAGCAAUGUGACUAAGUGUAAGUAACGUGAUCUUGUAUUACGUAACGAGAAAAGAUACUUGCCGGUAACGAGAUUGAAAAAGGUAUGCGGAUACCGACGAUCGAAUCUCGGGCAAGUAACAUGCCGAAGGACAAAGGGAAUGACAUACGGGAUUGCGUGAAUCCUUGACACUCAGGUUCAACCGAUAAGUUAUUCAGAGAAUAUGUAGGAUCCAAUAUGGGCAUCCAGGUCCCGCUAUUGGAUAUUGACCGAGGAGUACCUCGGGGCAUGUCUGCAUAGUUCUCGAACCCGCAGGGUCUGCACACUUAAGGUUCGGCGAUGUUUUAGUAUAGCUGAGUUAUAUGUGUGGUUACCGAAUGUUGUUCGGAGUCCCGGAUGAGAUCACGGACGUCACGAGGGUUUCCGGAAUGGUCCGUAGACAAAGAUUUAUAUAUAUGAUGACCUCAUCUGAUUACCGGGAAGUUUUCGGGCAUUACUGGGAAUGUACCGGAAGUGACGAAUGGGUGCCGGAUGUUCACCGGGGGGUGGGGGGCAGACCACUCGGGGGAAGCCCAUAGGCCUUAGGGGUGCCACACCAGCCCUUAGUGGGCUGGUGGGACAGCCCAAGAGGCCCUAUGCGCAGGAGAUAAGAAAUCAAAAGGAAAAAAAGAAAAGAAAAAAGAGGUGGGAAGGAAGGGAAGGACUCCACCUUCCAAUCCUAGUUGGACUAGGAUUGGAGGUGGACUCCUCCACCUCCUUGGCUGGUGGACCCUUGGGGUCUUGGACCCCAAGGCAAGCCUCCCCACCCCUCCUCCUAUAUAUAGUGAUGGCCUAGGGCUGAUUUGAGACAACUUUCCCACAGCAGCCCGACCACAAAACAUCACGGUUUUUCCUCUAGAUCGUAUUUCUGCGGAGCUCGGGCGGAGCCCUGCAGGAGUAGAUCCUUCACCACCACCGGAGCGCCGUCACGCUGCCAGAGAACUCAUCUACUUCUCUGUCUUGCUUUCUGGAUCAAGAAGGCCGAGAUCAUCGUCGAGCUGUACGUGUGCUGAACGCGGAGGUNNNNNNNNNNNNNNNNNNNNNNNNNNNNNNNNNNNNNNNNNNNNNNNNNNNNNNNNNNNNNNNNNNNNNNNNNNNNNNNNNNNNNNNNNNNNNNNNNNNNAGAGAAUCUCAAUUGAUCUAUAGCUGUGCCUUUAAUCUUUCGAUUAAGCACACUAGGAUCAUAUGGUGUUUGAGAAAUUUUGCAGUCUGAAUAUCCAAAGUGACUCAAAAUCUUCUCAACAUAGUGGGAUUGCAGAAGUGUAAUCCCACCCUCAUCAUCUCUCAAAAGCUUGAUGUUCAAGAUAACAUCAGCCACCCCAAGGUCCUUCAUCUCAAAGUUUUGAGACAGAAAAGACUUAACCUCCUCAAUUACUUUGAGGUUGGUUCCAAAUAUCAGUAUGUCAUCAACAUACAAGCACAAUAUAACUCCUCCGCCCCCACCAUGGCGAUAGUAUACACAUUUGUCAGCUUCAUUAACAACGAAGCCAACAGAUGUCAGAGUUGUAUUAAACUUCUCAUGCCAUUGCUUAGGUGCUUGUCUCAGACCAUAUGAAGAUUUCAACAACUUACACACCUUUCCUUCCUGACCUUCUAUCACAAAGCCAUCUGGCUGUUGUAUAUAGAUUUCCUCAUUUAGCUCUCCAUUCAGGAAAGCCGUCUUAACGUCCAUUUGAUGAACGAGAAGACCAUGAGAGGCCGCCAAUGAGAGUUGUAUUCGAAUGGUGGUCAGUCUAGCCACAGGUGAAUAAGUAUCAAAGAAAUCUUAAUCUUCUUUCUGGGCAUAGCCCUUGGCCACAAGCCUAGCCUUGUACUUUUCAAUCGUACCAUCGGGCCUAAGCUUCUUUUUGAACACCCACUUGCAUCCCAAUGGUUUGCAACCAUAGGGACGAUCGGUGAUUUCCCAUGUCCCGUUAGCCAUGAUGGAAUCCAUCUCUCUACGGACCGCAACUUUCCAGUAAUCAGCAUCUGGAGAAGCAUACGCUUCUGAAAUAGAAGUGGGAUUAUCAUCCACGAGGUAUACGAAGAAAUCAUCACCAAAGGUCUUUGCAGUNNNNNNNNNNNNNNNNNNNNNNNNNNNNNNNNNNNNNNNNNNNNNNNNNNNNNNNNNNNNNNNNNNNNNNNNNNNNNNNNNNNNNNNNNNNNNNNNNNNNACUAUACGUCACACUCGGGGACUUAGUUGCGAUCCUGAAUUGCCUAAGUAUUAACCUCCUCCGAGUGUGCAUUAUACGUCGCACUCGGGGACUUAGCUGCGAUCCUGAAUCACCUAAGUAUUAACCUCCUCCGAGUGUGCACUAUACGUCACACUCGGGGACUUAGCUGCGAUCCUGAAUCGCCUAAGUAUUAACCUCCUUCAAGUGCGCACUAUACGUCGCACUCGGGGACUUAGCUGCGAUCCUGAAUCGCCUAAGUAUUAACCUCCUCCGAGUGUGCACUAUACGUCACACUCGGGGACUUAGCUGCAAUCCUGAAUCGCCUAAGUAUUCACCUCCUUCGAGUGCGCACUAUACGUCGCACUCAGGGACUUAGCUGCGAUCCUGAAUCGCCUAAGUAUUAACCUCCUUCGAGUGCGCACUUUACGUCGCACACGGGGACUUAGCUGCGAUCCUGAAUCGCCUAAGUAUUAACUUCCUCCGAGUGUGCACUAUACGUCGCACUCGGAGACUUAGCCGUGAUCAAGAAUCUCCUAAGUCUUAACAUCCUCCGAGUGUGCACUANNNNNNNNNNNNNNNNNNNNNNNNNNNNNNNNNNNNNNNNNNNNNNNNNNNNNNNNNNNNNNNNNNNNNNNNNNNNNNNNNNNNNNNNNNNNNNNNNNNNCAAGUGGUGCUUAUAUCUAUGCCUCGUCAAGAUUCAUUUCUAGAGGAAUAAGUGUUACGCUAUAUCCGUUGCUUGUCAUCAAUUUAAUUUGAUGAAGGAUUAGCAUAACAUAAUUCUUAUUCUUGUGUCAUCAAAUGAUUUCGAUUCUUCUUCUCGAGUGGCUCAUGAUAUCAAUUCCUUUUUCUCAUGUGUUAUUAUCUUUUUUUUCCGGACUUCCAAGUUUUCUUAAGUGUCUCAUCGUGAAGCUUCAUCGAACUCUUCACAAGGCUUCAAUCUUAUUCUUUUCUACCUUCAUAUUUUUGCAUCAUUCAUUUGUAUACGGUGGUCCUUCUUCGUGGUUCAUCAAGGAUGUGAUUCAUUCUCAUGUGUUCUUCAAGAUUCCUGUUGGAAUACCUCAAGUAUUCUUUCUCUUCCAUUUUCGGUGCAAUUGUUCUUCCUUUAUCCUUGAGGUGGUAUUAUAGCUUUCUUGUGAGUGUAGGAGCCUCAGAGAGUUUUCCUUUCAAGGAUGAGAUAAAUAAACCCAUCAAUUCUAUGAUCAUGAGAUAUUUCAACCCAUGAUUUCUUCAUUGAGCUAUCUUGGUUUGGAUUUCACCUAAAGCUUUUCCUAUGGGUUGUUGCUAUCAUGGUGCUUGUCAUUAAUCCAAGUUCUCAAUGUAUCCUCUUGGUGUAAGAGAUUGUUCAUAUCUUGUUUCUCCCAAUCAAUCCUUGUUUUUGUUAGUGGUUGGUUGUCACCUCAUAUUUGUUGAGAUGAUUUUCAUAAUCCCACUACUAUCUUGUUCUUUCGUUGUUGGUUUUCCAACUACUCCGUCUAUUCUUCUAUCCGAAGGCUCUUCAAUUCUAUUGUGACGAUAGUUGUCAUUAUUUUCUACAUUCUCUUCUUCCGUAUGAGCUAGUUCCUAUUCUAUUGUUCCGGAGGCAUUGUGUUGUUGCUCUUUUGGGUCAAUCUUGUUGUUUUAUCAAUUUCAUGGUGUUCCCUUAUUCUAUUUACUUGUUUGUUGUGUUUAUUGUCUAUUUCUUCCAUCUUAUCGAAUUUUUUGUCCCAUUUUCCUACCGAAGUGCUGCCCAAAUUUUCCGUGAAUUCUUGCUUCUUUCUCAUUUCGUUCCUCACCGCCUUGCAACCUUCAGGGAUCAUUGUUUCACUCGUUUGUCAACGAAGAAACUAAGUUUUUACCUCUUGUUCUUUCUCAUCCUCUCCCCCUUUCAUUCUUGGAUCUCGGGGCGAGAUCCUCUUGUAGUGUAGGAGAGUUGUGACAGCCCGGUGCCGACGUUCCAGAAGAUUCCCCUCUCUUUCCGUUUUCGUCAUGUGAUUUAUUUUAUUUGUCGCAUCAUCAUCACAUCAUGCGCAUCAUCUGCAUUGCAUCGGCAUCUCCGUUGCCGCCCGUUUUCAAAACUUGCAUUCGUUAGUAGUUGCCGGUUCUCGUCGUCGUCCGUUCUGAGUCCGACUGCACUCGCACGCGCCCGCGGCACCGUCGAAACCCUGUUUUUAAAGUGUUUUUAAAACUCUCUCUGAUCGAGGUGAAACUUGGCACGCGGUCGCGAUUAGAUAUAGCUAGGCCGCCUGUCGAAUUUCGUCGCGAUCGGAGACCGUCUGGUACCCGAACGGUCGACCGUAGCGGCACUGUAUUCGGUCUAUCGUCGGACGUCUGUCGGUGUUUUCAAAUUCGUGUCGCGCCGCCCGUUCUUCCUCUCGUCUCCGGAUAUUCCCUCUACACGGCCGCGUACCCAUCGCGCACGUUCAGAAUCGUCCGAAUCCGACCCCGCGGUUGGAUCCGGAGUGCGAUUCCGGUUAACCGAACCCCCCCCCCCCNNNNNNNNNNNNNNNNNNNNNNNNNNNNNNNNNNNNNNNNNNNNNNNNNNNNNNNNNNNNNNNNNNNNNNNNNNNNNNNNNNNNNNNNNNNNNNNGGGGACAGCCUCCCCCUAAUCCCUCCUCGAUUUCCGCACCAAACCCUAGAUCCACCUCUCUCUCUCCUCUCACCAGCCUCCAGCCACCGCGGGCCCGCCGANNNNNNNNNNNNNNNNNNNNNNNNNNNNNNNNNNNNNNNNNNNNNNNUCCGGGCCCCCCCCGAGCCCGCAUCGCGCCGCCACGCGAGGCCCAUCCGCCGCCGCCGGCAACCGUGCGCGCCUCCCGCGCCUUCCCCGCCGCGCCCCGCCUCCAGCUGCCCCGCCGCCGGAGUCGCCAGCCCCGCCGUCCUCGACCCCCGUGCAUCCCUGGACCCGCCUCGGUCCUGCCGCCUCCCACCGGCCACCGGCAGCCGCCGGAGCGCCGCGCUCUCCCUGCCGGCCGAAACCUUGUGGCCUUGCCCCGCCAGCCGCCGCCCUGCUGCCUCGCCGCCGCCGGCGACCAGAUCCGGUCAGCUCUCGCCGCUCGCCGGCCUCCGUCGCCAGAUCUCGCCUCCCCCCCGUAGGUGUGCCGCUCCAGGCCACCUGCAGAGCCGGCGCCGUCGCCCCCGCAACGCUCGGGAUCGAGCAGGCAACGGGAGGACGACGAGGUGCUGCCUCACCCGUCUGCCGUCCUGGGCCGUCCCAGCGACGCGGCCCACCUCGGCCGGCCCACCCGCUCGGCCUCGUUCCCCCUGCGAGGCCCCGGCUCCCACAGCGCCUCCUCCAGGCCGGCCUCGGCCCAGCGCCUCCCCAAGCCAGCCCGUCACCAGAGCUGCACCGAGCUAGGCCCAAGUGGCCCAAGGUGAGGACCAGAUUCCCCUCUAUUUGUCGCUCGUGCGAGAUUUAGUUGUCCAGCGCCCACCAGAUUCGGCCCGUUAGAACUUAGGAGUUUUCGAUUUAGUUUUAUUUCAGGUUUUAGACGAAUAUAGUUUCGCCCGUAAGUUUUAAUCCGUAUGUCGGAUCGCGAAGAGUUUUAUAUGCUUUUCGUGUAGAAUUUCGCGUAGUAUCCGUUUUUGAGACUUGUAUAUUUAUUUGACGCCGGUUAGAGUGCCUAAUGCGUGGAUUUACGUGUUGUCUCAAUAAGUAGGUGCCCGCAUUUAUUUUCCUCGCGUGUUUGAACUGCUCGCAUGCCAUGAUAGAAAUGCCCAUGUUUUAGGGGCCAUUUUUUCCAUGCAUUUUAGAGCAGUCAUUUGUAUUUUUGCGNNNNNNNNNNNNNNNNNNNNNNNNNNNNNNNNNNNNNNNNNNNNNNNNNNNNNNNNNNNNNNNNNNNNNNNNNNNNNNNNNNNNNNNNNNNNNNNNNNNNUCCUCAAUCUGCUGCACCUACUGAAAAUAUUUGUUAUGAAUUUCCUUCGAUUAUGCUUGAGAAACUGCUGGCUAAUCCUUUUACACGAGAUGGAACAUCACAUCCAGACUUGCAUCUAAUCUAUGUAGAUGAAGUUUGUGGUUUAUUUAAGCUUGCAGGUUUGCCCGAGGAUGAGGUAAAGAAUAAGGUCUUUCCCUUAUCUUUGAGGGAUAAGGCGUUGACAUGGUAUAGGCUAUCUGAUGAUACUGGAUCAUGGAACUACAAUCGGUUGAAAUUGGAAUUUCAUCAAAAGUUUUAUCCUAUGCAUCUAGUACAUCGUGAUCGGAAUUAUAUUUAUAAUUUUUGGCCUCGUGACAGAGAAAGUAUCGCUCAAGCUUGGGGGAGGCUUAAGUCAAUGUUAUAUUCAUGCCCCAACCAUGAGCUCUCGAGAGAAAUUAUCAUUGAGAACUUCUAUGCUCGGCUUUCUCAUGAUGAUCGCACCAUGCUUGACACUUCUUGUACUGGUUCUUUUAUGAAGAGAGAUAUUGACUUCAGAUGGAAUUUAUUGGAAAGAAUUAAACACAACUCUGAAUAUUGGGAGCUUGAUGAAGGUAAGGAGUCAGGUAUGAAUUUCAAGUUUGAUUGCGUUAAAUCCUUUGUUAAAACAAAUACCUUUUGUGAUUUUAGCGCUAAAUAUGGACUUGACUCAUAUUGAUCUCCCUAAAGAGAAGUGGUUUAAAUAGCAUCCUCCCUUAGAAGUCAAUGUAGUUAAACCCAAUCCAGUUGAAGAGGAAGUCAUUCCUUAUAAUGAUCAUAUUGUUCCCAGUGCUUACAUUGAGAAACCACCUUUCCCUGUUAGGAUAAAGGAUCAUUCUAAAGUUUCAACUGUGAUACAUAGGGGAUACAUUAUAACACCUACACCCCUUGAGCAAAAUUAGAGUUGAACCUAGCAUUGCUAUUAUCAAAGAUCUCCUGUCCAACAAUGUUGAUGGCCAUGAUAUUCACUUCUGUGAAGAUGCUGCUAGAAUUGCUAAACCACAUGCUAUAGACAAACAUAGGCCCGUUGUUGGCACGCCUGUUGUUUCUGUUAAGAUAGGAGAUCAUUGUUAUCAUGGUUUAUGUGACGUGGGUGCUAGUUUUAGUGCAAUACCUCAAUCUUUGUAUGAUGAAAUUAAAAACGAGAUUGCACCUGCCAAUAGAGAUACUAUCUGCCCUUUGGGAAUUGUUAGAGAUGUUAAAGUCUUGUGUGGUAAAACUAAGUAUCCUGCUGAUUUUCUCGUUCUUGCUAUGACACAAGGUAGCUUUUGUCCCAUCAUAUUUGGCAGACCUUUUCUCAAUACUGUCAAUGCUCAUAUUGACUCUGAGAAGCAAACUAUCAUAGUUAGUUUCGAGGGUGUGUCUCAUGAAUUUAACUUCUCCAAGUUUGGAAGACAACCCCAUGAAAAAGAGUCGUCUGGUAGGGAUGAAAUCAUUGCUCUUGCCUCUAUUGCCGUACCUCCUACGGAUCCUUUAGAGAAAUAUCUGCUUGAGCAUGAAAAUGAUAUGCAUAUGGAUGAAAGAGAUGAGAUAGAUAAAAUUGUCUUAGAGCGAUAUCCUAUUCUCAAGAAUAAUCUGCCUGUUGAACUGCUUGGGGAUCCUCCCCCACCAAAGGGUGAUCCUGUGUUCGAGCUUAAACAGUUGCCUGAUACUCUUAAGUAUGCCUAUCUUGAUGAGAAGGAGAUAUAUCCUGUUAUUAUUAGUGCUCUCCUCUCAGAGCAUGAAGAGAAGAAGUUACUGAAAACUCUGAGGAAGCACCGUGCUGCUAUUGGAUAUACUCUUGAUGAUCUUAAGGGCAUUAGUCCUACUCUAUGCCAGCACAAGAUUAAAACUGAUCCUGACUUCAAACCAGUUGGUGAUCAUCAAAGGAGAUUGAAUCCUAAGAUGAAAGAGUUCGUUCGAAAAGAAAUAUUAAAGCUUCUCGAAGCAGGAAUCAUUUAUCCUGUUGCUCAUAGUGAUUGGGUAAGUCCAGUACAUUGCGUACCUAAGAAGGGAGGUAUCACCGUCGUUCCUAAUGAGAAGGAUGAACUAAUCCCACAAAGGAUUAUUACUGGCUAUAGGAUGGUGAUAGACUUCCGGAAACUGAACAAGGCAACCAGGAAAGACCAUUAUCCUUUGUCGUUUAUCGACCAAAUGCUAGAAAGGCUAUCAAAACUAAGAAGCAAACUGUCACUAUUGGCUUUGAAGCUGUGUCACAUGAGUUCAAUUUCUCCAAGUUUGGUAGACAACCUCAUGAAAAAGAGUUGUCUAGUAAGGAUGAAAUUAUUGCUCUAGCUUCUAUUGUUGUGCCUCCUACUUAUCCUUUAGAGCAAUACUUGCUUGAGCAUGAAAAUGAUAUGCAUAUGGAUGAAAGGAAUGAGAUAGAUAGAGUUAUCUUUGAACAACAUCCUAUCCUUAAGAAUAAUUUGCCUCUUGAACUGCUUGGAGAUCCAACCCCACCAAAGGGUGAUCUUGUGUUCGAGCUUAAAUAGUUGCCUGAUACUCUUAAGUAUGCUUAUCUUGAUGACAAAGAGAUAUAUCCUCUUAUUAUUAUUGGUAGCCUCUCAGAGCAUGAAGAAAAGAAGUUACUAAAAACUCUGAGGAAGCACCGUGCUUCUAUUGGAUAUACUCUUGAUGAUCUUAAGGGCAUUAGUCCCACUCUAUACCAGCACGAAAUUAAAACCGAUCCUAAUUCCAAACCAGUUGUCGAUCAUCAAUGGAGAUUAAAUCCUAAGAUGAAAGAGGUAGUAAGAAAAGAAAUACUAAAGCCCCUAGAAGCAGGUAUUAUCUAUCCUUUUGCUCAUAGUGAUUGGGUAAGUCCGGUGCAUUGCGUCCCUAAGAAGGGAGGUAUUACCGUUGUCCCUGAUGAUACGGAUGAAUUGAUCCCACAGAGGAUUAUUACUCGCUAUAGGAUGGUGAUUGAUUUUAGGAAAUUGAAUAAGGCCACUAGGAAAGAUCAUUACCCUUUGCCUUUUAUUGACCAAAUGCUAGAAAGAUUGUCUAAACACACACACUUCUGCUUUCUAGAUGGUUAUUCUGGUUUCUCCCAAAUACCUGUUGCACAAUCUGAUCAGGAGAAAACCACUUUCACCUGCCCCCUCGGUACCUUUUCUUAUAGACGUAUGCCUUUUGGCUUAUGCAACCUUGAUCGUGUCUUACAGAGAUGCAAAGAUACCAACCUCGUCUUGAAAUGGGAGAAGUGCCACUUUAUGGUUAAUGAAGGCAUCGUCUUAGGACACAAAAUCUCUGAAAGAGGCAUUGAAGUUGAUAAGGCUAAGGUUGAUGCAAUUGAGAAAAUACCUUGCCCCAUAGAUAUCAGAGGUAUACGAAGUUUCCUAGGUCAUGCUGGUUUCUAUAGAAGGUUCAUUAAAGACUUCUCUAAGAUUUCUAGGCCUCUUACCAACCUCUUGCAGAAGGAUGUUCCUUUUGUUUUUGAUGAGGAUUGUGAGGAAGCCUUCGAAAUACUUACGAAGGCUUUGAUAACCACACCUAUUGUUCAACCACCUGACUGGAACUUGCCCUUUGAAAUCAUGUGCGACGCUAGUGAUUAUGCUGUUGGUGCUGUUCUAUGACAAAGAGUUGACAAGAAGUUGAAUGUUAUUCACUACGCUAGUAAAACUCUAGACAGUGCCCAAAGAAACUAUGCCACUACGGAAAAGGAGUUUGUAGCAGUCGUGUUUGCAUGUGAGAAGUUCAGAUCUUAUAUAGUUGACUCCAAAGUCACUAUUCACUCUGAUCAUGCUGCUAUUAAGUACCUUAUGGAGAAGAAAGACGCUAAGCCUAGGCUAAUCAGAUGGGUUCUCCUGCUACAGGAAUGUGAUUUGCACGUCGUUGACCGAAAGGGUGCUGAUAACCCUGUAGCAGAUAACUUGUCCAGGCUAGAGAAUGUCCUUGGUGACCCACGAUCUAUUGAUGACAGAUUUCUUGAUGAGCAAUUAAGUGUCAUCCGCACUUGACAUAGUGCACCGUGGUAUGCUGAUUAUGCAAACUAUAUCGUAGCCAAAUACAUACCACCCAGUUUCACCUAUCAGCAAAAGAAGAAAUUCUUCUUUGAUUUGAGACACUACUUUUGGGAUGAUCCUCACCUUUAUAAGGAAGGAGUAGAUGGUGUUAUUAUAUGUUGUAUGCCUGAACAUGAACAAGGACAGAUCCUGCAGAAGUGUCAUUCCAAAGCCUACGGAGGACACCACGCUGGAGAUAGAACUGCUCAUAAGGUAUUGCAAUCAGGUUUCUAUUGGUCCACUCUCUUCAAGGAUGCCCGUAAGUUUGUCUUGUCUUGUGACGAAUGCCAAACAAUAGGGAACAUCAGUAAGCGUUAGGAAAUGCCUAUGAACUAUUCACUUGUCAUUGAACCGUUUGAUGUCUGGGGCUUUGAUUAUAUGGGACCCUUCCUGAGUUCCAAUGGGUACACUCACAUCUUAGUUGCUGUGGAUUACGUCACUAAGUGGGUAGAAGCUAUCCCCACUAAAAAUGCUGACCACCACACCUCUAUUAAGAUGCUUAAAGAAGUCAUUUCCCCAAGAUUUGGAGUCCCUAGAUAUCUGAUGACUGAUGGCGGUUCACACUUCAUUCAUGGUGUUUUCCGCAAGAUGCUCGCUAAGUAUGAUGUCAACCAUAGAGUUGCAUCUCCUUAUCAUCCUCAGUCUAGUCAUCAAGUGGAGUUGAGUAAUAGGGAGAUCAAAUUGAUCUUAUAAAAGACUGUCAAUAGAUCUAGAUCAAAUUGAUCCUACAAAAGACCGUCAAUAGAUCUCGAAAGAAUUGGUCUAGCAAACUUGACGAUGCACGGCUUAUAGGACUGCUUAUAAGAAUCCCAUGGGCAUGUCGCCGUAUAAAAUGGUUUACGGUAAGGCUUGUCAUUUACCUCUUGAGCUGGAACACAAAGCUUAUUGGGCAAUCAAAGAGCUCAACUUUGAUUUCAAACUUGCCGGUGAGAAGCGGUUGUUUGAUAUCAUCUCGUUAGAUGAAUGGAGGGCCCAGGCAUAUGAGAAUGCCAAGUUGUUCAAGGAAAAGGUUAAGAGAUGGCACGAUAAACGAAUACAAAAAUGAGAGUUCAAUGUAGGUGACUAUGUCCUGCUAUACAAUUCUCGCUUAAGAUUCUUUGCAGGCAAGCUUCUCUCUAAAUGGGAAGGUCCUUACGUUAUCGAGGAAGUAUAUCGUUCCGGUGCCAUCAAAAUCAAUAACAUGGAAGGCAAUUUUACUAGAGUGAUAAAUGGGCAAAGAAUCAAGCAUUAUAUCUCCGGUACUCCCAUAAAUGUUGAGACCAACAUCAUCAAUGUCAUAACUCCAGAGGAGUACCUAAGGGAUGUUUAUGAGCCUGUGUCAGACCCUGAAAACAAAGAGGUAUCUGUUUCGGUAAGUAAUUGUACUCUGAAACUUUUCCAAUAGGAAAUUUCCUCCGUUUUGGAAUUUUUUGAAAACUAGAAAAAUAAAAAGUAGUCAGGGGAGCGCACGAGGCGGCCACAAGCUUGGAAGCCGCCCCUACCCCCUGUUGGCGGCUAGGGGGCUUGUGGGCACCUCGUGUGCCUUCCGGACUCCAUUUUCUUGCGGAGCACUCCUUCUGGUCUAGAAAAAUCAAUAUAUAUUCGCCCGAAGGUUUUGAUCUCCGUAUCGUGCAGUUUUCCUCUGUUUUCGUUUCGAGCCUGUUGUCUGUCGCAGAUUUAGGUCAAGAUGUCUUCUCAAGAUUCAGAAGAAGAGAUCCAUGUGGCCGAUGAUCGUGCUAACUCUAGGAUUAAAGGGGACUUGGAACCAUAUGGCUGGACCACUGACGAGGAAGAGGACUAUGAUCCCAAGGGGAAGGAACAAACGAGUUCUGAUGAAGAGGAGGCUCCUCUACCUCAACAUGGACGCACUCAUGUGGAGUUCAAGAAGUCAAGCCUCCGUGACCAAAGGAAGAAGUCUAAGACCUUGUUUAUUCCUUCUCGUUUCUUGCAGGAGAGUAAGCAGGAGCUUUUCCAUAGGGUGUUGAAACUUGAGGAGGAAAAUGACAAUUUGAAGGAGCAAAACUUUUUGCUCAAGUGGAAAUUAGACCAGCUCAAGACUGCUUCAACAGCUCCACCACCAUCACCGCCAAAGGAAGACAACUAAGCAUUGGUAUGGGCAAUUGAUGUCUACUACGCAACCUUCUCCUUGUAGACGUUGUUGGGCCUCCAAGUGCAGAGGGUUGUAGGACAGUAGCAAUUUUCCCUCAAGUGGGUGACCUAAGGUUUAUCAAUCCGCGGGAGGUGUAGGAUGAAGAUGGUCUCUCUCAAGCAACCCUGCAACCAAAUAACAAAGAAUCUCUUGUGUGCCCAAUACACCUAAUACAAUGGUAAGUUGUAUAUGUGCACUAGUUCGGCGAAGAGAUGGUGAUACAAGUGCAAUAUAGAUGGUAGAUAUAGGUUUUUGUUAUCUGAAAUUACAAAAAUAGCAAGGUAACAAAUGGUAAAAGUGAGCACGAACGGUAUUGCAAUGCGUGGAAACAAGGCCUAGGGUUCAUACUUUCACUAGUGAAGUUCUCUCAACAAUGAUAACAUAAUUGGAUCAUAUAACUAGCCCUCAACAUGCAACAAAGAGUCACUCCAAAGUCACUAAUAGUGGGGAACAAACGAAGAGAUUAUUGUCGGGUACGAAACCACCACAUAGUUAUUCUUUCUGAUCGAUCUAUUCAAGAGUCCGUAGUAAAAUAACAUGAAGCUAUUCUUUCCGUUCGAUCCAUCAUAGAGUUCGUACUAGAAUAACACCUUAAGAUACAUAUCAACCAAGAUCCUAAUGUCACCUAGAUACUCCAUUGUCACCUCAAGUAUCCGUGGGCAUGAUUAUACGAUAUGCAUCACAUAAUAUCAGAAUCAUCUAUUCAACCAACACAUAGAACUUCAAAGAGCGCCCCAAAGUUUCUACGAGAGAGUCAAAACGUGUGCCAACCCCUGUGCAUAGGUUCCCAAUGUCACGAACCCGCAAGUUGAUCACCAAAACAUACAUCAAGUACUCACAUGAAUCCACGUGUGCCAACCCAUAUGCAUAGGUUCCCAAUUGUCACAAACCCGCAAGUUGAUCACACCAGAUAGACACGUGCAAGACAUACAUCAAGUGUUCUCAAAGACUCAAUCCGAUAAGAUAACUCCAAAGGGGAAACUCAAUUCAUUACAAGAGGGAGAGGGGGAAGAACAUCAUAAGAUCCAACUAUAGUAGCAAAGCCCAUGGUACAUCGAGAUCAAGACAUCUCAAGAACACAAGAGAGAGAGAUCAAACACAUAGCUACUGGUACAUACCCUCAGCCCCGAGGGAGAACUACUCCCUCCUUGUCAUGGAGAUCGCCGGGAUGAUGAAGAUGGCCACCGGAGAUGGAUUCCCCCUCCGGCAGGGUGCCGGAACGGGCUUCAGAUUGGUUUUUGGUGGCUACAGAGGCUUGCGGCGGCGGAACUCCUGAUCUAGGUUUCUUUUGGGGUGUUUCUGAAUUUAUAGGAAUUUAAGGCGGUGGAAUUGCGUCAGUUGGGCCCACGAGGAGGUCACAAGCCUGGUCGCCACAACCAGGGGGGGGUGGCGGCGUCAGGGCUUUUGACUCCCUCGUGGCUCUUAUGGCCUUCUUCCAAAGCUUCGGGGGUCUCUUUUGGUCCAAAAAAAUCAUCGUAAAGUUUCAUUCCAUUUGGACUCCGUCUGAAAAUGUGCCAAAAACACGGAAAAAACAGAAACUGGCACUUGGCACUGAGUUAAUAGGUUAGUCCCAAAAAAGAUAAAAAAAUAGCAUAUUCAUGCAUAUAAAACAUCCAAAGUAAACAAGAUAAUAGCAUGGAACCAUAAAAAAUUAUAGAUACGUUGGAGACGUAUCAGCAAUCCCCUUGGCUUCUGCCAAGCUUGGGGGAGUUUCACUUGUAUCGUAUCACCUUUAUAUCUUUUGCUUUUACCUUUGUUUUAGUUCUUUCCUUUUCAGUUUUUAUUUCUUCUCUUAGAGGAAUAAGUCUUUAGUGUUUAGUUUGAGUGUUUUUCCUUUGUCUCUCCCCCGAUGUGUUCGAGCUCACGAGCUUUAUAAUAAAGAGUAUCUUAGUCAAGGGCUUUGCUUUGUGUCGUGAUCAAAAGUAUGAAAAGAACGAUAGCAUGAAAGAUCAUGAGAUGAUCUUAUGGAAAGUGAUAGCUUCACAUAUGACACGUAUGAUGAUUGAAACUUGUUGAGAAUAAAUCAACAUAGACUUCAGUCAUUGUUGCAAUUAAUAAGAAGUAAUAAGGAAAGAGAGGUUCACAUAUAAAUAUAUCAUCUUAGACACUUUUUACAAUUGUGAGCACUCACCGAACUAUUACAUGCUUAGGAGUUGAUGUUGGACAAGGAAGACAACAUAAUGAAUUGUGUUUGCUUGGUUCCAAACAAUGUUAUAUGAUUAGAGAUCCCUUAGCAUGUGACGAUCGCUUCCACCUCAUAUUAGCCAAAACUCCCGCACUAAGUAGAUAUACUACUUGUGCAUCCAUAAACCUUCAACCCAGUUUUGCCAUGUGAGUCCACCAUACCUACCUAUGGAUUGAAUGAGAUCCUUCAAGUAAGUUGUCAUCGGUGCAAGCAAUAAAAAUUUCUCUCUAAUAUGUAUGAUCUAUUAGUGUGUGGAAAAUAAGCUUUGUACGAACCUGUGAUGAGGAAGACAUAAAAGCGACAGACUGCAUAAUAAAGUUCUUUAUCACAGGAGGCAAUAUAAAAUGAUGUUCCUCCGCACUAAGAGGACACGCAUUCAAACCUCAAAAGCGCAUGACAACCUCUACUUCCCUCUACGAAGGGCCUAUCUUGUACCUUUACUUUUUGCCCUUGUAAGAGUCAUGGUGAUCUUCAUCAAUUCCCUAUUUUUGCCUUUGUCUUGGCUACCGUCACAUGCUUGGGAAAGAUCUAUAUUCAUAUAUCAACUUGGAGUUGAGUACUUAUGCUUUAUUAUUGUUGAUCUUGAGGUAAAUAGUUAGGAGGCAAAACUAUAAGCCCCUAUCUUCCUCUGUGUCCAGCUAAAACUUUGACACCAUGAGUACCACGUGAGUUGUAACAAUUGUGGAAAACAAAAGAGAUGAUUGAGUAUGUGGGUUUUCCUUACAAGCUCUUAUUUGACUCUUUCUGAUGUUAUGAUAAAUUGCACUUGCUUCAAUGACUUUGGACAUUUGUUGGUUACUUCUCGGUAAGGUUUUUGCUUCAUACUUUGCUUUGUGAAGGAAUUGUUACUUUCCCAUAAGAAUCUUUAUGUUGUAUUGCUGUUCUAUGUGUGAUCAUGAUGCCCUCAUGUCCGUAUUAUGUUUUAUCGACACCUUCGUCCCUAAACAUGUGGACAUGUUUAUGGAACUUGGUUUUCGCUUGAGGACAAGCGAGGUCUAAGCUUGGGGAGUUGAUACGUCCAUUUUGAAUCAUGCUUUCAUGUUGAUAUUUAUUGCUUUAUGGGCUGUUAUAUUACUUUGUGGUACCAUAUUUAUGCCUUUUCUCUCUUAUUUUGCUAGGUUUAUUUGAAGAGGGAUAAUUCAUGCAGCUGGAAUUCUGAAUUCGAAAAGGCGAAAAUCUUAGUCCACUAUUCUGCAAAUCUCCAAAUGCCCUGAAAAGUUACAUGGAAUUUUUUGGGAUUAUAUAAAAAAUAAUGGGCUAAAGAAGUACCCGAGGGGAGCUACUAGGGCGCCACAAGCCUGGUAGCCGCCACCCCCCUGGUGGCGACUAGCAAGCUUGUGGGCUCCCUGACGGCCCACUGGCCCCCCUCUUUUUCUAUAUGAAGGGAUUCGUUCCAGAAAAAAAAUCAAUCAGGGGCUUUUUCGUGGUUUCGCCGCCGCCACGAGGCGGAACUUGAGCAGAUCCAAUCGAGAGCUCCGGUAGGAUGAUCCUGUCGGGGAAACUUCCCUCCUGGAGGGGGAACUCGUCGCCAUCGUCAUCACCAACACUCCUCUCGUUGGAGGGGAGGCAUCUUCAUCAACAUCUUCAUCAGCACCAUCUCCUCUCCAAUCCCUAGUUCAUCUCUUGUAACCAAUCUUCGUCUCGCGACUCCGAUUGGUACUUGUAAGGUUGCUAGUAGUGUUGAUUACUCUUUGUAGUUGAUGCUAGUUGGAUUACUUGGUGGAAGAGUUUAUGUUCAGAUCCUUGAUGCUAUUCAUUACACCUCUGGUCAUGAUUAUGAUUCUGCUUCGUGAGUAGUUACUUUUGUUCCUAAGGACAUGGGAUAAGUCAUGCUGAUAAUAGUCAUGUGAAUUUGAUAUUCGUUCGGUAUUUUGAUAUGUUGUAUGUUGUUUUUCCUCUAGUGGUGUUAUGUGAACGUCGACUACAUAACACUUCACCAUAUUUGGGGCUAGAGGAAGGCAUUGGCGAGUAGUAAGUAGAUGAUGGGUUGCUGGAGUGACAGAAGCUUAAACCCUAGUCUAUGCGUUGCUUCUUAAGGGGCUGAUUUGGAUCCACUAGUUUAAUGGAAUGGUUAGACGUUGUCUUAAUUCUUCUUUUGUAGUUGCGGAUGCUUGCGAGAGGCGUUAAUCAUAAGUGGGAUGCAUGUCCAAGUAAGGGUAGUACCCAAGCGCUAGUCCACCCACAUAUCAAACUAUCAAAGUAACGAACGCGAAUCACAUGAACAUGAUGAAACUAGCAUGACAGAAAUUCCCGUGUGUCCUCGGGAGCGUUUUUCCUCCUAUAAGACUUUGUUCAGGCUUGUCCCUUGCUAAAAAAGGGAUUGGACCACUUGCCGCACCAUUGCUACUACUUGUUACUUGUUACAUUUCACUUGUUACAUUUCACCUCACUACACCAUCACUUGUUACCGCUACUUUCAGUGCUUGCAGUUAUUACCUUGCUGAAAACCGUUUAUCAAAGCCUUUUGCUCCUCGUUGGGUUCGACACUCUUACUUAUCGAAAGGACUACGAUUGAUCCCCUAUACUUGUGGGUCAUCACACCGUUGUUACUUUUGUUACUUGCUACUUGCUACGAAUCAUCUUGUCACACAACUACUUGUUACCGAUAAUUUCAGUGCUUGCAGAGAUUAGCCGCGCCUAGGGGGCUUGUGGGCUCACAGCUGGCCCUCUGGCCCGCCUUUUUUGCUACAAGAGGGGUUUUGUUCCAGAAAAAAAUCAAGAGGAGGCUUUCGGGAGGAUUCGCCGCCGCCACAAGGCGGAACUUGAGCAGAACCAAUCUAGAGCUCCGGCAGGGUCGUCUGAUGACCCACAAGUAUAGGGGAUCAAUCGUAGUCCUUUCGAUAAGUAAGAGUGUCGAACCCAACGAGGAGCAGAAGGCUCUGAUAAACGGUUUUCAGCAAGGUAAUAACUGCAAGCACUGAAAGUAGCGGUAACAAGUGAUGGUGUAGCUAGGUGAAACGUAACAAGUGAAAAGUAACAAGUAGCAAGUAGUAGCAAUUGUGCAGCAAGUGGCCCAAUCCAUUUUGUAGAAAGGGACAAGCCUGAACAAAGUCUUAUAGGAGGAAAAACGCUCCCGAGGUGCAGCAAGUGGCGCAAUCCCUUUUGUAGCAAGGGACAAGCCUGAACAAAGUCUUAUAGGAGGAAAAACGCUCUCGAGGACACACGGGAAUUUCUAUCAUGCUAGUUUCAUCAUGUUCAUGUGAUUCGCGUUCGUUACUUUGAUAGUUUGAUAUGUGGGUGGACCGGUGCUUGGCUACUACCCUUACUUGGACAAGCAAUCCACUUAUGAUUAACCCGUCUUGCAAGCAUCCGCAACUACGAAACAAAAAUUAAGACAACGUCUAACCAUAGCAUUAAACUAGUGGAUCCAAAUCAGCCCCUUAGGAAGCAACGCAUAGACUGGGGUUUAAGCUUCUGUCACUCCAGCAACCCAUCAUCUACUUACUACUCCCCAAAGCCUGCCUCUAGGCCCAAAUAUGGCGAAGUGUUAUGUAGUCGACUUUCACAUAACACCACUAGAGGAAAAGACAACAUACAUCAUAUCAAAAUACCGAACGAAUAUCAAAUUCACAUGACUAUUAUCAGCAUGACUUAUCCCAUGUCCUCAGGAACAAAAGUAACUACUCACAAAGCAUAAUCAUAAUGAUGAUCACAGGUGUAAUGAAUAGCAUCAAGGAUCUGAAUAUAAACUCUUCCACCAAGUAAUCAGACUAGCAUCAACUACAAAGAGUAAUCAACACUACUAGCAACCUUACAAGUACCAAUCGGAGUCGCUAGACGAAGAUUGGUUACAAGAGAUGAACUAGGGAUUGGAGAGGACAUGGUGCUAAUGAAGAUGUUGAUGAAGAUGCCUCCCCUCCGACGAGAGGAGUGUUUGUGAGGACGAUGGCGACGAUUUCCCCCUCCGGGAGGGAAAUUUCCCUGGCAGGAUCGUCCUGCCGGAGCUCUAGAUUGGAUCUGCUCAAGUUCCGUCUCGUGGCGGCGGCGAAACCACGAAAAAGCUCCCUAUUGAUUUUUUCUGGAACGAAACCCUUCACAUAGCAAAAGAGGGGGGCCAGUGGGCCGUCAGGGAGCCCACAAGCCGUGUAGCCGCCACCAGGGGGUGGCGGCUACCAGGCUUGUGGCGCCCAGGUAGCUCCCCUCUGGUACUUCUUUCGCCUAGUAUUUUUUAUAUAAUCCCAAAAAAUUCCACGUAAAUUAUCAGGGCAUUUGGAGUUGUGCAGAAUAGUGGACUAAGAUUUGCUCCUUUUCCAGUCCAGAAUUCCAGCUGCCUGAAUUCUCCCUCUUCGAAUAAACCUUGCAAAAUAAGAGAGAAAAGGCAUAAAUAUGGUACCACAAAGUAAUAUAACAUCCCAUAAAGCAAUAAAUAUCAACAUGAAAGCAUGAUGCAAAAUGGACCAAUCAACUCCCCCAAGCUUAGACCUCGCUUGUCCUCAAGCGAAAACCAAGUUCCAUAAACAUGUCCACAUGUUUAGGGACGAAGGUGUCGAUAAAACAUAAUACGGACAUGAGGGCAUCAUGAUCACACAUAGAACAACAAUACAUCAUAAAGAUUCUUAUGUGAAAGUAACAAUUCCUUCACAAAGCAAAGUAUGAGACAAAAACCUUACCGAGAAGUAACCAACAACAGUUCAAAGUCAUUGAAGCAAUUGCAAUUUAUCAUAACAUCAGAAAGAGUUAAAUAAGAGCUUGUAAGGAAAACCCACAUACUCAAUCAUCUCUUUUGUUUUCCACAAUUGUUACAACUCACGUGGUACUCAUGCUAUCAAAGUUUCAGCUGGACACACAGGAAGAUAGGGGCUUACAAUUUUGCCUCCCAACCAUUUACCUCAAGGGUAAAGUCAACAAUAAUAAAGCAUAAGUACUCAACUCCAAGUUGAUAUAUGAAUAUAGAUCUUUCCCAAGCAUGUGAAGGUAGCCAAGACAAAGGCAAAAUAGGGAAUUGGUGAAGAUCACUAUGACUCUUACAAGGGCAAAAAGGUAAAGGUACAAGAAAGGCCCUUCGCAGAGGGAAGCAGAGGUUGUCAUGCACUUUUGAGGUUUGGAUGCGUGUCCUCUUAGUGCGGAGGAACGUCACUUUAUAUUGCCUCCUGUUAUAAAGAACUUUAUUAUGCAGUCUGUCGCUUUUAUGUCUUCCUCAUCACAGGUUCAUACAAAGCUUAUUUUCCACACACUAAUAGAUCAUACAUAUUAGAGAGCAAUUUUUAUUGCUUGCACCGAUGACAACUUACUUGAAGGAUCUUAUUCAAUCCAUAGGUAGGUAUGAUGGACUCUCAUGACAAAACUGGGUUGAAGGUUUAUGGAUGCACAAGUAGUAUCUCUACUUGGUGCGGGAGUUUUGGCUAAUAUGAGGUGGAAGCAAUCGUCACAUGCUAAGGGAUCUCUACUCAUAUAACAUUGUUUGGAACCAAGCAAACACAAUUCAUUAUGUUGUCUUCCUUGUCCAACAUCUACUCCUAAGCAUGUAAUAGUUUAGUGAGUGCUCACAAUUAUAUAAAGUGUCUAAGAUGAUAUAUUUAUAUGUGAACCUCUCUUUCCUUAUUACUUCUGAUUAAUUGCAACAAUGACUGAGGUCUAUGUUGAUUUAUUCUCAACAAGUUUCAAUCAUCAUACGUGUGAUAUGUGAAGCUAUCACUUUCCAUAAGAUCAUCUCAUGAUCUUUCAUGCUAUCGUUCUUUUCAUACUUUUGAUCACGAUAUAAAGCAAAGACUUUGACUAAGAUACUCUUUAUUAUAUAGCUCGCAAGCUCGAAUACAAAGGGGGAGAGACAAAAGCAAAAGACUCAAACUAAACACUAAAAACUUAUUCCUCUAAGAGAAGAAAUAAAAACUGAAAAGGAAAGAACUAAAACAAAGGUAAAAGCAAAAGAUAUAAAGGUGAUACGAUACCAAGGCAACUCCCCCAAGCUUGGAAAAAGCCAAGGGGAUUGCCCAUACCAAUGCUUAGUUGUCUUCCUUUGGUGGUGAUGGUGGUGGAGUUGUUGAAGCAGUCUUGAACUUGUCCAAUUUCCACUUGAGCAAAAAAGUUCUCCUCCCUUAGAUCGUAAUUUUCCUUUAUGGCAAAGCUCCUGCUUACUCUCCUGCAAGAAACGAGAGGGGAUAAAUAUAGUCUUAGGCUUCUUCCUGGAGUUGGGGAGGCUUGACUUCUUGAACUCCACAUGGGUGUUUGCAGGUUGAGGUAGAGGAGCCUCCUCUUCAUCGGAACUCGUUUGUUCCUUCCCCUUGGGCUCAUAGUCCUCUUCCUCGUGAGUGGUCCAGCCAUAUGGUUCCAAGUCCCCAUAGACCCUAGAGUUAGCAUGAUCAUCGGCCACAUAGAUCUCUUCUUCUGAAUCUUGAGAAGACAUCUUGACCUAAAUCUGCGGCAGACAACAGGCUCGAAACGAAAAUAGAGGAAAACUGUACAAUACGGAGAUCAAAACCUUCGGGCAAAUAUAUAAUGAUUUUUUCUGGACCAGAAGGAGUGCUCCGCAAGAAAACAGAGUCCGGGAGGCACACGAGGUGCCCACAAGCCCUCUAGCCGCCACCAGGGGGUAGGGGGUGGCUACCAAGCUUGUCUCCGCCUCGUGCGCUCUCCUGAGUGCUUUUUAUUUUUCUAAUUUUCCAAAAAUUCCAAAAUGGAGGAAAUUUCCUGUUGGAAAAGCUUCGGAGUCCAAUUUCUUACCGAAACAGAUACCUCUUCGUUUUCAGGGUCUGAAACAGGCUGAUAAACAUCCCUUAUGUACUCCUCUGGAGUUAUGACAUUGAUGAUAUUGGUCUCAACAUUUAUGGGAGUACCGGAGAUAUAAUGCUCGAUUCUUUGCCCAUUUACCACUCUAGGAAAAUUACCUUCUGUGUUAUUGAUUUUGAUGGCACCGGAACGAUAUACUUCCUCGAUAACGUAAGGACCUUCCCAUUUAGAGAGAAGCUUGCCUGCAAAGAAUCUUAAGCGAGAAUGGUUGUAGCGACCCGACUCAAAACGAGUCAAGCCUCUGUGUUUCUGUGCCAUCCCUGGAUCAGUAUGCUGGCACACACAGUACAUCAAUGUAUAUAUCAAAGUGCAAUCACAUGUAAAUAACGUAAAACUGAUAUAUACCUUAAUUAUCUCAGCGGAAGCGGUCAAGGGAGUGGAGUCCCAAUAAACACCAACGACAAGUUGAGUGUAGACCGUAGCCCUGAAAUCGUACUCUCACUCGUCGAAGAAAAAUAUCUGCAACAUAAGACGUUGCAGCCGUGUAGGUCAGCAUAUUGAAUAUGCCGGCAAGUCACAUAAGAGAGGNNNNNNNNNNNNNNNNNNNNNNNNNNNNNNNNNNNNNNNNNNNNNNNNNNNNNNNNNNNNNNNNNNNNNNNNNNNNNNNNNNNNNNNNNNNNNNNNNNNNGUCGUCAAUUUGACCAACUUAAGGAGAGACAUAUAUUACAAAAAAUAUAUCAUUAGAAACUUUAUAUGUUCUAUUUUUUAAUGAUAUAAUUUUAUGUUAAACAAUAUAUUUUAUAUAAAUCAAAUUGACGACCUAGGUACACGUGCAUGCCUUAUAAAUUGUGACGAUGGAAAUAGCUAUGUUACCCCGCUAUGGCCAGCCUUAACUGUUUGACGACGUAAUGACAACAACAUGACAAAUAUAAGUAGUACUCGCAUGCAUAUGCAUGGCCGGGAUCGAUCUGUCCCUUAUUCGAAGCCAGCCGCUUGAGAAGCGGAACGAAAAGCAACGACGACGAUGACAAGAAGGAGAAACAUCAACGGGUACGUGGAACAUCAAAUCAUACGAACGAAUCGAUGGCACGCAGGCAUGCACGCUCAUCACGUACGUAUACGUACGUACGUACGCCGUCCUAGUGCAGCGGCGUCCUCAGCAUGCAGUUGUUGUAGCAGACGCCGUUGCACUCGAAGGUCUCCAGGUUGCAGUCGCAGAUGCAGAGCUGGACGCAGAUGACGCACUGGGAGCAGCCGGGGACGCAGAAGCGGCAGGCCCCCUCCACGCAGACGGGGCAGUUGCCGGGGACGCAGACGGGCGCUGGCACCGCGGCCGACGCCGGGGCGGCCAUCAGCAGAUGCCCGGCGAACAGGACCAGAACGCACAUGGCGGCCAUCUUAAGCGCGGCGCUGCUGGAAGCCAUUGCUUGCUUGUUAAUCUCGGUCGAUCAAGAGCAAGCUAGCUAGCUUGUUAUUAGAUGGGUGGUGGGAGUGUGGCUGCUUGACAUGAGAAUGGAAGACGAGGCUCCUAUUUAUAGGCGGGGAUGCAAUGGCAGAGUAAGUAAUUAGGCAGUCUUUCUCCUCGUGAUCUCACGUGCAAUGGAAUCUCAUACUAACAGGUGUCCAUCUAUGCCUGACUAGUGAAGGUAGCUAAAGUUGGAUACCGAGCCAGAUGGAUACUUUUUUUCUUGAGAUUGCAAUUGUGAAUCCAAUCAUAUACUCCCUCCUUCCUAAAUAUAAGUCGAUCUGAAAAUUUCAUAAGGGACUACAUACGAAACAAAAUGAGUGAAUCUACAUUUUAAACUAUGUCUAUAUACAUUCUAGUUCUCUCUAGUGAGACCUCUAAAAAGACUUAUAUUUAAAAACGAAGGAAGUAUUUUAUACUAGCAUCAACAUCUUACGCAUUCUACCUUUAUUCAUUCGUGAUCCUAUGAGUAGAGUAAAUGUAUUGUGACAGGAGAAAAGGUUUAGAGCAUCUAUAACCAGACCUCUCAAACACCCCUCUCAUCAAACGUCUCACUGGUGUUCAUAUAAUUGCCCCCUCCCUCAUCCAGCACAAAUGUCCGGGUUGGACGGCAUCCCUAAUAUCGAAUUCAUAUGUGAGACAUUUGAUACUUGGGACAAACAUACGAGAUCCACGUGUAAACUCGGAGUCGGGUUCCUCCUCUGAUUUGAGAAGGAUGCAUUCAUUUCGGCACUCCAACGCGCCAUUCGAGGGACCAAAAUCGGCUAUGUAUCGCUCCCCCUUCUCUUCCUCUUUCACUCUAAUCUCGCAGUCCGCCAUAGUCCAACAAAUGAUAAGUUACUACAAACUGUUCACGCUCGAGUGCCGUACAAAGAUCACCGCUGAUAUGUGCGCUGUUGAGGAGGCACGACAUGCCGCCUAAAUUGCAGUGAAGGAGGAGAUGCCGGAGGAGUAGGCAGUGCCAUGGAAGGAGGAGGUGCUAGAGGACGAGGAGGAGGGCAUGGAGGAGGCACCGAACAUGGAGGUCGAGCCUGAUAGCUUUAACAUGAAGGAGACGGAGGAUUAGUUCCAACAUUCCCAAGCCGCGGGGGCAAAGGAAACCGUCCUCAACUCAAUACAAUUCAAGCGAAGGUGAUCAAACCGCCUCAGUAUCCACCUCACCAACGUAAGACGGGAGUGGCUCUUUGUGAAACUCAAGGAAGACGACGACGAAGGGAAGCCGGAGUUGCACCUUGGUGCAAAUGACAACGACGCUGGUCCGUUCAGCAUGGUGGUCAUCUACAUCUCCGACGAGGAGUACAAGUAGGGUAAUUUUCAUUCGAAUGUAGCUCAUUUUAUCUAUGUGUGAUGAUGAAUUUUACGUUACAUUAGUAUGAAAAUAAGUGUAUAUGAUUUAUGGCACGAGUCUUCGCCCACGGACAAGAGACACAUCAGAUUUAUUAACUUGUUCGCCGUGAAUACAAAAGCUAGUGAAUGUUGUACUAAUCAUAGCAGUACUCGCACGCCACAUUAUUCUUUCUCCUUUUUUUUAUAAGAUGGCAAAUUAUGUUCUUUUUUGCACAGGCACAUGGCAUUUAAAAAAAAUUUAACAUGGUAGUUUUAAUAAAUAAAAAUUAAAGUAUGUCACAUGGCAAANNNNNNNNNNNNNNNNNNNNNNNNNNNNNNNNNNNNNNNNNNNNNNNNNNNNNNNNNNNNNNNNNNNNNNNNNNNUGUACAUUUCAAUUUUAUAAUUAAUAAUAUGAUAUUUUUUAUUAAUAACAGGAUGGAAAUUUAUUAUUGAGAGGGUGCCAUCUUUUCAAUGGCAUGGCAUAUUUAUUAAUAAUAGGAUGCAUUUUUAUUAUUUGAGAGGAUGACAUUCUAAAUGUCGAGAGGAUGGCAUUUCUAUUUUUAAUGUCAUGCCAAUUUUUAUUACUAAGCACAUGGCAUUUUAUUAAUAAUAGGAUGUCAGUUUUGUUAAUAAUAGAAUGGAAAUUUAUUAACAAUGGGAUGGAAUUUUUAUUAUUGAGAGGGGGUGGCAUUUUAUCAUUGAGAGGAUGCCAUUUUUAUUCUUAAUGGGAUGACAAUUUUUAUUGGGGCUUAUCCACAUAAAACUUUUGAUACCUAGAGGGUGACAAUUUUAUAAAGUAGCGUGCGACUUUUGACAUUUUUUCAUAGCAUGACAUUCUAUAAAUUUAUGUGUUUUUUGUUCAUGGUAUUCUCUAUCUAGAGAGGUAGCAGCUUAAUUUAUGUAAAUUUUCUUUUAUUAUUUUAGUUGAGCACAACAAAUUGUCAUGUAGAAACAUCUAGGUUCAAGAUGAAAUUUGUUUACCGACGUCCGUUAAGGUGUUUCUGGGCGAGGUGGGGUCGCGCUGAGAACCCGCUACAACGAACGUAGGAGAGGACCUUUUGUUCGCUAGUUUCCCGUCUCCAUAGCAAAAGAAACGUUCGUGUGAGGCGAAUGUCUCUUUUGGAUUUUAGCCGGGGUGACCCAUCCUCAAAAGGGUAGAGGGCUAGAUCGAUGUACUAGUCCCUCUGCUAAGUCUAAAUAUAAAGCUCCACACAUGACUAAAGGUCAUAAUAAUGUUGGACAAGAAAAUAUAGUAGCUACUAACACCAGAAUUAUUGAUCCUCCCUCUACACCUAAUGAUGGUAUUUGGUCCCUGGUCUGUAAGAAUAGACGGGGCAAGCACCCUAGAAGAGAACUAAUCAAAUGAAUGCUCUAUUUUGGAAUGUUAGAGGCAUCCAAGCUGCAGGGAGAAAACCUCUUAUCAUAGACACCAUUAAUAGGACCCAUGCCACCAUACUAGGAUUUCAGGAAACUAAGAAAGAGGAGUUCUCCCCCUCUUACCUAAGGUCAUUGGUUGGAGUUAGAGAUUUUUAUUGGCACCACCUGACAUCUAAAGGCACUGUUGGAGGCAUCCUGUUGGGGUGGACCAAGAUUUUUUUGAGGUCAUUUCUUGGUCCCACCUAGAAUUAUCUGUUAGUUGUGUGUUGAGACAAAAAUGGAAUUGUAACAUAUUUAGGGUCAUUACUGUAUAUGGCUCCCCCUAUGAGGAAGGAAAGGGGAGCUUUAUUUCGUAACUUCAUUCUUUGUUUGUACACAUUGUUACACCUACUCUUAUAGGAGGGGACUUUAAUUUGGUUAGAAAUGCUAAAGAGAAGAGCAAUGGGGUUAUCAACCAUAAAUGGAGUGAUAACUUUAAUGCCUGAAUAGAGAUCUCGGGCCUCUUAGAAAUUAAACUUUCUAGUAGGAAAUUCACUUGGGCUAAUAACCAAGUUGAUCUCAUCAUGUCUACUAUUGACAGACUUUUCUAUAACACACACAUGGACAAGCUUUUCCCAGUAGCUUCUUGUAGAACUCUCCCUAAAUGUGGGUGUGACCACACCCCCUUCUAUGGGAUUCUGGACUGGAGGUCCAACCCAGGAAAGGUAGUUUUAAGAUGGAAAAAUGGUGGCUACUUAGGGAUGAUUUCUCCGAUCUAGUCCAUAAGAUGUAGUCAGAACCAAAUAAAGCCACAUCUGCCAUAAUUAACUGGGAGAUUAAGAUUAGGUGCCUUAGGAGAAUCACAAAGGGGUGGAGAUCUAAUGAGGAGGCUAACCUCAGAAGAUAUAAGAUAAUCCUCCACGAAGAGUUUGAUUCACCAGACAUUAAGUCUGAGUCCUUUGAUCUGUUUGAGGUGGAAUUUUCCAGGAUGAAAUUCAUCCAUUCUGUGUUGCAAAAAAUCUGGCUCCAGGAAGAGACAAAAGCUAAGCAAAUAUAUAGAGAUAAGGAAAUUACCGAGGGGGGUAGGAACACUUCUUACUUUCAUGCAAUGGCUAAUCACAAGGAGAAGGAAAACCCUCAUUCACUCACUAGAUGGCCCAGUGGCCAUGUGUCUGACAUUAAAGACAUGCUUAAUGGUGCUAGUUAAUUCUACAAGGAUUUGUUUAAAAAAGAAGAUAGUAGUGGCUUCAAAAUUAGUCCCAAUUUCUUCUCUCCUAAGGAGAAAGUCAUCCAAGCUGAAAAUGAGGCACUUGAAACUCCUUUUACUGAGGAUGAGCUCAAGAAAGGAGUCUUUGAGUCAUUCCGAGAUGGUGCCCCAGGGCCAUAUGGGAUUUCUUUCUUCUUCCAUCAUCAAUUUUGGGACUAGAUUAAAGUUGAGUUCUUGGUGCUGUUCAAUGAAUUACAUAAUGGUGCCCUAGACAUUCAUAGAUUAAACUUUUCUAUGCUCACUUUGAUCCCUAAAGAACCUGAUGCUACUUCCAUGAAAUAAUUUAGCCCUAUUAGCUUAAUUAAUUAUAGCUUUAAAAUCUUCUCCAAGGUCCUCACUAAUAGAGUAUCUAAGAUCCGCUGGAGAUUAAUAGCUAGUAAUCAAUCCGCCUUUCUUAAAGGUAGAUAUAUUUUAGAGAGUGUAGUCACUGCCCAUGAAGUGGUGCAUAUAGUCCACUCUCGGAAAAAACACGGGCUUGUGUUGAAGCUAGACUAUGAGAAAGCUUUUGACAAAGUUGACCUUAACUUCCUUUUAUAUCUUCUUAAAAAGAGGUUUUGGAGAAAAAUGGAUCACCUGGUACAUCAAACUACUCACAAUUGCUCCAUGGGAGUCAAGUUGAAUAAUGUAGAGAGUGAUUUUUUCCUUUCUCGCAAAGGGCUUAGGCAAGGGGAUCCUAUUUCCCCACUUAUCUUCAAGCUAGUAGUAUAUGUCUAACUAAAAUGUUGGCCAAAGUAGCAACUCAUGAGUUGAUUGUUGGGUUGUGCACUCAGGUGUGCCUAGGGGGGACCAUUUGCCUGCAAUAUGCAGAUGACACUCUCCUCUUCUUAGAUAACGACCUCUCUCAUGCCACCAAUCUUAAGACCGUUUUCACCUGUUUUGAGCAAGUUUGUGGCAUGAUAUAACUACUCUAAAAGUUAACCCAUUCCCAUUAAUAUUAUGGAAGCAAAGUUCAAUCAAUUCCUAUCUGCCUUAGAUUGUAAAGGAGAGGAAUUCCCAAUUAAAUACCUAGGGAUUCCCCUCCGCCAUGACAAGCUAAGGAGAGAGGAAAUCCAAUCUCUGAUAAAUAAGAUCAUGAAAAGGAUUGUUGGCUGGAGAGGGAAGCUCAUGUGUUAUAGAGGCAGGCUAAUCUUAAUCCAAGCAUGCCUAGCGAGUAUUCCCAUCUACCUGCUAUUCUUCUUUAAAUUUCCUAAAUAGGCCAUAGAAAUGAUUAACUCUUAGAUGGCCAACUGCAUUUGGAAUUAUUUUCAGGGUCACAUGAAGCUUCACCUAGCUAAUUGGAGACUAGUUUACAUGAAAAAGGAGUUUGGAGUUUUGGGCAUCCCCAACCUUCAAGACAUCAAUCUCUGUUUGUUGGAGUCUUGGGUGAAAAGGUACUGUGAAUGGGAAGGUAAACCCUGGAAAAUGAUCAUAGAUCAAAAGUACAUGGCUGGGAGACCGAAUAUUUUUGCCCCUAACGUCACCCCAAGACCUCUAGGUUAUGUAAAGGGAUCAAAUCCAUUAUCCAAACUCAUUAAAUUGGUUACAAAUGGAAAAUUGGGUUAGGGAGUAGUGUCAAGUUCUGGGAAGAAACCUAGUUUGGAACUUCUCCUCUUGCUGUGUAAUUCUGGCCUAUUUACUCCAUUUGUAAUGAACAAAGUGAAAGUGUUAGAGAGGUUUGGUAUGGGCAUCAGUUGAAACUUACCUUAUGAAGGAUUUGCAAUGGUAUCAGUUAGUGGAGGUGGCCAAAAGUAUGAUUUUCACACACGAUAUCGAUGUUCUAAUUUGGCAACUAGAAAACAAAGGAAAAUAUUCUACUAGCUCCCUUUAUCAUGUGAUUAAUGUUAACCCACAAGUAUAUGGGAUCAUUUGUAGCCAUUUUUGAUAAAUAAGAGUGUCGAACCCAACGAGGAGAAAAAGGUAGAACAAAUAUUCCCUCAAGUUCUAUCGACCACCAAUACAACUCUACGCACACUUGACGUUUGCUUUACCUAAAACAAGAAUAAAACUAGAAGUACUUAGUAGGCCUAAUAGAUAGGUUUGCAAGAUAAUAAAGAACAAGUAAAUAAAAGUUAGGUUUGUUUUGCAAGAAAAUAGAGAGUGUGGAAAUAAAAGUUAGGGGUUGUUUAGUCGAAAGCUUUUUGUGCAACGCAAGAAAAAGGUUGUCCAUAGGCAAUUGAAUAUAACAUGAUAGAUACUUAUCAUGUGCAAUGAGGGAGAGGCAUACGCUAACACACUUGUUGUAAUUGGAUUAUAUGCACUUAUGAUUGGUCCCCUAGCAAAAAUCCGCAACUACUAGAAAUCAUUAAGGUAAACCCAACCAUAGCAUUAAACAUCAAGUCCUCUUUACUCCCAAUACAUGCACAACUCCCUUACUCGGGUGUAAGUUUCUCUCACUCUCUCCAUCCACUAUAAGCAAAUCAUGAACAUAUUGUAAACCCUCCAGCGUAUAUCCUUCGCAUGUGCACCUCACAGAAGGCACCUUAGGAAAACACCAUAUCAAUAACAUCAUAUCACAAUAGACCCGUAGGACAAAACGGAUCUACUCAAACAUCACAGGAUAACCACAUAUCAUUGGGAAAUAUUAUGUAGUGUUGAGCACCAUGUUUAACUAGAGAGUUACAACGGGAAAAGAGGUGUUACAUCGCUGCAUAGAGGGGGAGAGAGUUGGUGUUGACGGCGACAAUAUUGCUGAUGUAGAUCGCCGUCACGCUCCUUGCCCCGACGGCACUCCGGCACCACCGGGAGAGAGGGGGAGAGAGCCCCCCUCCUUAUUCUUCUUCCUUGGCCUCCCCUAUACAUGGGAGGAGAGUUAUCCCUAUGGUCCAUGUCCUCCAUGGUGGCGGAGGGGCAGGAGACCCUACGAGAUUGGAUCUCCCUCUCUCUUAUCUUCUGUUUAGUGUUCCUCAUUUCUAGCCCUUCACCGUUUCUUAAAUUCCCGAAGAUCCGUAACUUCUAUCGGGUUGAAAUUUUUACACGACUUUUUAUCAUAAAUUAUCUUUUUAGUGGACGAAGAAGAGUGAUGACCCACAAGCAUAGGGGAUCUAUUGUAGUCCUUUCAAUAAGAAAGAUAUAGGGGAUCUAUCAUAGUCCUUUCGAUAAGUAAGAGUGUCGAACCCAACGAGGAGCAGAAGGAUCUGACAAGUGGUUUUCAGCAAGGUAAUCUCUGCAAGCACUGAAAUUAUCGGUAACAAGUAGUUGUGUGACAAGAUGAUUCGCAGCAAGUAGCAAGUAACAAAAGUAACUACAGUGCAGCAAAGUGGCCCAAUCCCUUUUGUAGCAAGGGACAAGCCUGGACAAAGUCUUAUAGGACGUAAAACGCUCUCGAGGACACAUGGGAAAUUCUGUGAGCUAGUUUUCAUCAUGUUCAUAUGAUUCACGUUCGCUACUUUGAUAGUUUGAUAUGUGGGUGGACCGGCGCUUGGGUACUUCCCUUACUUGGACAAGCAUCCCACUUAUGAUUAACCCCUCUCGCAAGCAUCCGCAACUAUAAAAUAAGAAUUAAGACAACAUCCCACUUAUGAUUAACCCCUCUCGCAAGCAUCCGCAACUACGAAAGAAGAAUUAAGACAAAGUCUAACCAUAGCAUUAAACUAGUGGAUCCAAAUCAGCACCUUACGAAGCAACGCAUAAACUAGGGUUUAAGCUUAUGUCACUCUAGCAACCCAUCAUCUACUUACUACUUCCCAAUGCCUUCCUCUAGGCCCAAAUAAUGGUGAAGUGUUAUGUAGUCGACGUUCACAUAACACCACUAGAGGGGAGACAACAUACAACACACCAAAAUAUCGAACGAAUACCAAAUUCACAUGACUAUUUAUAGCAUGACUUAUCCCAUAUCCUUAGGAACAAAAGUAACUACUCACAAAGCAUAAUCAUAUUCAUGACCAGAGACGUAAUGAGUAGCAUCAAAGAUCUGAACAUAUAAUCUUCCACCAAGUAAUCCAACUAUAAUCAACUACAAAGAGUAAUUAACACUACUAACAACCUUACAAGUACCAAUCGGAGGCGCGAGACGGAGAUUGGUUACAAGUGAUGAACUAGGGUUUGGAUAUGAGAUGGUGCUGAUGAAGAUAUUGAUGGUGAUGAGUCCCCUCCGAUGAGAGGAGUGUUGGUGAUGACGAUGGCGACGUUUCCCCCUCCGGGAGGGAAGUUUCCCCGGUAGGACGACCCUGUCGGAGCUCUAGAUUGGUUCUGCUCAAGUUCCGCCUCGUGGCGGCGGUGAAUCCUCCCGAAAGCCUCCUCUUGAUUUUUUCUGGAACGAAACCCUUCUUGUAGCAAAAGAGGGGGGCCAGAGGGCCAACUGGGUGCCCACAAGCCCCCUAGGCGCGGCUAGGGGGAGGCCGCGCCUAGCAGGCUUGUGACCUCCUGCUGGCUCCCCUCUGGUACUUCUUCGGCCCAGUAUUUUUUAUAAAUUCCAAAAUAAAUCCUCGUUGAAUUUCAUGGCAUUUGGAGUUGCGCAGAAUAGGUAUCUCAAACUUGCUCCUUUUUCAGGCCAGAAUCCCAGCUGCCGACAUUCUCCCUCUUCAUGUAAACCUUGCAAAAUAAGAGAGAAAAGGCAUAAGUAUUGUAUUGUGAAGUGUAAUAACAUCCCAUAAAGCGAUAAAUAUCAACAUGAAAGCAUGAUGCAAAAUGGACGUAUCAACUCCCCCAAGCUUAGACCUCGCUUGUCCUCAAGCGAAAGCCGAGAUCAAUAAAUAUGCCCACAUGUUUAUAGAGAGAGGUGUCGAAAAACAAUAUACGGACAUGCAGGCAUCAUGAUCAUAUUCAGAACAAUAAUAUCAUCAUAUUAUCUCUCAUGCUAAAGUGAUAAUUCCUUCACAAAGUAAAGUAAGGAUCAAGAACCUUACUGAGAAUUAACAACCAAUAGCCUUUAGUCAUUGAAGCAAUUGCAAUUUAUCAUAACAUCGGAAAGAGUCAAAUAAGAGCUUGUAAAGCAAAUCCACAUACUCAAUCAUCCUUUUGUAUUCUACAAUUGCUACAACUCACGUGGUACUCAUGAGAUCAAAGUUUCAGUCGAACACAGAGAAAGAUAGGGGCUUAUAGUUUCGCCUCCCAACUAUUUACCUCAAGGGUAAUGUCAACAAUAAUAAUUCAUGAAUACUUACUUCCAAGCUGACAUAUGAAUAUAGAUCUUUCCCNNNNNNNNNNNNNNNNNNNNNNNNNNNNNNNNUUCCCUAGCAUAUGACGUUAGCCAACAUAAAAGCGAAAUAAGGAAUUGGUGUAUAUCACCAUGACUCUUUCAAGGGCAAAAAGUAAAGGUACAAGAUAGGCCCUUCGCAGAGGGAAACAGAGGUUGUCAUGCGCUUUUGAGGUUUGGAUGUGUGACCUCUUAGUGUGAAGGAACGUCAAUUUAUAUUGCCUCCUGUGAUAAAGAACUUUAUUAUGCAGUCUGUCGCUUUUAUGUCUUCCUCAUCAUAGGUUCGUACAAAACUUAUUUUCCACACACUAAUAGAUCAUACAUAUUAGGGAGUAUUUUUUAUUGCUUGCACUGAUCACAACUUACUUGAGGGAUCUUAUUCAAUCCAUAGGUAGGUAUGGUGGACUCUCAUGGAAAAACUGGGUUGAAGGUUAAUGGAUGCACAAGUUGUAUCUCUACUUGGUGCGGGAGUUUUGGCUAAUAUGAGGUGGAAGCAAUCGUCACAUGCUCAGGGAUCUCUAGUCAUAUAACAUUGUUCGGAACCAAGCAAACACAAUUCAUUAUGUUGUCUUCCUUGUCCAACAUCUACUUCUAAGCAUGUAAUAGUUUAGUGAGUGUUCACAAUCAUAGAUGGUGUUAAAUAUGAUAUAUUUAUAUGUGAACCUCUCCUUCUUUAUCACUUCCUAUUAAUUGCAACAAUGACCAAGGUCUACGUUUGUCUACCCUCAACAAGUUUCAAUCAACAUUCUUUUUAUAUGUGAAGCCAUCACUUCCCAUAAGAUCAUUACAUGAUCUUUCAUGCUUUUGUUCUUUUCUCAUUCUCUUGAUCAUGGCAUGAAGCAAGGCCCUUAACUAAGACACUCUUUAUUAUAUGGCUCACGAGCUCAAAUACAUCGGGGGUGACACAAAGCAAAACUCAAGCCUAAAACACUAAGAACUUUAUUCUACUAGAGAAAGAUAAAACCAAAAAGGAACGAACUAAGAAAAGGUAAAGGCAAAAGAUAUGAUGGUGAUACGAUACCGGGGCAACUCCCCCAAGCUUGGCAUAAGCCAAGGGGAUUGCACAUACCCAUGCUUAGUUGUCUUCCUUUGGAGGUGAUGGUGGUGGAGCUGUUUUGUCUUUUGAUUCCAAGAGGGUCAUCAAUCUUUGAUUUAUACCUUGGAGCUCUGUGAUAUGUUUCUCCAACAAAACAAAUUCACGAGUGAGAAAAGUAUUGCGAACACGAGUUGUUUCACAAAACCUUAAGAGUUCAAUCAAGGAUGGAGACAGUAGGUGGAGGUAGGGUCGAAGGAAAUCCACUUCCUUGUUGAACACAGAUUUCCCUUCGUCCCACGCGUGAUUCUCCUCCUUAGUUUUGCCCUUGGCUUCCAUAACUUCCACUCUUUUCAGAUUAGCAACUACUUCUUCAUAGACUUGAGGGAAAUUGUUCUCCCCGAAAGAUUCCUGAGACGACAUCCUUGCUCUAAAUCCGUGGCAGAAAGUAGGCUCGAAACGAAAAUAGAGGAAAAUUGCGUGAUACGAGGGUCAGACCUCACGGGAGAAUAUACAGUGAUUUUUUUCCGACCAGAAGGAGUACUCCACAAGAAAACGGAGUCCGGGAGGUGCACGAGGUGGUCACAGGCCCCCCAGGCGCGGUGAGGGGGUGGCCCGCGCCUGGCAGGCUUGUCGCCUCCUCGUGCGCUUUCCGGACUCCUUUAAAUUUUUCUAUUUUUUCAAAAAUUCCAAAACGAAGAAAAAUUUUACUGGAAAAGUUUUGGAGUCUGUUUACUUACCGAAUCACAUACCUCUUCGUUUUUGGAGUGUGAAACAGGCUGAUAAAUAUCCCUUAUGUACUCCUCCGGACUUAUGGUAUUGAUAAUAUUGCUUUCAACAUUUAUGGGAGUACGUGAGAUAUAAUGCUUGAUUCUCUGCCCAUUUACCACUCUCGGAAAAUUACCUUCCGUGUUGUUGAUCUUGAUGGCACCAGAACGAUAUACUUCCUCAACAAUGUAAGGACCUUCCCAUUUAGAGAGAAGCUUGCCUGCAAAAAAUCUUAAACGAGAAUUAUAUAGCAAGACAUAAUCACCUACAUUGAACUCACGCUUUUGUAUCCUUUUAUCAUGCCACCUCUUAACCUUUUCUUUGAACAACUUGGCAUUUUCAUAUGCCUGAGCUCUCCAUUCAUCAAGCGAGCUAAUAUCAAACAAUCUCUUCUCACCAGCAAGUUUGAAAUCAAAGGUGAGCUCUUUGAUUGCCCAAUAAGCCUUGUGCUCUAGCUCAAGAGGUAAAUGACAUGCUUUACCGUAAACCAUUUUGUACGAAGACAUGCCCAUGGGAUUCUUAUAGGCAGUUCUAUAAGCCCACAAUGCAUCAUCGAGCUUCUUAGACCAAUUCUUUCUAGACCUAUUGACAGUCUUUUGCAGAAUUAGUUUAAUCUCUCUAUUACUUAGCUCUACUUGACUACUGGACUGAGGGUGAUAGGGAGAUGCAAUUCUAUGAUUGACAUCAUACUUAGCAAGUGUUUUACGGAAAGCACCAUGAAUGAAAUGUGAACCACCGCCGGUCAUUAGAUAUCUAGGGACUCCAAAUCUAGGGAAAAUAACUUCUUUAAGCAUCCUGAUAGAGGUGUUGUGAUGAACACUACUAGUCGGGAUAACUUCUACCCACUUAGUAACGUAAUCAACAACAACUAGGAUAUGAGUAUACCAAAUGGAUUUUGGAAACGGUCCCAUAUAAUCAAAGCCCCAAACAUCAAAUUGUUCAAUGACAAGUGAAUAAUUCAUAGGCAUUUCCUGACGUUUACUGAUAUUACCUAUUAUUUGACAUUCGUCACAACACAAGACAAACUUACGGGCAUCCUUGAAGAGAGUGGGCCUAUAGAAACCUGAUUGCAAUACCUUGUGUGCAGUUCUAUCUCCCGCAUGGUGUCCUCCGUAGGCCUCAGAGUGACACUUCUGUAGGAUCUGUCCCUGUUCAUGUUCAGGUACACAACUUCUAAUAACACCAUCUAAUCCUUCCUUAUAAAGGUGAGGAUCAUCCCAAAAGUAAUGUCUCAAUCAAAGAAGAAUUUCUUCUUUUGUUGGUAUCUGAAACUAGGUGGUAUAUAUUUGGCAACGAUAUAAUUUGCAUAAUCAGCAUGCCAGGGUGUACUACGUGAAGUAUUGAUGACAUUCAAUUGCUCAUCAGGAAAGCUAUCAUCAAUAAGUUGUGGGUCAUCAAGAACAUUCUCCAACCUAGACCAGUUAUCUGCUACGGGGUUCUCAGCUCCCUUCCCGUCGACAACUUGCAAAUCAAAUUCUUGUAGCAAGAGAACCCAUCUGAUAAGUCUAGGUUUAGCGUCUUUCUUCUCCAUGAGGUACUUAAUAGCAGCGUGAUGAGUGUGAAUAGUGACUUUGGAAUCAACUAUGUAAGAUCUGAACUUUUCACAUGCAAACACGACUGCCAAAAAUUCCUUUUCCGUAGUAGCAUAGUUUCUGUGGGCACUGUCUAGAGUUUUACUAGCAUAGUGAAUAACAUUCAACUUCUGAUCAACUCUUUGUCCUAGGACAACACCAACAGCAUAAUCACUAGCAUCACACAUGAUUUCAAAAGCUAAGUUCCAAUCAGGUGGUUGAACAAUAGGUGCAGUUAUCAAAGCCUUCUUAAGUAUUUCGAAGGCUUCCUCACAAUCAUCGUCAAAAACAAAAGGAAUAUCCUUUUGCAAGAGAUUGGUAAGAGGCCUAGAAAUCUUAGAGAAGUCUUUAAUGAACCUUCUAUAGAAACCAGCAUGACCAAGGAAGCUUCUUAUACCUUUGAUAUAUGUGGGGCAUGGCAUUUUCUCGAUCGCAUCCACCUUAGCCUUAUUGACUUCCAUACCUCUUUCAGAAAUUUUAUGUCCUAAGAUGAUGCCUUCAUUAACCAUAAAGUGGCACUUCUCCCAAUUCAAGACAAGGUUGGUGUCUUUACAUCUAUGCAAGACUCGAUCAAGGUUGCUGAGGCAAUCAUCAAAAGAAGACCCGUAAACGGAGAAGUCAUCCAUGAAAACCUCAACAAUAUUUUCACAAAAGUCAGAAAAUAUAGCCAUCAUACAUCUUUGAAAGGUAGCAGGUGCAUUACAUAAACCAAAAGGCAUACGUCUGUAAGCAAAGGUACCGAAAGGGCAGGUGAAGGUGCUUUUCUCCUGAUCAGAUUGUGCAACUGGUAUUUGGUAGAAACCAGAAUAACCAUCUAGAAAGCAGAAGUGUGUGUGUUUAGACAGUCUUUCUAGCAUUUGGUCGAUAAAAGGCAAAGGGUAAUGAUCUUUCCUAGUGGCCUUAUUCAAUUUCCUAAAAUAUUUCACCAUCCAAUAGCCAGUAAUAAUCCUCUAUGGGAUCAAUUCAUCCUUAUAAUUAGGGACAACGGUAAUACCUCCCUUCUUAGGGACGCAAUGCACCGGACUUACCCAAUCACUAUGAGCAACAGGAUAAAUAAUACCUUCUUCCAGGAGCUUUAGUAUUUCUUUCCUUACUACCUCUUUCAUCUUAGGAUUUAAUCUCGAUUGAUGAUCAACAACUGGUUUGGAAUCAGGAUCGGUUUUAAUCUUGUGCUGGCAUAAGGUGGGACUAAUGCCCUUAAGAUCAUCAAGAGUAUAUCCAAUAGGAGCACGGUGCUUCCUUAGAGUUUUUAGUAACUUCUUCUCUUCAUGCUCUGAGAGACUAGCACUAAUAAUAACAUGAUAUAUCUAUUUUUCAUCAAGAUAAGUAUACUUAAGAGUAUCAGGCAACUGUUUAAGCUCGAACACAGGAUCACCCUUUGGUGGGGGUGGAUCUCCAAGCAGUUCAACAGGAAAAUUAUUCUUAAGAAUCGGAUAUUGUUCAAAGACAACUCUAUCUAUCUCAUCCCUUUCAUCCAUAUGCAUAUCAUUUUCAUGCUCAAGCAAGUAUUGCUCUAAAGGAUCAGUAGGAGGCACAACAAUAGCAGCUAGGGCAAUAGUUUCAUCCUUACUAGGCAACUCUUUUUCAUGAGGUUGUCUACCAAACUUGGAGAAAUUGAACUCACGUGACACACCUUCAAAGCCAACAGUGACAGUUUGCUUCUGACAGUCAAUAUGAGCAUUGACAGUAUUGAGAAAAGGUUUGCCAAAUAUGAUGUGACAAAAGCUAUAUUGUGUGGUAGCAAGAACGAGGAAAUCAGCAGGAUACUUCGUUUUACCACACAAAACUUCAACAUCUCUAACAUAUCCCACAGGAGAGAUAUUAUCUCUAUUGGCAAGCUGAAUAGUGACAUCAAUAGGUUCCAUCUCAACAGGUGCAAUCUCGUCUUUAAUUUCAUCAUAUAAGGAUCGAGGUAUUGCACUAACACUAGCACCCACAUCACAUAAACCAUGAUAACAAUGAUCUCCUAUCUUAACAGAAACAACAGGCGUGCCAACAACAAGCCUAUGUUUGUCUGUAGCAUGAGGUUUAGCAAUUCUAGCAGCAUCUUCACACAAGUGAAUAUCAUGGCCAUCAACAUUGUCGGACAGGAGGUCUUUGAUAAUAGCAAUGCUAGGUUCAACUCUAAUUUGCUUAGGGGUGUAGAUGUUCUAAUGUAGCCCCUAUGUAUCACAGUUGAAGCUUUAGAAUGAUCCUUUAUCCUAACAGGGAAAGGUGGUUUCUCAAUGUAAGCACUAGGAACAAUAGGAUCAUUAUAGGCAAUGACUUUCUCUUCAACUGGAUUGGGUUUGACUACAUUGACUUCUAAGGGAGGAUGAUAUUUAAGCCACUUCUCUUUGGGGAGGUCAAUAUGAGAAGCAACUGAUUCACACAAUGAAGCUACUAUCUCAGAGUGAAGUCCAUACUUAGCGCUAAAAUCACAAAAAGUAUUUGUUUCAACAAAGGAUUUAACGCAAUCAAACUUGAAAUUCAUACUUGACUCCUUACCUUCAUCAAGCUCCCAAUCUUCAUAGUUGCGUUUAAUCCUUUCCAAUAAAUUACAUCUGAAGUCAAUAGCUCUCUUCAUAAAAGAACCGGUACAAGAAGUGUCAAGCAUGGUGCAAUCAUCAUGAGAAAGCCGAUCAUAGAAGUUGUGAAUGAUAAUUUCUCUCGAGAGCUCAUGGUUGGGGCAUGAAUAUAACAUUGAUUUAAGCCUCCCCCAAGCUUGAGCAAUGCUUUCUCUGUCACGAGGCCAAAAAAUAUAAAUAUAAUUCCGAUCACGAUGUACUAGAUGCAUAGGAUAAAACUUUUGAUGAAAUUCCAAUUUCAACCGAUUGUAGUUCCAUGAUCCAGUAUCAUCACAUAGCCUAUACGAUGUCAAUGCUCUAUCCCUCAAAGAUAAGGGAAAGACCUUCUUCUUGACGUCAUCCUCGGGCAAACCUGCAAACUUAAAUAAACCACAAACUUCAUCUACAUAGAUUAGAUGCAAGUCUUGAUGUGAUGUUCCAUCUUGUGUAAAAGGAUUAGCCAGCAGUUUCUCAAGCAUACCCGAACGAAAUUCAUAGCAAAUAUUUUCAGUAGGUGCAGCAGGUUGAGGAGAAACUCUUUGUGCUUCCGUUCGAGGUGAAGAUACCUCGAACAAGCUCCUCAAAGGAUUAGUUUCCAUAGUGACAAGUGACAAUAAAUUUCAGCACACUAUAUAAAUGUUUCCUUACCAAUUUCCACUUACCAAAGGCGCUUCACUCCUCGGCAACGGCGCCAGAAAAGAGUCUUGAUGACCCACAAGUAUAGGGGAUCUAUCAUAGUCCUUUCGAUAAGUAAGAGUGUCGAACCCAACGAGGAGCAGAAGGAUCUGACAAGUAGUUUUCAGCAAGGUAAUCUCUGCAAGCACUGAAAUUAUCGGUAACAAGUAGUUGUGUGACAAGAUGAUUCGCAGCAAGUAGCAAGUAACAAAAGUAACUACCAUGCAGAAAAGUUGCCCAAUCCCUUUUGUAGCAAGGGACAAGCCUGGACAAAGUCAUAUAGGACGUAAAACGCUCCUGAGGACACAUGGGAAAUUCUUCAAGCUAGUUUUCAUCAUGUUCAUAUGAUUCGCGUUCGCUACUUUGAUAGUUUGAUAUGUGGGUGGACCGGCGCUUGGGUACUUCCCUUACUUGGACAAGCAUCCCACUUAUGAUUAACCCCUCUCGCAAGCAUCCGCAACUACGAAAGAAGAAUUAAGACAAAGUCUAACCAUAGCAUUAAACUAGUGGAUCCAAAUCAGCCCCUUACGAAGCAACGCAUAAACUAGGGUUUAAGCUUCUGUCACUCUAGCAACCCAUCAUCUACUUACUACUUCCCAAUGCCUUCCUGUAGGCCCAAAUAAUGGUCAAGUGUUAUGUAGUCGACGUUCACAUAACACCACUAGAGGGGAGACAACAUACAACACAUCAAAAUAUCGAACGAAUACCAAAUUCACAUGACUAUUUAUAGCAUGACUUAUCCCAUGUCCUCAGGAACAAAAGUAACUACUCACAAAGCAUAAUCAUAUUCAUGACCAGAGAGGUAAUGAGUAGUGAUGACCCACAAGUAUAGGGGAUUAAUCGUAGUCCUUUGGAUAAGUAAGAGUGUCGAACCCAACGAGGAGGAGAACGCUCUGAUAAACGGUUUUCAGCAAGGUAAUAACUGCAAGCACUGAAAGUAGCGGUAACAAGUGAUGGUGUAGUGAGGUGAAACGUAGCAAGCGAAAAGUAACAAGUAACAAGUAGUAGCAACGGUGCAGCAAGUGUCCCAAUCCCUUUUGUGGGACAAGCCUGGACAAAGUCUUAUAAGAGAAAAAACGCUCCCGAGGACACACGGGAAUUUCUGUCAUGCUAGUUUCAUCAUGUUCAUAUGAUUCGCGUUCGUUACUUUGAUAGUUUGAUAUGUGGUUGGACCGGCGCUUGGGUACUGCCCUUAAUUGGACAAGCAUCCCACUUAUGAGUAACCCCUCUCGCAGGCAUCCGCAACUACAAAAGAAGAAUUAAGACAACGUCUAACCGUAGCAUUAAACUAGUGGAUCCAAAUCAGCCCCUUACGAAGCAAUGCAUAGACUGCGGUUUAAGCUUCUGUCACUCCAGCAACCCAUCAUCUACUUACUACUCCCCAAUGCCUUCCUCUAGGCCCAAAUAUGGUGAAGUGUUAUGUAGUCGACGUUCACAUACCACCACUAGAGGAAAAACAACAUACAACAUAUCAAAAUACCGAACGAAUACCAAACUCACAUGACUAUUAUUAGCAUGACUUAUCCCAUGUCCUCAGGAACAAAAGUAACUACUCACAAAGCAUAAUCAUAAUCAUGAUCAGAGGUCUAAUGAAUAGCAUCAAGGAUCUGAACAUAAGCUCUUCCACAAAGUAAUCCAACUAGCAUCAACUACAAAGAGUAAUCAACACUACUAGCAACCUUACAAGUACCAAUCGGAGUCGCGAGACGGAGAUUGGUUACAAGAGAUGAAGUAGGGAUUGUAGAUGAGAUGGUGCUGAUGAAGAUGUUGAUGGAGAUGCCUCCCCUCCGAUGAGAGGAGUGUUGGUGAUGACGAUGGCGACGAUUUCCCCCUCCGGGAGGGAAAUUUCCCCGGCAGGAUCGUCCUGCCGGAGCUCUAGAUUGGAUCUCCUCAAGUUCCGCCUCGUGGCGGCGGCGAAACCACGAAAAAGCUCCCUAUUGAUUUUUUCUGGAACGAAACCCUUCAUAUAGAAUCCAUGAAAAAGCUCCCGAUUGAUUUUUUCUGGUACGAAACCCUUCAUAUAGCAAAAGAGGGGGCCAGUGGGCCGCCAGGGUGCCCACAAGCCCUGUUGUCGCGGCCAAGGGGUAGGCCGCGACAACCAGGCUUGUGGGCCCCUGGUUGCUCCCCUCUGACUCUUCUUUCGCCCAGUAUUUUUUAUAAAAUCCAAAAAAAAUCCACGUUGAUUUUCAGGGCAUUUGGAGUUGCGCAGAAUAGAGCACUCAGACUUGCUCCUUUUCCAGUCCAGAAUUCCAGGUGCCGGUAUUCUCCCUCUUCAAAUAAACCUUGCAAAAUAAGAGAGAAAAGGCAUAAGUAAGGUUCCACAAAGUAUAAUAAUAGUCCAUAAAGUAAUAAAUAUCAACAUGAAAGCAUGAUGCAAAAUGGACGUAUCAACUUCCCCAAGCUUAGACCUCGCUUGUCCUCAAGCGAAAACCAAGACACAAAACAUGUCCACAUGUUUAGGGAUGAAGGUGUCGAUAAAACAUAAUACAUACAUGAGGGCAUCAUGAUCACACAUAGAACAUCAAUACAUCAUAGAGAUUCUUAUGGGGGAGUAAUAAUUCCUUCACAAAGCAAAGUAUGAAACAAAAACCUUACCAAGAAGUAGCCAACAACAGUCCAUGGUCAUUGAAGCAAUUGCAUUUUAUCAUAUUAUCAGAAAGAGUCCAAUAAUAGCUUGUAUGGCAAAUCCACAUACUCAAUCAUCUCUUUUGUUUUCCACAAUUAUUACUACUCACGUGGUACUCAUGUAUCGAAGUUUCAGUUGGACACAGAGAAAGAUAGGGGCUUAUAAUUUUUCCUCCCAACCAUUUACCUCAAGGGUAAAGUCAACAAUAAUAAAGCAUAAGUACUCAUCUCCAAGUUGAUAUAUGAAUAUAGAUCUUUCCCAAGCAUAUGACGGUAGCCGAGAUAAAGGAGAAAUAAGGAAUUGGUGAAGAUCAUCAUGACUCUUUCAAGGGCAAAAAGUAAAGGUACAAGAUAGGCCCUUCGCAGAGGGAAGCAGAGGUUGCCAUGCGCUUUUGAGGUUUGGAUGCGUGUCCUCUUAGUGCGGAGGAACGUCACUUUAUAUUGCCUCCUGUUACAAAGAACUUUAUUAUGCAGUCUGUGGCUUUUAUGUCUUCCUCAUCACAUGUUCGUACAAAGCUUAUUUUCCACACACUAACAGAUCAUACAUAUUAGAGAGCAAUUUUUAUUGCUUGCACCGAUGACAACUUACUUGAGGGAUCUUAUUCAAUCCAUAGGUAGGUAUGGUGGACACUCAUGGCAAAACUGGGUUGAAGGUUUAUGGAUGCACAAGUUGUAUCUCUACUUGGUGCAGGAGUUUUGGCUAAUAUGAGGUGGAAGCAAUCGUCACAUGCUAAGGGAUCUCUAAUCAUAUAAAAUUGUUUGGAACAAAGCAAACACAAUUCAUUAUGUUGUCUUCCUUGUCCAACAUCUACUUCUAGGCAUGUAAUAGUUGGUGAGUGCUCACAAUUAUAGAAAGUGUCUAAGAUGAUAUAUUUAUAUGUGAACCUCUCUUUCCUUAUUACUUCUUAUUAAUUGCAACAAUGACUGAGGUCUAUGUUGGUCUAUUCUCAACAAGUUUCAAUCAUCAUACUUGUUAUAUGUGAAGUUAUCACUUUCCAUAAGAUCAUCUCAUGACCUUUCAUGCUAUCGUUCUCUUCAUACUUUUGAUCACGACACAAAACAAAGCCCUUGACUAAGAUACUCUUUAUUAUAUAGCUCGCAAGCUCAAAUAUAUCGAGGGAGACACAAAGCAAAAGACUCAAACUAAAACACUAAAGACUUAUUCCAAUAAGAGAAGAAAUAAAAACUGAAAAGGAAAGAACUAAAACAAAGGUAAAAGCAAAAGAUAUAAAGGCGAUACGAUACCAGGGCAACUCCCCCAAGCUUGGCAAAAGCCAAGGGGAUUUCCCAUACCAAUGCUUAGUUAUCUUCCUUUGGUGGUGAGGGCGGUGGUGUUGUUGAAGUAGUCUGAUCCUCCGUCUUCCAAGGCAUAGGUGCUCCAUCAUGGCAGGAUGAACGAGUCGCCGGAAUCCUCAAAUCUGCAGCCAAACGUAUUGAUUUAAAUCUAUACGCAUACUCACAGUUUUGGUUCUGCAGGUCAUAGAUCUGGCCGUGGAGUUGAUACAAACUGUCAUAGAGCCUGGAGAGGUGCUUCCCAAUAUCAACGGCAUCCAUCUUGUGAUUGCUGGUGAACUCCGUGAUCAUCAUGUGGUUGGCGUUGAGUCCACGCUCCACCAUCCCUUGGCACUUGAAGACUUGUUGCUCCAUUGCUUCGAGCCUCGUCUCCACGCUUCCGGUCUUCUUAGGCCCCUCAACAUCACGGAUGUGCAACAUCCCCUCGCUCAUCUUGAUAGAUUGGGGGUGCUGCAACACUUCCGUUAGGUAAGGAUUGAUGACCUUCUCGAAGAUCUUGUCCUUACGAACUUUUGGGGAAGUCAUGACGAUCUAGAUCUGCAGCAGAAACAAGCUCGAAAUGAAAACAGAGGAAAACUACGCGAUACGGAGAUCAAAACCCUCGAGCGUAUAUAUAAUGAUUUUUUCUAGACCAGAAGGAGUGCUCCGCAAGAAAACGGAGUCCGGGAGGCACACGAGCUGCCCACAAGCCCUGUUGCCGCGGCCAGGGGGGUAGGCCACGACAACCAAGCUUGUGGCCGCCUCGUGCACUCUCCGGACUGCUUUUUUAUUUUCCUAAUUUUCCAUAAAUUCCAAAACGGAGAAAAUUUCCUAUUGGAAAAGUUUCGGAGUCCAAUUACUUACCGAAACAGAUACCUCUUGGUUUUGAGGGUCUGAAACAUGCUGAUAAACAUCCCUUAUGUACUCCUGUGGAGUUAUAAUAUUAAUGAUAUUGGUCUCAACAUUUAUGGGAGUACCAGAGAUAUAAUUCUCGAUUCUUUGCCCGUUUACCACUCUAGGAAAAUUACCUUCCGUGUUAUUGAUUUUGAUGGCACCGGAACGAUAUACUUCCUCGACAACGUAGGGACCUUCCAAUUUAGAGAGGAGCUUGCCUGUGAAGAACCUUAAACGAGAAUUGUAUAGUAGGACAUAGUCACCUACAUUGAACUCUCGUUUUUGUAUUCUUUUGUCGUGCCAUCUCUUAACCUUUUCCUUGAACAACUUGGCAUUCUCAUAUGCCUGGGCCCUCCAUUCAUCAAAUGAGCUGAUAUCAAACAACCGCUUCUCACCAGCAAGUUUGAAAUCGAAGUUGAGCUCUUUGAUUGCCCAAUAAGCUUUGUGUUCUAGCUCAAGAGGUAAAUGACAGGCCUUACCGUAAACCAUUUUAUACGGUGACAUGCCCAUGGGAUUCUUAUAGGCAGUCCUAUAAGCCUAUAGUGCAUCGUCAAGUUUGCUAGACCAAUUCUUUCGAGAUCUAUUGACGGUCUUUUGUAAGAUCAAUUUGAUCUCCCUAUUACUCAACUCCACUUGACCACUAGACUGAGGAUGAUAAGGAGAUGCAACUCUGUGGUUGACAUCAUACUUAGCGAGCAUCUUGCGUAAAACACCAUGAAUGAAGUGUGAACCGCCAUCAGUCAUCAGAUAUCUAGGGACUCCAAAUCUUGGGAAAAUGACUUCUUUAAGCAUCUUAAUAGAGGUGUGGUGAUCAGCAUUCUUAGUGGGGAUAGCCUCUACCCACUUAGUGACAUAAUCCACACCAACUAAGAUGUGAGUGUACCCAUUGGAACUCGGGAAAGGUCCCAUAUUAUCAAAGCCCCAGACAUCAAAUGGUUCAAUGACUAGUGAAUAGUUCAUAGGAAUUUCCUGACGUUUGCUAAUGUUCCCUAUUCUUUGACAUUCGUCAGACGACAAGACAAACUUACGGGCAUCCUUGAAGAGAGUGGGCCAAUAGAAACCUGAUUGCAAUACCUUAUGAGCGGUUCUGUCUCCACCAUGGUGCCUUCGUAGGCCUUGGAAUGACACUUCUGCAGGAUCUGUCCCUGUUCAUGUUCAGGAACACAACGUCUAAUAACACCAUCUACUCCUUCCUUAUAAAGGUGAGGAUCAUCCCAAAAGUAGUGUCUCAAAUCAAAGAAGAAUUUAUUCCUUUGCUGGUAGGUGAAACUGGGUGGUAUAUAUUUGGCUACGAUAUAGUUUGCAUAAUCAGCAUACCACGGUGCACUAUGUGAAGUGCGGAUGACAUUCAAUUGCUCAUCAGGAAAGCUAUCAUCAAUAGGUAGUGGGUCAUCAAGGACAUUCUCUAGCCUAGACAAGUUAUCUGCUACAGAGUUAUCAGCACCCUUUCGGUCAACAACGUGCAAAUCAAAUUCCUGUAGCAGGAGAACCCAUCUGAUUAACCUAGGCUCAGCGUCCUUCUUCUCCAUGAGGUACUUAAUAGCAGCAUGAUCAGAGUGAAUAGUGACUUUGGAGUCAACUAUAUAAGAUCUGAACUUUUCACAUGCAAACACGACUGCUAAAAACUCCUUCUCCGUAGUGGCAUAGUUUCUUUGGGCACUGUCUAGAGUUUUACUAGCGUAGUGAAUGACAUUCAACUUCUUCUCAACUCUUUGUCCUAGAACAGCACCAACAACAUAAUCACUAGCAUCGCACAUGAUUUCAAAGGGCAAGUUCCAAUCAGGUGGUUGAACAAUAGGUGUGGUUAUCAAGGCCUUCUUAAGUAUUUCGAAAGCUUCCUCACAAUCCUCAUCAAAAACAAAAGGAACAUCCUUCUGCAAGACGUUGGUAAGAGGCCUAGAAAUCUUAGAGAAGUCUUUAAUGAAUCUUCUAUAGAAACCAGCAUGACCUAGGAAACUUCGUAUACCUCUGAUAUCUGUGGGGCAAGGCAUUUUAUCAAUUGCAUCAACCUUAGCCUUAUCAACUUCAAUGCCUUUCUCAGAGAUUUUGUGUACUAAGACGAUGCCUUCAUUAACCAUGAAGUGGCACUUCUCCCAGUUCAAGACGAGGUUGGUAUCUUUGCAUCUCUGUAAGACUCGGUCAAGGUUGCUGAGGCAAUCGUCAAACAAAGAACCGUAAGCGGAGAAAUCAUCCAUGAAAACCUCAACAAUCUUUUCACAAAAGUCAGAGAAUAUAGCCAUCAUACAUCUUUGAAAGGUGGCAGGUGCAUUGCACAAGCCAAAAGGCAAACGUCUAUAAGCAAAGGUACCGAAGGGGCAGGUGAAAGUGGUUUUCUCCUGAUCAAAUUGUGCAACAGGUAUUUGCGAGAAACCUGAAUAACCGUCUAGAAAGCAGAAGUGUGUGUGUUUAGAUAGCCUUUCUAGCAUCUGGUCGAUAAACGGCAAAUGAUAAUGGUCUUUCCUGGUUGCCUUGUUCAGUUUCCGGAAAGCUAUCACCAUCCUAUGGCCCGUAAUAAUCCUCUGCGGGAUUAGUUCAUCCUUAUCAUUAGGAACGGCGGUGAUACCUCCCUUCUUAGGUACGCAAUCUACUGGACUUACCCAAUCACUAUGAGCAACAGGAUAGAUGAUUCCUGCUUCCAGAAGCUUUAAUAUUUCUUUUCUCACGACCUCUUUCAUCCUCGGAUUUAAGCUCCGUUGAUGAUCAGCAACUGGCUUAGAAUCAGGAUCAGAUUUAAUCUUGUGCUGACAUAGUGUGGUACUAAUACCCUUAAGAUCAUCAAGAGUAUAUCAAAUAGCAGCACGGUGCUUCCUCAAGGUCUUUAAUAACUUCUUCUCUUUGUGAUCCGAGAGGUGAGCACUAAUAAUAACAGGAUAUAUCUCCUUCUCAUCAAGAUAGGCAUACUUAAGAGUAUCUGGUAACUGUUUUAGAUCGAACACAUGAUCACCCUUUGGUGGGGGAGGAUCCCCAAGCAAUUCAACAGGAAGAUUAUUCUUGAGAAUAGGAUAUUGCUCUCAAACAAUUUUAUCUAUCUCAUCUCUUUCCUCCAUAUGCAUAUCAUUUUCAUGCUCAAGCAGAUAUUGCUCUAAAGGAUCCGUAGGAGGUACGACAAUAGAGGCAAGAGCAAUGAUUUCAUCCCUACCAGACGACUCUUUUUCAUGGGGUUGUCUUCCAAACUUGGAGAAGUUAAAUUCAUGAGACACACCCUCGAAACUAACAGUGACAGUCUGUUUAGUGCAAUCAAUGUGAACAUUGACAGUGUUGAGAAAGGGUCUACCAAAUAUGAUGGGACAAAAGCUAUCUUGUGAAGUGGCAAGGACGAGGAAAUCAGUAGGAUACUUCGUCUUACCACACAUGACUUCUACGUCUCUCACAAUUCCCAGAGGGCAGAUAGUGUCUCUAUUAGCUAGUGUAAUAGUGACAUCAAUGGGUUCUAACUCAGUAGGUGCAAUCUCAUCUUUGAUUUCAUCAUAUAGGGAACGGGGUAUUGCACUAACACUAGCUCCCAUAUCACAUAAACCAUGGUAACAGUGAUCUCCUAUCUUGACAGAAACAACGGGCAGGCCAACUACAGGUCCGUAUUUGUAUUUCGCGUGAGGCUUAGCUAUUCUAGCAGAGCCCUCACAGAAUUUGAUAACAUGCCCAUCUAUGUCUUCGGCUAAGAGAUCUUUGAUAAUAUCAACACUAGGUUCAACUCUAAUCUCCUCAGGGGGUGCAAGUGGUCAAAUGUAACCCCUACGUAUCACAGUUGGAGCUUUAGAAUAAUCCUUUUUCCUAGCAGGGUAAGGUGGUUUCUCAGGGUAGGCACAAGGAAUAACAGGAUCACUAAAAGCAAUGACUUUCUCCUCAACUAGAUUGGUUUUGGCUAUGUUGCUUUCUACAGGAGGAUGAUACUUAAACCACUUCUCUUUGGGAAGAUCAACAUGAGCAGCAAAAGAUUCACAUAGAGAAGUUACUAUCUCAGAGUCAAUUCCAUACUUAGCGCUAAAAUCUGUAGAAGUGUUUGUCGCAACAAAGGUUUAACGCAAUCAAACUGGAAAUUCAUACCUCACUCCUUACCUUCUUCCAGCUCCCAAUCUUCAGAGUUAUGUUUCAUUCUUUCCAAUAAAUUCCACUUAUGGUCAAUAUCCUUCUUCAUAAAAGAACUGGUACAAGAAGUGUCAAGCAUGGUACGAUCUUCAUGGGAAAGUGCUACUGCAACAAAAGACCUUCCAAUGGCGCCAGAAAUAGGAGUGUUGCUUGAUACUCCUCAGCAACGGCACCAGGAAUCCUUCAGCUGUGGCUACGCCUUAAGGGACUUCCUAGGCAAGUAUGCAAAGGAUUUCCCCCGUGGCCUUGGAGCCUUGCUUUGGUGUUCCCUCAAAGCGGAAAGGGUGAUGUAGCGUAGCGGUGGUAAGUAUUUCCCUCAGUUUGAGAACCAAGGUAUCAAUCCGGCGGAAGAGUAUCUCAAGAUCCUGCACAAACACAAAAGCUUGCACCCAACGCUAUGAAGGGGUUGUCAAUCCCUUAUAGAUUGUUUGCCAAGUGAGAACUAAAAGCAACAAAGUAACAAAGCAACGUAAAAGCGGAGGUGUAAACGAUAGAUGUGAAUAGAGCCGGGGGCCGUAGUGUUUACUAGUGGCUUCUCUCAUGCAACAAAGUAACAAAGCAAAGUAAAAGCGGAGGUGUAAACGAUGGAUGUGAAUAGACCCGGGGGUCGUAGUGUUUACUAGUGGCUUCUCUCAUGAAAGCAAGUAGACGGAGGGUGAACAAAUUACUGUCAAGCAAUUGAUAGAACUGUGCAGAGUCGUGCCGAUAUCUAUGGAAUGGUUAUUUCUAUAAGCAUCACAUCCGAAACAAGUAGAGCGAUACUGUCUGCAUCUACUACUAUUACUCCACACGCCGACCGCUAUCCAGCAUGCAUCUAGUGUAUUAAGUCCAUAAGAACAGAGUAACGCCUUAAGCAAGAUGACAUGAUGUAGAGGGAUAAUCUCAAACUAAUGAUAAAAACCCAUCUUUUUACCCUUGAUGGCAACUGCUUGAUGUGUGCCUUCCUGCCCCUACUGUCACUAGGAAAGGUCACCACAUGGCAGAACCCAAAACCAAGCACUUCUCCCAUUGCAAUAAUCAUAGAUCUAGUUGGCCAAACAAAACCCAAGACUCGGAGAGACUUACAAGGAUAUCAAAUCAUGGAUAUAAGAAAUCAACAAAGACUCAAAUAUAUAUCAUAGAUAAUCUGAUCACAAGUCCACAAUUCAUCGGAUCUCGACAAACACACCGCCAAAGAAGAUUACAUCGGAUAGAUCUCCAUGAAGAUCAUGGAGAACUUUGUAUUGAAGAUCCAAGAGAGAGAAGAAGCCAUCUAGCUACUAACUACGAACCCGUAGGUCUGAAGUGAACUGCUCCCGAGUCAUUGGAGGGGCGAUGAUGAUGAUGAAGAAGCCCUCCACCUCCAAAGUCCCCUCCGGCAGGGCGCCGGGAAGGGUCUCUAGAUGAGAUCUCGCGGAAACGGAAGCUUGCGGUGGCGAAAAAGUAUUUUCGAGGCUCCCGUGAUUUUUUGCAGAAUAUUUGGGAAUAUAUAGGCGCAAAACCUAGGUCAGGAGGCAGCCAGGGAAGCCACAAGCUUGCCCACCGCCGCCUCCCCUGGUGGCGUGGUGCAAGCUUGUAGGCUCCCUGGGGCCCACCUGGCUUGGCCCAAAGGCUCCCUGGUCUUCUUUCGUUCGGGAAAAAUCAUUUCGGGGAUUUUAUUCUGUUUGGACUCCGUUCCAAAAUCAGAUCUAAAAAGAGUCAAAAACACGGAAAAACAGGAAUUGGCACUUGGCACUGAAUCAAUAAGUUAUUCCCCAAAAAUAUAUAAAAAGGUACAUAAAACAUACAAAGAAGACAAGAUAACAGCGUGAAACCAUAAAAAAAUAUAGAUACAUUUGAGACGUAUCAAGCAUCCCCAAGCUUAACUCCUGCUCGUCCUCGAGUAGGGAAGUGAUAAGAAUGAAUUUUUGAUGCUUUCAUGCUACCUAGCAUAGGUGUUCUUUGUAAUUACUCUUAUGUGACGUGAAUGUUCAGAUCCAUUAGAUUCAAAAUAAUAGUUUGCUAUUGACGUGGAAACAAUAAUAAUUCAAGAAAACUAGCAAAGUAAUCAUGAACUUUCAAAAUAACAAGGCCAAAAGAAAGUUAUCCCUACAAAAGCAUAUAGUCUGGCUAUGCUCUAUCAUCAUUGCACAACGAAUUUAAAUCAUGCACAACCCCGGUAUUGGCCAAGUAAUUGUUUCACACCUUUACUUUCUCAAACAUUUUCAACUCUCACGCAAUACAAGAGCGUGAGCCACGGUUAUAGCACUAUAGAUGGUGUGGAAUGUGGUGGAGUUUGCAAGACAAAAAGGAGAAGAUAGUCACAUUAACUAGGCAUAUCAAUGAGCUGUGGAGAUACUCAUCCAUAGAUAUCAAUGUGAAUGAGUAGGGAUUGCCAUACAAAUGAUGCACUAGAGCUAUAAGUAUGUGAAAGCUCUUAAAGAAAACUAGUGGGUGUGCAUCCAACUUGCUUGCUCACGAAGACCUAAGGCAAUUUUGAGGAAGCCUAUCAUUGGAAUAUACAAGAGAAGUUAUAUAAUGAAAUUUUACCACUAGCUAUAUGAUGGUGACAAAACGAGAGACUCUCAAUCAUGAAGAUCAUGGUGCUCAAAAUGCACAAGUGUGGAAAAAAUGGUAGCAUUGUCCCUUCUCUCUUUUUCUCUCAUAUAUUUUUUUGGUGGGCUCUUUGGCCUCUUUUUUUAUGGGCUUCUUUGCCUCUUUUAUUUCCUCACAUGGGACAAUGCUCCAAUAAUGAUCAUCAUCACACUUUCAACUCAAAACUUAGAGCAAUUAUGACUCUGUAUGGAAUGCCUUCGGUAGUGUACCGUGGCAAUGAUUUAGCAUGGCAUAGACAUGAAUGGAAACAUCAUGCUAGCUAUCUUACGAUCGUGCAAAGGCAAUGUAGACGUGGUGGCACAUAUGAUGGUGGUAGUUGCAUGGCAAUAUAUCUCGGAAUGGUGGCACAUAUCAUGGUGGUAGUUGCAUGGCAAUAUAUCUCGGAAUGACUUUUAAAAAUCCAUAGUAGGUAGGUAUGGUGGCUUUUUUGAGGAAGGCUAAUGGUGGGUUUUGUGCACCGGUGAAAGUUGCACGACACUAAGAAGAUAGUGAUGGUGGAAGGUGAAAGUGCAUCUAAACCAUGGACUCAACAUUAGUCAUGAAGAACUCAUAUACUUGUUGCAAAAGUUUUAUUAGUAAUCGAAACAAAGCAUUCAACGCAUACUCCUAGGGGAAGGGUUGGUAGGUAUAAACCAUCGCGCGAUCCCGACCGCCACGCAAAGGAUGACAAUCAAUAUACUAAUCAUGCUCAGAUUUCAUCCCAUAGCGGUUCACCAUACGUGCAUGCUACGGGAAUCACUAACUUCAACACAAGUAUUUAUAGAUUCACAACACCUCACUAGCAUGAUUUGAAUAUUACCAUAACCACAACUCAAAACUAAUUGAGAUGAAUCAAACUUCUCUAACUAUUCAAUGCACAUGAAGGAGGAAGUUUUCGUAUCCCUUUGGAUAACUACCCCUUUUUAUACUACUUCCAAAGCAUAGAUCAACUACCAAGUCACGCACCGCUGCGCUCUAAAAUAUAUAAGUGAAGCACAUAGAGCAAAAGUAUCUAGCUCAAAAGAUAUAAGUGAAGCACAUGUGAGCUGAAUUGUCUACCAAAAGAUAUAAGUGAAGCUCGACAAAAUAAUGGUGUGUGCAUGUCUCUCUCUCUAGGUGUGCAGCAAGGAUGAUUGUAACACAACAAAAAUAAAAGACUCCUACGAUACAAGACGCUCCAAGCAAAAACACAUAACAUGUGGUGAAUAAAAAUAUAGCCCCAAGUAACGUUACCGAUGGAUUGAAGACGAGAGAUGGGAUGCCUUCCCAGGGCAUCGCCAAGCUUAGGCUUUUACGGCAUCCUCAAAUCUCUUGGGGUGCCUUGGGCAUCCACAAUCUUGAGCUCUUGCCACUCUUUAUCUUUUUGUCCUGAAGGACUUCACCUAAAACUUGAAAAGUUCACAACACGAAACUUACACAGAAACUCGUGAUAACAGUAGUACAAGAAAGCAAACCACCACUUCCGUAGGUACUGUAGCAAACUUAAAUUCUACUUGUGCUCAUGUUGGGUUACUGUACUUUCAGUCUUCCAUGGCUAAUACCCCCCGAUACUAUCCAUAGUUUCAUCAAAAUAAGCAACCAACACAACAAAAACAGAAUCUGUUAACAGCAGGACAGUCUAUAGCAAUCUGUAUGUUUCGUAUACCUCUGGUACUUCAAAAAUUCUGAACAAUUACGAAAGUCUGAAGAAUUUGCGUAUCAAUCAGCAGAAAAAAGAAUCAACUCAAAAUCUUACGUAUGCCGGUAGAUACGCAAAUUCUUUGCGUAUCAAUCAGCAGAAAAAAGAAUCAACUCAAAAUCUCUUACAGAAGAAAAAUGAAAAUUCUUUUCGUGAGAAGAAAGUUUCUGUCUUUCCCAGCAUGACCAAACGAUCAUCCCCAAGACUAAUCAUAACGGUUUUGCUUGGCACAAACGCAAAAAGAAACUAAAAAAAACACAAUCAUAACAGAAUUAUGAAAGUGUGGGAAACACAAAACUGAAAUAAAAAUGAUAGAUUCGUUGGGUUACCUCCCAACAAGCGCUUUUGUUUAACGCCCUUAGCUAGGCAUUCAAUGAUGCUCUCACAAAAGACAAGAAUUGAAGCAUAACGAGAGCAUCCUAAAGCAUGUGAAAAUCACAUCUAAGUCUAACAUACUUCCUAUGCAUAGGAAUUUUAUAGGAAAACAAAUUGUCAAGACAACCAAUAGUUUCCAUAUGCAAGGAAGAAGAAAGAGACAAGAGCAAUCUCAACAUCACGAGAGGUGAAUUGGUAACAUGAAAGUUUCUACCAAAAUAUUUUCCUCUCUCACAGCAAUUACAUGUGAGAUCAUAUUCAAAUUCAACAAUAUAGCUAUCCCAUAGGAUAUUCUUUUCAUGAUCGACAUGCAUGCAAAGUUGACGCUNNNNNNNNNNNNNNNNNNNNNNNNNNNNNNNNNNNNNNNNNNNNNNNNNNNNNNNNNNNNNNNNNNNNNNNNNNNNNNNNNNNNNNNNNNNNNNNNNNNNAAAGUUUCGAAAAGUUUCAAAUUUCACACAAGUUUCAAUCACUCAGGCAAACAAACAAACAAUCGAUCUAAUAAUUAUAUUAACAUUCCAAAAUUUAUAAUUUUGGGAUGUUACAAACUACCACACUUAAAAUGAAUCUCGUCCUCGAGAUUUGAAGAGGCUAGAAAGAAAGGUUAGGGUUUGGGGGUCUUCUAACAAAUCCAAUCUCCGGCAGGGUGGGAUGCUACCACACUUCAAAUGAGAGAUACUAGUCCCUCAAAAUGCUUUAACGAUCCUCUAGGGUUUUGGCAACUGACAUCGCACAGUUUUCAUAUUAAAUCCUUUGGUGAUGCUCUCUCGUUGAUAUAAGCUUCUUCCGUCACCGGGUCUUCUUAACUGACAGUCUCGUGGUCAAUUCUAAAUAACAUAUCGAUGGUUCUCAUGGUGGUCUACCAUUUGUGGUUAUCCUGCAGAGAGAGGGGUAUUGGUUUCAUCCUCACCGUAAAAUUUCCUACGCGUGACAACAGGUGCCAUGUACAUGGGCUUUCAUCCUACCAUUCUAAGGCUUAAACAAAAGCUUCAAAGAACGUCGUCUCUCACUAUGGGUAAGUCUCUCAGAUUUACCAUUCCGAAUAGCAAGAGAAUGAUAAUAGUAAGUCGUCAUGGUGGCCAAGCCAUGUCGCACUGAAAUCAUUACCUUGUAUAAGGCUUAGUGAAUCUCGUAUUCUAACACUUGGGCAUCCUCACAAGCGUUGCAGAAUUUCUCUUGUCCACGAACGAAGUUCGGAUAAUCCAUUGGUUCUGCAAGCUGAACGAAACAUCUAUCGUACCUUCACAACUCUCAGGUUUUUCGUAUGCUCCUAAGAAAACGUUUGCUGAUCCAUCAUAACUUCUUCCAUAAAUCAUAUGCAUUUCAUAAUCAAUCCUUUAUUACAUCCUUAAUUUAUCCUCAAAAACUCCAAUUCAAAAGUACUUUAUUACAAAUGCUGCCAUCCACAUUGUUCGGUAUGGUCGAGCAUUUGUGCCAACUUUAUUCAUCUGCCUCUCUUGGAGGUACUUUAGUUCCACUCGAAUUUUCCGAUGUGCUCUUUGAAAUCAUCCAUCUUUUGCUUCACCAUGGUGGCCAUUAGCUUCAUCUCCAUCAUCUCAGCAUGUACUUCACUCAGGUAUUCCUGGGUAUGACGGAGUCUUGCUUCAAGUAUUUCUCCGAUCUGACGUAUGGCUUCCAUGGCAGCUUCACGAACAGCAUCAAAGAAGGUUGCUCGUGGUACACGUGAAAUGAAAAAGUAUUGCCCCAUAGUCUUUGGACAAACUCCUUUCACAUGGUGGAGGUGUACUUCCACGUACCAAAGUUCCACUCCAUUUUCCAUGAAUGGGUAGCCUUUGUAGACUGCAUCUCCUUCAAGAUGAAUGUGCUUCAUCAUGUCCUUCAGGAUUUUCAGGUAAUCAUGAUCACUGGUCAGGGUCAUGAUCGUUUCUGGGCCCUUGAGGAAUGACUCAUAGAGAGUUGUCAUCUGCAGGUGUCAGUAAAUAGGUACUCAGAGGAAUGUAUAUGUCUCCUUGGUAAUCAUGGUACACUCCUACUCAAUGGAUCCUAUGGGUUUACCGAUUACUACCACACUUAAAUGAAUUAUACUCAUGCCUGCAUAGACCAUAUUUUCUCAUAUCCUCAUAAUUGUUCACAGAUCUUUGUUCGAAGAGAAACAACGCAUACAUUUUCAACAUAGGCAAUCAUGAGACAAUAAAUUCCAUUUAUUCAUGAUGUUAUUACAAUCUCAGGGACUUUUGUUACAAAAAUUUCACUCCAUGGUCUCAUGAAAAACAAGAGUGCUUCAGGUUACACUUAUUGCCACGGUCAAAACUUAACUACUCCAUUCUAGCUUUCUUCCUUCGUGGACAAUCGCUGGCAAAAUGUCCUGCUUCCUUGCAACAAAAACAAAUGAUUUCUGACAAGUCUCGAGGCUUCUUAGCUUCUGCUUUUGCUCCUUGGAUUCCCGGCUUCCUUCCUGAGCACAUGUAUUUGUGGUGGCCAAAUUUCAUACACUUGUAACAUCUGACAUGACUCAGGUCUAUGUCUGCAGAGAUUUGGUUCUUCCGAGGGUUCUCUUUCUUCUUUCCGGACUCCUUUAUUUUGGUCAGUUCUUCUAUUUCAAGUGGAUCAAACUCCACUUCUUCCGUCGGGAAGUUUCCCAGAUACUCUUGGCUUCUCUUCGUGCAAUCCUGUGAAUAAUGUCCUUCUUCUCCACAUGAGUAGCAUGCAUUGGAGAAAAAUCUGGUCAGACCUUGUCCAUCAGGGUCUUCAAUAUUUUCGUUCAUCACCGGUUCUUCUAGAAUCUUCUUCUUGAGGGUUUCCUUCAUUGCAUCUUUCUACUGCUUGACAACUUGUUGCACCUUGGGGUAAAUGUGACACUGAGCUGGGUAGUGGGUGGUUCCUUCACAAAGGAAACAAGUCACCUGACUACUUGUGCACUCCUCAGCUGGGUGGUUUUCUUCACAAUGAGUGCAUCCAUCCGUGUGUUCUUCCUGGGUGUGUCCUAUUUCUCCACAGAUCUUGCAUGCACAAGUCUUCUUCUUCGGGUUAUCAUAGCACUUCUGAAUAAGACGGGAUCUUAACAAAGUCUUCUUGAAUUCUUCCCAACUUUCUGCUCCACUAAAUCCUUGUAUGGCAUGGUGCAUUUUCCACCAGAUUGCAGCACUUUGCGUAAAGUACUGAAGAGCGUGUUCCACUUCAUGCUUCCUUGAGAUCAAGUUACUCCCGAAGUGGUUCUCCAUGUUCUGAAUCCAUAUCUCAGCUUCCAGCUGGGUCAUUGGUCCAAAGACUACAAGUCCAGCUUCAUACUCCAUCUGGUAGGGUUGAGGUUUUGGGGAUGAGACGGGUAAGAGAGAGGGAGAUACACACAAUACAAACAAUAUUUUUGAGAAUAGGUUUUAUUUGUGGCCGUCGGAAAACACACACCAAUGACGGCUCACAAUUCAUCGUAUCUAACGUGGUAUAUAACAGGGGUUUGGACUUCUAAUGGUCAUAUAAUUAUUCGAACACUUCAGGGUCUUUGAGUUCUUUGGGUCUUGAGAGUCCUCUGUUGGUGUAGCGUCAAUUCUUCAAACGCGUGGUGAAAUCCUCUUUACUUUGAAGUAGAACUCCGUUGAUUCUUCAUGAGGUCGAAGGGGUAAGGGUAUUGUCUAACUAUUGGAGGUGAGAGAGAACAUUUGAUGAACUCAGAAGAGAUGAGAAGUAACAGGUGUUCUCGAAAAUAAGAUUUUUGAGAGAUCCUAUCCUAAGAAAUUCCAUUUUCUAGGGUCACGUCCUACAGUCAACAUGUGCUCUGAUACCAUUUCUGUAGCGACCCGACUCAAAACGAGUCAAUCCUCUGUGUUUCUGUGCCAUCCCUGGAUCAGUAUGCUGACACACACAGUACAUCAAUGUAUAUAUCAAAGUGCAAUCACAUGUAAAUAGCGUAAAACUGAUAUAUACCUUAAUUAUCUCAGCGGAAGCGGUCAAGGGAGUGGAGUCCCAAUAAACACCAACGGCAAGUUGAGUGUAGACCGUAACCCUGAAAUCGUACUCUUACUCGUCGAAGAAAAAUAUCUGCAACAUAAGAUGUUGCAGCCAUGUAGGUCAGCAUAUUGAAUAUGCCGGCAAGUCACAUAAGAGAGGGGUGAAAAGUAAUCAUCUAUACUAUAUGCAUAUAUGGCAGGUGGGGCUAUAAGUUUUAGCGUAAAGCAAAUUUUUCUCCUACAACAAGAGUGGUCUAAAAGCAAAAUGUUACUACAUUGUUGGUUGUUAACGAGAUGGUUCCGCCAACCAGUUCUCGUACAUGAAUUGUCAAUAAUUCCCACAUCAAAUAUAUUUAAUGGUGUUGAGAAANNNNNNNNNNNNNNNNNNNNNNNNNNNNNNNNNNNNNNNNNNNNNNNNNNNNNNNNNNNNNNNNNNNNNNNNNNNNNNNNNNNNNNNNNNNNNNNNNNNNCAAAGUAACAAAGCAAAGUAAAAGCGGAGAUGUAAACGAUGGAUGCGAAUAGACCCGGGGGCCAUAGUGUUUACUAGUGGCUUCUCUCAUGAAAGCAAGUAGACGGUGGGUGAACAAAUUACUGUCGAGCAAUUGAUAGAACUGUGCAGAGUCGUGACGAUAUCUAUGCAAUGAUUAUUUCUAUAGGCAUCAUGUCCGAAACAAGUAGACCAAUACUCUCUGCAUCUACUACUAUUACUCCACACAUCGACCGCUAUCCAGCAUGCAUCUAGUGUAUUAAGUCCAUAAGAACAGCGUAACGUCUUAAGCAAGAUGACAUGAUGUAGAGGGAUAAUCUCAAACUAAUGAUAAAAACCCAUCUUUUUACCCUUGAUGGCAACUGCUUGAUGUGUGCCUGUCUUUUUACCCUUGAUGGAAACUACUUGAUGUGUGCCUUGCUGCCCCUACUGUCACUGGGAAAGUUCACCACAUGGCAGAACCCAAAACCAAGCACUUCUCCCAUUGCAAGAAUCAUAGAUCUAGUUGGCCAAACAAAACCCAAGACUCGGAGAGACUUACAAGGAUAUCAAAUCAUGCAUAUAAGAAAUCAGCAAAGACUCAAAUAUAUAUCAUAGAUAAUCUGAUCACAAGUCCAUAAUUCAUCGGAUCUCGACAAACACACCGCCAAAGAUGAUUACAUCAGAUAGAUCUCCAUGAAUAUCAUGGAGAACUUUGUAUUGAAGAUCCAAGAGAGAGAAGAAGCCAUCUAGCUACUAACUACGGACCCGUAGGUCUGAAGUGAACUACUCACGAGUCAUUGGAGGGGCGAUGAUGAUGAAGAAGAAGCCCUCCUACUCCAAAGUCCAUUCUGGCAGGGCGCCGGNNNNNNNNNNNNNNNNNNNNNNNNNNNNNNNNNNNNNNNNNNNNNNNNNNNNNNNNNNNNNNNNNNNNNNNNNNNNNNNNNNNNNNNNNNNNNNNNNNNNAUCGCAACGUAACUGGGUGACUAUAAAGAUGCUCUACAGGUAUCUCCGAAGGUGUUAGUUGAGUUAGUAUGGAUCAAGACUGGGAUUUGUCACUCCGUGUGACGGAGAGGUAUCUCGGGGCCCACUCGGCAAUACAACAUCACACACAAGCCUUGCAAGCAAUGUGACUUAGUGUAAGUUGCGGGAUCUUGUAUUACGGAACGAGUAAAGAGACUUGCCGGUAAACGAGAUUGAAAUAGGUAUACGGAUACUGACGAUCGAAUCUCGGGCAAGUAACAUACCGAAGGACAAAGGGAAUGACAUACGGGAUUAUAUGAAUCCUUGGCACCGAGGUUCAAACGAUAAGAUCUUCGUAGAAUAUGUAGGAUCCAAUAUGGGCAUCCAGGUCCCGCUAUUGGAUAUUGACCGAGGAGUCUCUCGGGUCAUGUCUACAUAGUUCUCGAACCCGCAGGGUCUGCACACUUAAGGUUCGACGUUGUUUUAUGCGUAUUUGAGUUAUAUGGUUGGUUAACGAAUGUUGUUCGGAGUCCCGGAUGAGAUCACGGACGUCACGAGGGUUUCCGGAAUAGUCUGGAAACGAAGAUUGAUAUAUAGGAUGACCUCAUUUGAUUACCGGAAGGUUUUCGGAGAUACCGGGAAUGUACCGGGAAUGACGAAUGGGUUCCGGGAGUUCACCGGGGGGGGGGCAACCCACCCCGGGGAAGCCCAUAGGCCAUAAGGGUGGCGCACCAGCCCUUAGUGGGCUGGUGGGACAGCCCAAAAGGGCCCUAUGCGCCAUACAAAGGAAAAUCAAAGAGAAAGAAAAAAAAGGGAGGUGGGAAGGAAGGGAAGGACUCCCACCCACCAAACCAAGUCCAACUUGGUUUGGGGGGGGAGCCUUCCCCCCUUGGACUCGGCCGACCCCCUUGGGGCUCCUUGAGCCCCAAGGCAAGGUCCCCUCCCUCCCACCUAUAUAUACGGAGGUAUUGGGGCUGAUUUGAGAGGACUUUUCCACGGCAGCCCGACCACAUACCUCCACGGUUUUUCCUCUAGAUCGCGUUUCUGCGGAGCUCGGGCGGAGCCCUGCUGAGACAAGGUCAUCACCAACCUCCGGAGCGCCGUCACGCUGCCGGAGAACUCUUCUACCUAUCUGUCUCUCUUGCUGGAUCAAGAAGGCCGACAUCAUCGUCGAGCUGUACGUGUGCUGAACGCGGAGGUGCCGUCCGUUCGGUACUAGAUCGUGGGACUGAUCGCGGGAUUGUUCGCGGGGCGGAUCGAGGGACGUGAGGACGUUCCACUACAUCAACCGCGUUCACUAACGCUUCUGCUGUACGAUCAACAAGGGUACGUUGAUCACUCAUCCCCUCUCGUAGAUGGACAUCACCAUGAUAGGUCUUCGUGCGCGUAGGAAAAUUUUUGUUUCCCAUGCGACGUUCCCCAACACCAAUGACUCGUGAGUAGUUCACUUCAGACCUACGAGUCCGUAGUUAGUAGCUAGAUGGCGUCUUCUCUCUCUUGGAUCUUCAAUACAAAGUUCUCCAUGAUCUUCAUGGAGAUCUAUCCGAUGUAAUCUUCUUUGGCGGUGUGUUUGUCGAGAUCCGAUGAAUUGUGGACUUGUGAUCAGAUUAUCUAUGAUAUAUAUUUGAGUCUUUGCUGAUUUCUUAUAUGCAUGAUUUGAUAUCCUUGUAAGUCUCUCUGAGUCUUGGGUUUUGUUUGGCCAACUAGAUCUAUGAUUCUUGCAAUGGGAGAAGUGCUUGGUUUUGGGUUUUGCCAUGUGGUCACCUUUCCCAGUGAUAGUAGGGGCAGCAAGGCACACAUCAAGUAGUUGCCAUCAAGGGUAAAAAGAUGGGGGUUUUAUCAUUGGUUUGAGAUUAUCCCUCUACAUCAUGUCAUCUUGCUUAAGGCGUUACUCUGUUCUUAUGGACUUAAUACACUAGAUGCAUGCUGGAUAGCGGUCGACGUGUGGAUUAAUAGUAGUAGAUGUAGAAAGUAUCGGUCUACUUGUUUCGGACGUGAUGCCUAUGGAAAUAAUCAUUGCAUAGAUAUCGUCACGACUCUGCACAGUUCUAUCAAUUGCUUGACAGUAAUUUGUUCACCCACCGUCUACUUGCUUUCAUGAGAGAAGCCACUAGUAAACAUUACGGCCCCGGGUCUAUUCACAUCCAUCGUUUACAUCUCCGCUUUUACUUUGCUUUGUUACUUUGUUGCUUUCAGUUCUCACUUGGCAAACAUUCUAUAAGGGAUUGACAACCCCUUCAUAGCGUUGGGUGCAAGCUUUUGUGUUUGUGCUGGAUCUUGAGAUACUCUUCCGCCGGAUUCAUACCUUGGUUCUCAAACUGAGGGAAAUACUUACCGUCGCUGUGCUACAUCACCCUUUCCGCUUCGAGGGAACACCAACGCAAGGCUCCAAGGCCACGGGGGAAAUCCUUUGCAUACUUGCCUAGGAAGUCCCUUAAGGCGUAGCCACAGCUGAAGGAUUCCUGGUGCCGUUGCUGAGGAGUAUCAAGCAACACUCCUAUUUCUGGCGCCAUUGGAAGGUCUUUUGUUGCAGUAUGAGAAGAAUUUCUGGCGCCGUUGCCGGGGAAGAGAAAUCAAGAUCUAUCCNNNNNNNNNNNNNNNNNNNNNNNNNNNNNNNNNNNNNNNNNNNNNNNNNNNNNNNNNNNNNNNNNNNNNNNNNNNNNNNNNNNNNNNNNNNNNNNNNNNNUAUAGCAUGGAUAAUAAACGAUUAUCUUGAUACAGGAAUUAUAAUAAUAACUAUAUUUAUUAUUGCCUCUAGGGCAUAAUUCCAACAAUUGGAGGGGCGAUGAUGAUGAUGAAGAAGCCCUCCAACUCCAAAGUCCCCUCCGGCAGGGCGCCAGGAAGGGUCUUCAGAUGAGAUCUCGUGGAAACGGAAGCUUGCGGCGGCGGAAAAGUAUUUUCGAGGCUCCCCUGAUUUUUUGCGGAAUAUUUGGGAAUAUAUAGGCGGAAGACCUAGGUCAGGGGGCGGCCAGGGAGGCCACAAGCCUGCCCACCGCCGCCUCCCCCCUGGUGGCAGAGUGGGGGCUUGUGGGCUCCCUGGAGCCCACCUGGCUUGGCCCAAAAGCCCCCUGGACUUCUUCCGUUCGGGAAAAAAUCAUUUCGGGGUUUUUCUUCCAUUUGGACUCCGUUCCAAAAUCAGAUCUGAAAAGAGUCAAAAACACGGAAAAAACAUGAUCUGGCACUUGGCACAGAAUUAAAAAGUUAGUCCCAAAAAGAUAUAAAAAGGUCGUAAAACAUACAAAGAAGACAAGAUAACAGCGUGAAACCAUCAAAAAUUAUAGAUACGUUUGAGACGUAUCAAUACCUCCCUUCUUAGGUACGCAAUGCACUGGACUUACCCAAUCACUAUGAGCAACAUGAUAAAUGAUUCAUGCUUCCAGAAGCUUUAAUAUUUCUUUUCUAAUGACCUCUUUCAUCUUAGGAUUCAAUCUCCUUUGAUGAUCAGCAACUGGUUUAGAAUCAGGAUCGGUUUUAAUCUUGUGCUGACAUAGAGUGGGACUAAUACCCUUAAGAUCAUCGAGAGUAUAUCCAAUAGCAGCACGAUGCUUCCUCGGAGUUUUUAGUAACUUCUUCUCUUCAUGCUCUGAGAGGAGAGCACUAAUAAUAACGGGAUAUAUCUCCUUCUCAUCAAGAUAGGCAUACUUUAGAGUAUCAGGCAACUUUUUAAGAUCGAACACAGGAUCACCCUUCGGUGGGGGAAGAUCCCCAAGCAGUUCAACAGGGAGAUUAUUCUUGAGAAUAGGAUAUUGUUCUAAGACAAUUUUAUCUAUCUCAUCUAUUUCAUCCAUAUGCAUAUCAUUUUCAUGCUCAAGCAGAUAUUGCUCUAAAGGAUCCGUAGGAGGUACGACAAUAGAGGCAAGAGCAAUGAUUUCAUCCCUACCAGACGAAUCUUUUUCAUGGGGUUGUCUUCCAAACUUUGAGAAGUUAAAUUCAUGAGACACACCCUCGAAACUAACGGUGACAGUCUGCUUAAUGCAAUCAAUGUGAGCAUUGAAAGUGUUGAGAAAGGGUCUACCGAAUAUGAUGGGACAAAAGCUAUCUUGUGUAGUACCAAGGACGAGGAAAUCAGUAGGAUACUUCAUCUUACCACACAGGACUUCUACGUCUCUCACAAUUCCCAGAGGGCAGAUAGUGUCUCUAUUAGCUAGCGUAAUAGUGACAUCAAUGGGUUCUAACUUAGCAGGUGCAAUCUCAUCUUUGAUUUCAUCAUAUAGGGAACGGGGUAUUGCACUAACACUAGCACCCAUAUCACAUAAACCAUGGUAAUAGUGAUCUCCUAUCUUGACAGAAACAACGGGCAGGCCAACUACAGGUCCAUAUUUGUCUUUCACGUGAGGUUUAGCAAUUCUAGCAGAGUCCUCACACAAUUUGAUAACAUGCCCGUCUACGUCUUCGGCUAAGAGAUCUUUGAUAAUAGCAACACUAGGUUCAACUCUAAUCUCCUCAGGGGGUGCAAGUGGUCUAAUGUAACCCCUACGUAUCACAGUUGGAGCUUUAGAAUAAUCCUUUAUCCUAGCAGGGUAUGGUGGUUUCUCAGCGUAGGCACAAGGAACAAUAGGAUCACUAAAAGCAAUGACUUUCUCCUCAACUAGAUUGGUUUUGACUAUGUUGCUUUCUACAAGAGGAUGAUACUUAAACCACUUCUAUUUGGGAAGAUCAACAUGAGCAGCAAAAGAUUCACAUAGAGAAGCUACUAUCUCAGAGUCAAGUCCAUACUUAGCGCUAAAAUCUCUAUAAGUGUUUGUCUCAACAAAAGAUUUAACGCAAUCAAACUAGAAAUUCAUACCUGACUCCUUACCUUCCUCCAGCUCCCAAUCUUCAAAAUUGCGUUUGAUUCUUUCCAAUAAAUUCCACUUGUGAUCAAUAUCCUUCUUCAUAAAAGAACCGGUACAAGAAGUGUCAAGCCUGGUACGAUCUUCAUGAGAAAGCCGAGCAUAAAAGUUUUGAGUGAUAAUUUCUCUCGAGAGAUCAUGAUUGGGGCAUGAAUAUAGCAUUGAUUUAAGCCUCCCCCAAUCUUGAGCUAUGCUUUCCCUGUCACGAGGCCAAAAGUUAUAAAUAUAAUUCCGAUCACGAUGUACUAAAUGCAUAGGAUAGAACUUUUGAUGAAAUUCCAAUUUCAACCGAUUGUAGUCCCAUGACCCAGUAUCAUCACAUAGCCUAUACCAUGUCAACGCCUUAUCCUUCAAAGAUAAAAGAAAGAGUUUCUUCAUUACCUCAUCCUCGGGAAAACCUGCAAGCUUAAAUAAACCACAAACUUCAUCUACGUAGAUCAGAUGCAAGUCUGGAUGUGAAGAUCCAUCUCCUGUAAAAGGAUUAGCCAGCGGUUUCUCAAGCAUACCCGAAGGAAUUUCAUAAAAGAUAUUUUCAGUAGGUACCUCAGGUUGAGGAACAACUCCUCGUGCUUCCGUUCGUGGUUAUGAUACCCCGAACAAACUCCUCAAAGGAACAGUUUCCAUAGUGACAAGUGACAAUAAUUUUCAGCACAGUAUAUAAAUGUUACCUUACCAAUUUCCACUUACCAAAGGCGCUUCACUCCCCGACAACGGCGCCAGAAAAGAGUCUUGAUGACCCACAAGUAUAGGGGAUCAAUCAUAGUCCUUUCGAUAAGUAAGAGUGUCGAACCCAACGAGGAGCAGAAGGCUCUGAUAAACGGUUUUCAGCAAGGUAAUAACUGCAAGCAGUGAAAGUAGCGGUAACAAGUAAUGGUGUAGCGAAGUGAAACGUAACAAGUGAAAAGUAACAAGUAGCAAGUAGUAGCAAUUGUGCAGCAAGUGGCCCAAUCCAUUUUGUAGAAAGGGACAAGCCUGAACAAAGUCUUAUAGGAGGAAAAACGCUCCCGAGGACACACGGGAAUUUCUGUCAUGCUAGUUUCAUCAUGUUCAUGUGAUUCCCGUUCGUUACUUUGAUAGUUUGAUAUGUGGGUGGACCGGCGCUUGGGUACUGCCCUUACUUGGACAAGCAUCCCACUUAUGAUUAACCCCUCUCGCAAGCAUCCGCAACUAUGAAAGAAGAAUUAAGACCACGUCUAACCAUAGCAUUAAACUAGUGGAUCCAAAUCAGCCCCUUACGAAGCAACGCAUAGACUGGGGUUUAAGCUUCUGUCACUCCAGCAACCCAUCAUCUACUUCCUCCUCCCCAAUGCCUUCCUCUAGGCCCAAAUAUGGUGAAGUGUUAUGUAGUCGACGUUCACAUAACACCACUAGAGGAAAAUACAACAUAAAACAUAUCAAAAUACCGAACGAAUAUCAAAUUCACAUGACUAUUAUCAGCAUGACUUAUCCCAUGUCCUCGGGAAAAAAAGUAACUACUCACAAAGCAUAAUCAUAAUCAUGAUCAGAGGUGUAAUGAAUAGCAUCAAGGAUCUGAAUAUAAACUCUUCCACCAAGUAAUCCAACUAGCAUCAACUACAAAGAGUAAUCAACACUACUAGGAACCUUACAAGUACCAAUCGGAGUCGCUAGACGAAGAUUGGUUACAAGAGAUGAACUAGGGAUUGGAGAGGAGAUGGUGCUGAUGAAGAUGUUGAUGAAAAUGCCUCCCCUCCGACGAGAGGAGUGUUGGUGAUGACGAUGGCGACGAUUUCCCCCUCCGGGAGGGAAAUUUCCCCGGCAGGAUCGUCCUGCCGGAGCUCUAGAUUGGAUCUCCUCAAGUUCCGCCUCGUGGCGGCGGCGAAACCACGAAAAAGCUCCCUAUUGAUUUUUUCUGGAACGAAACCCUUCAUAUAGCAAAAUAGGGGGGCCAGUGGGCCGUUAGGGAGCCCACAAGCCCUGUAGCCGCCAUCAGGGGGGUGGAGGCUACCAGGCUUGUGGCGCCUUGGUAGCUCCCCUCUGGUACUUCUUUCGCCUAGUAUUUUUAUAUAAUCCCAAAAAAUUCCAUGUAAAUUUUCAGGGCAUUUGGAGUUGUGCAGAAUAGUGGACUAAGAUUUGCUACUUUUCUAGUCGAGAAUUCCAGCUGCCUGAAUUCUCCCUCUUCAAAUAAACCUUGCAAAAUAAGAGAGAAAAGGCAUAAAUAUGGUACCACAAAGUAAUAUAACAGCCCAUAAAGCAAUAAAUAUCAACAUGAAAGCAUGAUGCAAAAUGGACGUAUCAUCGUCGUGCCGGGGAAACUUCCCUCCCAGAGGGGGAAACUGUCGCCAUCGUCAUCACCAAGACUCCUCUCAUCGGAGGGGAAUCAUCACCAUCAAUAUCUUCAUCAGCACCAUCUCAUCUCCAAAUCCUAGUUCAUCUCUUGUAAUCAAUCUCCGUCUCGUGACUCCGAUUGGUACCUGUAAGGUUGCUAGUAUUGUUAAUUACUCUUUGUACUUGAUGCUAGUUAGAUUACUUGGUGGAAGAUUAUAUGUUCAGAUCGUUGAUGCUACUUGAUACGUCCAUUUUGCAUCAUGCUUUCAUGUUGAUAUUUAUCACUUUAUGGACUAUUAUUAUACUUUAUGGAACCUUAAUUAUGCCUUUUCUCUCUUAUUUUGCAAGGUUUAUUUGAAGAGGGAGAAUAUCAGCAGCUGGAAUUCUGGACUGGAAAAGGAGCAAGUCUGAGUGCUCUAUUCUGCGCAACUCCAAAUGCCCUGAAAAUCAACGUGGAUUUUUUUCUGGAUUUUAUAAAAAAUACUGGGUGAAAGAAGUGUUAGAGGGGAGAAACCAGGGGCCCACAAGCCUGGUUGUCGCGGCCUACCCCCCUGGCCGCGGCAACAGGGCUUGUGGGCACCCUGGCGGCCCACUGGCCCCCCUCUUUUGCUAUAUGAAGGGUUUCGUUCAAGAAAAAAUCAAUCGGGAGCUUUUUCGUGGAUUCUCUGCCGCCACGAGGCGGAACUUGAGCAAAUCCAAUCUAGAGCUCCGGCACGACGAUCCUGCCGGGGAAACUUCCCUCCUGGAGGGGGAAAUCGUCGCCAUCGUCAUCACCAACACUCCUCUCGUCGGAGGGGAGGCAUCUCCAUCAACAUCUUCAUCAGCACCAUCUCCUCUCCAAUCCCUAGUUCAUCUCUUGUAACCAAUCUCCAUCUCGCGACUCCGAUUGGUACUUGUAAGGUUGUUAGUAGUGUUGAUUACUCUUUGUAGUUGAUGUUAGUUGGAUUACUUUAUGGAAGAGUUUAUGUUCAGAUCCUUGAUGCUAUUCAUUACACCUCUGAUCAUGAUUAUGAUUAUGCUUUGUGAGUGGUUACUUUUGUUCCUGAGGACAUGGGAUAAGUAAUGCUAAUAAUAGUCAUGUGAGUUUGGUAUUCGUUCGGUAUUUUGAUAUGUUGUAUGUUGUUUUUCCUCUAGUGGUGUUAUGUGAACAUCGACUACAUAACACUUCACCAUAUUUAUGUGAACAUCGACUACAUAAAACUUCACCAUAUUUGGGCCUAGAGGAAGGCAUUGGGGAGUAGUAAUUAGAUGAUGGGUUGUUGGAGUGACACAAGCUUAAACCCCAGUCUAUGUGUUGCUUCGUAAGGGAUUGAUUUGGAUCCACUAGUUUAAUGCUACGGUUAGACGUUGUCUUAGUUCUUCUUUCGUAGUUGCGGAUACUUGCGAGAGGGGUUAGUCAUAAGUGGGAUGCUUUUCCAAGUAAGGGCAGUACCCAAGCGCCGGUCCACCCAAUAUCAAACUAUCAAAGUAACGAAUGCGAAUCAUAUGAACAUGAUGAAACUAGCAUGACAGAAAUUCCCGUGUGUCCUCGGGAGCGUUUUUCCUCUUAUAAGACUUUGUUCAGGCUUGUCCCUUGCUGCAAAAGGGAUUGGGCCACUUGCUUCACCGUUGCUACUACUUGUUACGUGUUACUUUUUGCUUGCUACGUUUCACCUCACUACACCAUCACUUGUUACCGCUACUUUCAGUGCUUGCAGUUAUUACCUUGCUAAAAACCGUUUAUCAUAGCCUUCUCCUCCUCUUUGGGUUCGACACUCUUUGAUUAUCGAAAGGACUAUGAUUGAUCCCCUAUACUUGUGGGUCAUCAAGACUCUUUUCUGGCGCCGUUGCCGGGGAGGGAAGCGCCUUUGGUAAGUUAAGUUUGGUAAGGAAACAUUUAUAUACUGUGCUGAAAUUUAUUGUCACUUGUCACUAUGGAAACUGUUCCUUUGAGGAGUUUGUCCAGGGUAUCUUUACCACGAACGGAAGCACGAGGAGUUGUUCCUCAAUCUGAGGUACCUACUGAAAAUAUCUUUUAUGAAAUUCCUUCGGGUAUGGUUGAGAAACUCUUGGCUAAUCCUUUUAUAGGAAAUGGAUCAUCACAUCCAUACUUGCAUCUGAUCUAUUUAGAUGAAGUUUGUGGUUUAUUUAAGCUUGCAGGUUUGCCCGAGGAUGAGGUGAAGAAGAAAGUCUUUCCUUUAUCUUUGAAGGAUAAGGCGUUGACAUGGUAUAGGCUAUGUGAUGAUACUGGAUCAUGGGACUACAAUCGGUUGAAAUUGGAAUUUCAUCAAAAGUUUUAACCUAUGCAUUUAGUACAUCGUGAUCGGAAUUAUAUUUAUAACUUUUGGCCUCGUGACAGCGAAAGCAUAGCUGAAGCUUGGGGGAGGCUUAAAUCAAUGCUAUAUGCAUGCCCCAAUCAUGAGCUCUCGAGAGAAAUUAUCACUCAAAACUUUUAUGCUCGGCUUUCUGAUACGUCUCUAACGUAUCUAUAAUUUUUUAUGGUUUCACGCUGUUAUCUUGUCUUCUUUGUAUGUUUUAUGUACCUUUUUAUAUCUUUUUGGGGACUAACUUAUUGAUUCAGUGCCAAGUGCCAGUUCCUGUUUUUCCAUGUUUUUGACUCUUUUCAGAUCUGAUUUUGGAACGGAGUCCAAACGGAAUAAAAUCCCCGAAAUGAUUUUUUCCCGAACGAAAGAAGACCAGGGAGCCUUUGGGCCAAGCCAGGUGGGCCCCAGGGAGCCCACAAGCUUGCACCACGCCACCAGGGGGAGGCUGCGGUGGGCAAGCUUGUGGCUUCCCUGGCCGCCUCCUGACCUAGGUUUUGCGCCUAUAUUCCCAAAUAUUCCGCAAAAAAUCAGGGGAGCCUCGAAAAUACUUUUCCGCCGCCGCAAGCUUCCGUUUCCGCAAGAUCUCAUCUGGAGACCCUUCCCAGCGCCCUGCCGGAGGGGACUUUGGAGGUGGAGGACUUUUUCAUCAUCAUCAUCGCCCCUCCAAUGACUCGUGAGUAGUUCACUUCAGACCUACGGAUCCGUAGUUAGUAGCUAGAUGGCUUCUUCUCUCUCUUGGAUAUUCAAUACAAAGUUCUCCAUGAUCUUCAUGGAGAUCUAUCCGAUGUAAUCUUCUUUGAAGGUGUGUUUGUCGAGAUCCGAUGAAUUGUGGACUUGUGAUCAGAUUAUCUAUGAUAUAUACUUGAGUCUUUGCUGAUUUCUUAUAUGCAUGAUGUGAUAUCCUUGUAAGUCUCUCCGAGUCUUGGGUUUUUUUGGCCAACUAGAUCUAUGAUUCUUGCAAUGGGAGAAGUGCUUGGUUUUGGGUUCUGCCAUGUGGUGACCUUUCCCAGUGACACUAGGGGCAGCAAGGCACACAUCAAACAGUUGCCAUCAAUGGUAAAAAGAUGGGGUUUUUAUCAUUGGUUUGAGAUUAUCCCUCUACAUCAUGUCAUCUUGCUUAAGGCGUUACUCUGUUCUUAUGGACUCAAUACACUAAAUGCAUGUUGGAUAGCGGUCGACGUGUGGAGUAAUAGUAGUAGAUGCAGACAGUAUCGGUCUACUUGUUUCGGACAUGAUGGCUAUAGAAAUAAUAAUUGCAUAGAUAUCGGCACGACUCUGCACAGUUCUAUCAAUUGCUCGACAGUAAUUUGUUCACCCUCCGUCUACUUGCUUUAAUGAGAGAAGCCACUAGUAAACACUACGGCCCCCGGCUCUAUUCACAUCUAUCGUUUACACCUCCGCUUUUACGUUGCUUUGUUACUUUGUUGCUUUUAGUUCUCACUUGGCAAACAAUCUAUAAGGGAUUGACAACCCCUUCAUAGCGUUGGGUGCAAGCUUUUGUGUUUGUGCAGGAUCUUGAGAUACUCUUCCGCCGGAUUGAUACCUUGGUUCUCAAACUGAGGGAAAUACUUACCACCGCUAUGCUACAUCACCUUUCCGCUUCGAGGGAACACCAACGCAAGGCUCCAAGGCCACGGGGGAAAUCCUAUGCAUACUUUCCUAGGAAGUCUCUUAAGGCGUAGCCGCAGCUGAAGGAUUCCUGGUGCCGUUGUUGAGGAGUAUCAAGCAACACUCCUAUUUCUCGCGCCAUUGGAAGGUCUUUUGUUGCAGUAUGAGAAGAAUUUCUGGCGCCGUUGCCGGGGAAGAGAAAUCAAGAUCUAUCCAAGUAGGUCUCACAAACUCUUCUCUUGCAUUUACUUUUGUUGCCAGUUGCCUCUCGUUUUCCUCUCCCCCACUUCACAUUUGUCGUUUUCAUUUGCCUUUCUCCUUUGCCUUUUUCGUUCGCCCUUUUCUCUCGCUUGCUUUCUGUUCGCUUGUGUGCCAUGUGCCCUCAAUAUGCUUGCAUCUUCGCUUGCUGAAAAUCUAGUGAUAUGGAUCCUCAUCCACUUGCUAGUCUCUUUAAGAGACCCACUCGUGUGGAACAAAUUGCUAUUGAGUUGAGGGAAAUUGCCUAUUUCUUUGGAGUUUUGCGUAAGAUGCAUGAAUCUGAAAAUUGUGAGGAAGAAAUUCAUGAAGUGAUUCACGAGGGCUCCUUGGAUGAAAAGCAUGAAAGCAAUGGUUUCACUAUAAAUUCUAUUAGUGAUAAUCAUGCUAAAAAUAUGCAAAACCCUAAGCUUGGGGAUGCUAGUUUUGCUAUGACCACUACUUAUUGCAAUAAUCAUGAUUGGGGUGAUCAUCUUUCUUAUGAUCUUGAAAAUUUGUUCAAACCUCAUGAUGAAUAUGAUAUUUGCAACAAUACUGAAAGUGGGAUUGGAGAAGUCAUGACUUUAUUUGAUGAUAAUCCCACUAUUUUUGAAGAGCGUUAACUUUGCAUGNNNNNNNNNNNNNNNNNNNNNNNNNNNNNNNNNNNNNNNNNNNNNNNNNNNNNNNNNNNNNNNNNNNNNNNNNNNNNNNNNNNNNNNNNNNNNNNNNNNNCUAGAUACACGUGCCGGACUUAUAAACUGAAACGGAGGGAGUAGUAUCAUAGUCUUGAGACUAACAAACAUGCUGAUGUGGCAAGUAAUUAAAGAAAAGAGAGAGGGGGUUAUAGUAACAUACUAGUAGAUGCCGUAUCAUGUUAAAUGUUAUGCUACUAUGUGUCAUGCAUGUCAAUAAAUGAGAUCACCUAUGAUACUCCCUUCAUCUCAGUUUAUAAGUCCGGCACGUGUAUCUAGGUUGUCAAUUUGAUCAACUUAAUGAUAAACAUAUAUUACAAAAAAUAUAUCAUUAAAAACUUCAGAUGUUUUACUUUUUAAUUAUAUAAUUUUUAUAUUAAACAAUAAAUUUUAUAUAAGUCAAAUUGACAACAUAGGUACACGUGCGUGCCUUGUAAACUAUGACGGAGGUAGUACUAGUUUAUGAUACAAUGCACUAUGAAAGUAGUAUCAUACAAUAGUAACAUAUGCAUGAUACUACGGCCCUGCUUCUUUAAAAAGUCCUAGAACUUUUUUUAGUCCCAACUAAAAAGUCUCUAGUCCCAACCCGUUUCUUUUCAAGGACUAAACAUGGACUAAAGGUCAUUAAAUGACAUGCAAAAAGACCAUGUUACCCCUAGUAAUGUACUAUNNNNNNNNNNNNNNNNNNNNNNNNNNNNNNNNNNNNNNNNNNNNNNNNNNNNNNNNNNNNNNNNNNNNNNNNNNNNNNNNNNNNNNNNNNNNNNNNNNNNGAUGGGGUCAUAGUCCUAGGGUAGGGUCAUAGGCCUGCCCUACAUGUCCUACCCAAGGACUACCCCACACGAGGGACAGGACCUUAAGUAUGCCCCGGCUGAAUUAAGGUGCCCCCAUCAUCCAUUCGGUAACCGGCCCAAAAUCAUCCAGUCGGAGACUAACAUUCGGAGAGCACCGGGCCUACCGACUGGAUACACUCGGUACGUCUUAACCUCUCUGGAGGGUAACUGCUGUACGUUUCCGGGUGCAUUUACUAGCUUUUAGAGGUAACGUAUGCAUUCAAUCGCCACUACUCCACCCCUGAAUCAAAACCGUUGUGGAGGGCAGCGCACUCUAUAUAAGCCGCCAUCCCCCACUGGUAAAGGGGUUAGCAAAUCUUUGUACUCCAUAUCACACUCGGUAACAAGCUCCGAGAGCACUGAGACGUAGGGCUGUUACCUCCACCACAGAGGGGCCUAAACUCAUACAACCCCGCCGUAGCUAGGACUCUGCCCAUCUCAUUCGUACCCUACACAUCUACUGUCAGGCUUAUACCCACGACAGUUGGCGCCCACCGUGGGGCAGGCGUCUAAGCGACUUCCAGCGAGUUUGCGACUACUUCCUUUCGUCAUGUCGUCGGGUGGAGAUUCAAGCAUGGGUCGCCAGAUCCUCUUCGGCGUUCUCUCCUUCACCAUCGACGACUCGGCGUGGCUUCGGGAGGCGCCUCUCGACGUCGAGAUGCUUCCCCGUCACGGGGCCACGCACUUCCGUGCUGGCGCUCGCGGCGUUCUCCUUCUCCAACAAUCGACUCCAUUAUCAACGUGCACCUCCGUCAUGCGCCGCAAUAAGCGGUCCCGCAGUCCACGUCUCCAACGUUGGGUGCAACAUGCCCGAGCGCGUCAGAUCGCGUCCUCUCAGGUGGCAGUUCUGAAGUCUGUUGUGGUUGCCCCGCGUUCCCAGUGCUCGGGCUCGGUUCCGACUGAGCUCCCUUCCGAGUACGCGGGUCGUGGGCCUACAGCAGAAGUACACAUGGCCAACUCCCACGAAGAUCCCCAUCAAGCCGACCGAGGCGAAAUCGGCGGAGCAUCCGGUGCGCGCCAUCCGCCUCGUCGUUCUGCCAGUCGACAGACUCGGCAGAGCAACGUGGAGUUGUUCCGCACACCUCUCCUCAACUUGGCCGCGGCUGCCCAGAUUGCCGAUUCCCUUCAGCCGACUGAUUCAGAGGCAGGAAGGGGAAUCGAGCAAAUCCGAGCUCUGUUGCGCACGGCGCAGCAGCAGAAUUCGGCAGUCUCCCAGUCACACAAUCGGAUCCACAAUAGUUCCGUCCAUGCAAACACGCAUCGAUCGGUUCACAGCCUUGGAUCUCAUCAGUAUCGCCACCGCUCGCGCACCCCUCCACGGGGUGGGCCCUAUGGGUCCCGACAUCAUGAUGAUCGGUGUUCGGUCGGCGACACUUACGACCCAAGACCCGACGUGAGGGGGCGAAUCGCUCAGCAAAGAGUCGACAGGGGUCGAGCCCACCGCGAUGGUCGCGAUAUGGACCGUCCGAGUGGAAGCAGGACCAUCGUGUCCGGCCCCGAGUGUUUUAGUCGAGCCAUCCGCUCGGCUGACAUCCCGCCCAACUUCCGAUUGGCAGCGGGAAUCGGUAAAUUUACAGGGGAGUCCAAGCCCGAAACAUGGCUAGACGACUACCGAGUGGCAGUCCAGAUCGGAGGAGGAGACGACCAUGUCGCUAUGAAGAACCUCCCUCUGAUGCUCGACGGCUCGGCUCGAGCUUGCCUGAACCAGUUGGCCCCCUCAAGCAUUUACAGUUGGGCAGAUCUAGCCCGAGUGUUCAUCAGGACCUUCGAAGGGACGUGCAAACGCCCUGCAGGCCUUGUGGAGCUUCAACACUGUGUCCAGAAGCCGAAUGAGCCCUUGCGCGACUUCAUCUAGCGAUGGACAACUCUCUACCACACGGUGGAGAACGUCACCGAGCAUCAAGCCGUCCGCGCCUUUAAGGCAGGCGUGCGGUACAGAGAACUGUACUUGAAGUUUGGUCGAAUGGGCGACAUCUCCAUGAGCAAGAUGAUGGAGAUAGCGGCUCGCUACGCAAAUGGCGAAGAAGAGGACCGCAUCCGGAGCGGCAAACACAAGACAGUCGGCGAUGCCGACGGAGGUAACACUCGGAAGCAGAAACAAAAGGUUCCGCCCACACCGCAAGCAGAAGCUGCAGCUGUAACUAGCGCCAAGUUCAAGGGCAAAGGGAAAGCGCAGUUUACCCCCAAGAAGAAGCCUUUCAACAAUCCCAUCCUGGACCAGCCUUGUCCAGUUCACACGAAGAUGGACGAGGAAGGCAACCCCAUAUACGCGAAGCACACCACUCGGCAGUGCUGUCUCCUGAUCCAGGGGUUCAGCGAAGGGCAGCCGAGUGAGAAGAAUCCUGAACAAGAUGAGGAGGAUAAGGAGGAUCCGUUCCCCCAAGUCCAUGCAACCCUCAUGAUUUUUGCUGACAUCGAAAGCAAGAGUCGACUGAAGCUAGUGAACAGAGAGGUCAACAUGGUCGUUCCGACUGCUCCCAAGUUCCUUAGAUGGUCUCAGACUGCGAUCACCUUUGAUCAGUUGGACCAUCCAACGCAUGUCCCCACUCCAGGAAGACAGGCUCUGGUCGUCGACCCGGUGGUGGAAGGAGUCCAACUGCGCAAAGUCCUCAUGGACGGCGGUAGCGGACUAAACAUCAUGUACGCCGACACUCUCAAGGGAAUGGGCAUUCCGAUGUCCCGACUCAGCGAGAGCAAUAUGCAGUUCCACGGAGUCGUCCCUGGACGGAAGGCCAAGUCACUCGGCCAGAUCGCAUUGGAAGUCAUCUUCGGCUCUGACAAGAACUUUCGCAAGGAGAAGCUCACUUUUGAGGUGGUAGACUUCCAGAGCGCUUACCACGCAAUUUUGGGCCGCCCGGCGUACGUAAGUUUGAUGGCACGUCCGUGCUAUGUGUACUUGAAGCUGAAGAUGCCCGGUCCAAAAGGUGUUAUCACCAUCAUCGGCAACCGUCAGCGAGCCGAGGAGUGUCUGCAAGAGGGAUCAAGGAUCGCCGACCAGCAGAUGGCUGUACUCGAGCUCGAAGAGUACAAGAAGACAGUCGACCCUGCCGACUUAAUGCGCUCAAAGAAGCCAACUUCUGAGUCCGCGUUCCAGUCGGCGGGAGAGACUAAGAAGGUCAGCAUCCACCCGACGGACGAGUCUGCCGCCCCGACGAACAUCUCCACCACCCUCGAUCCUAAAUAGGAAGCCGAGCUCACCCAAUUCCUCCGUGAGAACUGGGACAUGUUCGCAUGGAAACCUUCUGACAUGCUGGGUGUGCCCAGGGAGUUGGCUAAGCACCGACUGCAUGUGGAUCUCGUCGCUCGGCCCGUUCGAGAGCGCCUGCGUCGGUCCGCCGCGCACAAGAGGAAGGCAAUCGGAGAAGAGGUGGCCAAGCUGCUGGCUGCCAACUUCAUUCGCGAGGUUCACCACUCUGAGUGGCUCGCCAAUGUCGUCAUGGUGCCCAAGAAGGACAAGUCACUCCGAAUGUGCAUUGACUUCAAGCACCUCAAUAAGGUCUGCUCGAAAGACCAUUUUCCGCUCCCCCGCAUAGAUCAAAUUGUCGAUUCGACUGCUGGUUGCGAGCGUUUGUCAUUCCUUGAUGCCUACUCGGGUUAUCAUCAGAUCCGUCUGUAUGGUCCCGAUGAGUUGAAAACAGCCUUCAUCACCCCGUUUGGGUGCUUCUGCUACAUCACUAUGCCUUUCGGUCUGAAGAAUGCAGGAGCUACCUUUAUGCGCAUGAUCCAAAAAUGUCUCCUCGACCAGAUCGGUCGCAAUGUGGAGGCAUACAUGGAUGAUAUCGUAGUCAAGUCACGCAAAGGUUCCGACCUGCUGACUGACUUGGCAGAAACAUUCGCCAACCUUCGUAGGUACGAUAUCAAGCUAAACCCGGCCAAAUGUUCAUUCGGUGUUCCGAGCGGAAAGUUACUCGGUUUCUUCGUUUCCGAACGAGGGAUCGAUGUUAACCCCGAAAAGAUCGGGACCAUCAUCCGAAUGGAUAGGCCGGUCAGAAUACACGAUGUUCAACGGCUCACAGGUUGCCUAACGGCUUUGAGCAGGUUCAUCAGUCGACUCGGCGAAAAAGCACUUCCUCUGUACUGACUCAUGAAGAAGUCAGAUACCUUCGAGUGGACAGACGAAGCCCAAGUCGCAUUCGACGACCUCAAAGUCCUACUUUCCACCCAACCGGUUCUUACUGCUCCGCUCAGUAAAGAGCCCCUUCUUCUAUAUAUCGCGGCUACAAAUCAAGUCGUCAGUACUGUUCUUAUAGUCGAGCGAGAAGAAGAAGGCAAAGCAUACAAAGUUCAGCGGCUAGUGUACUACGUCUCCGAAGUCCUGACCCCUUCCAAGCAGAGGUAUCCCCAUUAUCAAAAGCUUAUCUAUGGGAUCUAUAUGACUUCAAAGAAGGUGGCCCAUUAUUUCCAAGACCACUCGGUAUCUGUCGUUUCUGAUGCUCCGUUGUCGGAAAUUCUCCACAAUCGGGACGCAUCGGGCCGAGUGGCGAAGUGGGCGAUGGAGAUGUUGUACUGCGACAUCAAGUUCGAGGCCAAGAAAGCCAUUAAGUCUCAAGCCCUGGCUUACUUUAUAGCAGAAUGGGUAGAACAAUAGCAACCGACUCACAUCUACUCGGCUCAUUGGACAAUGUUCUUCGAUGGGUCUAAGAUGUUGAAUGGAUCCGGCGCUGGUGUUGUGAUCAUAUCGCCAAAGGGUGACAAGCUCAAGUACGUGCUUCAGAUACACUUUGAUUCCUCUAACAACGAGGCAGAGUAUGAAGCUCUUCUCUACGGAUUGCGCAUGGCCAUCUCACUCGGCGUCCAUCGCCUGAUGGUCUACGGCGAUUCGGACUUGGUGGUCAACCAAGUGAUGAAAGAGUGGGACGUAAGGAACCCCACCAUGACAACAUACUGCAAUGCAGUCAGGAAGCUGGAGAAGAAGUUUGAAGGUCUAGAACUUCAUCAUGUUCCAAGACUGAAGAACCAAGCAGCUGACGAGUUGGCGAAACUCGGAUCCACUCGGAGACCAGUCCCGAGUGAUGUCUGCCUUGAGCACCUCCAUCUUCCUUCAGUUAAAGAAGAUCCCUUCACGGAAGAACCAGUACAACCCAAGAGCACAACAGAUCCGACUGAAGUUGAUGUGCCUGCUGUGGUUGAUCUGGUCACAGAGAUUCUGGUAGUCGUUCCCGAUUGGACUGUGCCGAUCAUGGCAUAUAUCCUGAGACAAGAACUUCCAGAAGAAGAAGUCCAAGCCCGGCAAAUAGUUCGCAGGUCGAAGGCAUUCACUGUCAUUGACGGUCAAUUGUACAAGGAGAGUGUUUCAGGCGUCCUCCAACGUUGCAUUUCCCCAGAGGAAGGACAAUUGAUCCUAGAGGAUAUCCACUCGAGAACUUGCAGCCAUCACGCUUCUUCGAGAGCAAUCGUCGCCAAGGCGUUCAGAGCUGGAUUCUUCUGGCUGCAGGCUAACGAGAUGGCCAAAGCUAUGGUCGAUCGAUGUGAAGGCUGUCAGUUCUACUCCAACAAGUCCCACAAGCCAACGUCUGCACUAAAGACAAUCCCACUUGUGUGGCCAUUUGCAGUUUGGGGAUUAGACACAGUCGGACCAUUCAAGACAGGCCAAGGAGGCUACACACAUCUGUUGGUGGCAAUCGACAAGUUUACAAAAUGGAUAGAAGCCAAGCCCAUCAAGAAACUCGACGCCUCCACAGCCGUUCAGUUUGUCAGGGACAUCAUCUCCAGAUUCGGAGUGCCUCACAGCAUAAUCACAGACAAUGGGACAAACUUCGACUCGGACAGAUUCAAAGGCUUCUGUGCGAGUCAAGGUAUCCGAGUGGAUUUCGCUUCCGUAGCACAUCCUCAAUCCAAUGGGCAAGCUGAGCGCGCGAAUGGACUUAUCCUUCAAGGUUUGAAGCCCCGACUCUUGCGAGAGGUAGGACAUGCUGCUGGUGCAUGGGACACCGAGUUACCUUCAGUGCUUUGGGGCCUCCGCACCACUCCGAACAGAUCAACAGGGCGAUCACCGUUCUUCCUCGUUUAUGGAGCAGAAGCGGUCCUUCCGAGUGACCUGCUUCACAAUGCCCCGCGAGUCGAACUCUUCUCCGAAGCCGAAGCAGAACAAGCAAGGCAAGACGGAGUCAAUCUUCUAGAGGAGGAGCGUGAGAUGGCACUUACUCGCUCGACAAUUUACCAGCAAGAUCUGCGACGCUUUCACGCGCGUCACGUGAGGAGUCGCACUUUCCAAGCUGGCGAUUUGGUGCUCCGAGUGGAUCAGCAAAGACCACACAAGUUGGCUCCGGCCUGGGAAGGGCCUUUCAUCAUUUCCAAGGUGCUGAACAACGGAGCAUACAGACUCUACAACAUUCAGAGGGAGACAGACGAGCCGCGCGCAUGGAACGGAGAUCUCCUCAAGCGUUUUUAUACGUGAUCGUCGGCUGAAGUAGUGUAAUGAACAAGUUUUGAAGAAAUAAUAUAUUCAGCAGAUUCAGUUUUGUGCAGAUUCAGAGUUCUCCCACGGUCGUAGACUCCGGUCAUCAAAAAAAAAACUUAGCUGCGAUCCUGAAUCGCCUAAGUACUAACCUCCUCCGAGUGUGCACUAUGCGUCACACUCGGGGACUUAGCUGCGAUCCUGAAUCGCCUAAGUAUUAACCUCCUUCGAGUGUGCACUAUACGUCACACUCGGGGACUUAGUUGCGAUCCUGAAUUGCCUAAGUAUUAACCUCCUCCGAGUGUGCAUUAUACGUCGCACUCGGGGACUUAGCUGCGAUCCUGAAUCACCUAAGUAUUAACCUCCUCCGAGUGUGCACUAUACGUCACACUCGGGGACUUAGCUGCGAUCCUGAAUCGCCUAAGUAUUAACCUCCUUCAAGUGCGCACUAUACGUCGCACUCGGGGACUUAGCUGCGAUCCUGAAUCGCCUAAGUAUUAACCUCCUCCGAGUGUGCACUAUACGUCACACUCGGGGACUUAGCUGCGAUCCUGAAUCGCCUAAGUAUUAACCUCCUUCAAGUGCGCACUAUACGUCGCACUCGGGGACUUAGCUGCGAUCCUGAAUCGCCUAAGUAUUAACCUCCUCCGAGUGUGCACUAUACGUCACACUCGGGGACUUAGCUGCAAUCCUGAAUCGCCUAAGUAUUCACCUCCUUCGAGUGCGCACUAUACGUCGCACUCAGGGACUUAGCUGCGAUCCUGAAUCGCCUAAGUAUUAACCUCCUUCGAGUGCGCACUUUACGUCGCACACGGGGACUUAGCUGCGAUCCUGAAUCGCCUAAGUAUUAACUUCCUCCGAGUGUGCACUAUACGUCGCACUCGGAGACUUAGCCGUGAUCAAGAAUCUCCUAAGUCUUAACAUCCUCCGNNNNNNNNNNNNNNNNNNNNNNNNNNNNNNNNNNNNNNNNNNNNNNNNNNNNNNNNNNNNNNNNNNNNNNNNNNNNNNNNNNNNNNNNNNNNNNNNNNNNCCCACGAUCCGCUCCGAUCUAGUGCCGAACGGACGACACCUCCGCGUUCAGCACACGUACAACUCGACGAUGAUCUCGGCCUUGUCGAUCCAUCAAGCAAGACGGAGAAGUAGCUGAGUUCUCCGGCAGCGUGACGGCGUUCCGGUGGUGGUGAAGGAUCUACUCCUGCAGGGCUCCGCCAGAGCUCCGCAGAGAUACGAUCUAGAGGAAAAACCGUGAUGUUUUGUGGUCGGGCUGCCGUGGCAAAGUUGUCUCAAAUCAGCCCUAGACCUUCACUAUAUAUAGGAGGAGGGGUGGGGAGGCUUGCCUUGGGGUCCAAGACCCCAAGGGUCCGCCGGCCAAGGAGGUGGAGGAGUCCACCUCCAAUCCUAGUCCAACUAGGAUUGGAAGGUGGAGUCCUUCCCUUCCUUCCCACCUUUUUUUUCUUUUUUCCUUUGAUUUCUUAUCUCCUGCGCAUAGGGCCUCUUGGGCUGUCCCACCAGCUGAGUAAGGGCUGGUGCGGCACCCCUAAGGCCUAUGGGCUUCCCCCGGGUGGGCUGCCCCCCCCCCCCCCCCCCGUGAACAUCCGGAACCCAUUCGUCACUCCCGAAAACUUUCCGGUAAUCAAAUGAGGUCAUCCUAUAUAUCAAUCUUCGUCUCCGAACCAUUCCGGAAACCCUCGUGACGUCCGUGAUCUCAUCCGGGACUCCGAACAACAUUAGGUAACCACACAAAUAACUCAGCUAUACUAAAACAUCGCCGAACCUUAAGUGUGCAAACCCUGCGGGUUCGAGAACUAUGCAGACAUGCCCCGAGGUACUCCUCGGUCAAUAUCCAAUAGCGGGACCUAGAUGCCCAUAUUGGAUCCUACAUAUUCUUCGAAUAACUUAUCGGUUGAACCUCAGUGUCAAGGAUUCAGGCAAUCCCGUAUGUCAUUCCCUUUGUCCUUCGGUAUGUUACUUGCCCGAGAUUCGAUCGUCGGUAUCCGCAUACCUAUUUCAAUCUCGUUACCGGCAAGUAUCUUUUCUCGUUCCGUAAUACAAGAUCCCGUGACUUACACUUAGUCAAAUUGCUUGCAAGACUUGUGUGUGAUGUUGUAUUACACAGUGGGCCCCGAGAUACCUCUCUGUCACACGGAGUGACAAAUCCUAGUCUUGAUCCAUACUAACCCAACAGACACCUUCGGAGAUACCUGUAGAGCACCUUUAUAGUCACCCAGUUACGUUGUGACGUUUGAUACACACAAGGCAUCGCUCCGGUGCCAGUGGGUUAUAUGAUCUCAUGGUCAUAGGAACAAAUACUUGACACGCAGAAAACAAUAGCAAUAAAAUGACACGAUCAAUAUGCUACGUUCAUAGUUUGGGUCUAGUCCAUCACAUGAUUAUCCUAAUGAUGUGAUCCAGUCAUCAAGCAACAACACUUUGCACAUAGUCAGAAAGCCUUGACUAUCCUUGAUCAACUGGCUAGCCAACUAGAGGCUUGCUAGGGACAUUGUUGUGUCUAUUUAUCCACACAUGCAUCUAUGUUUUCAUUCAAUACAAUUAUAGCAUGGAUAAUAAACGAUUAUCUUUAAAUAGGAAAUAUAAUAAUAACUACUCCCUCCGUCCCAAAAUUCUUGUCUUAAAUUUGUUUAGAUACGAAUGUAUCUAGUCAUGCUUUAGUAUUUAGAUACAUCUAUUUUUAGACAAACAUAAGACAAUAAUUUUAGGACGGAGGGAGUAUUUAUUAUUGCCUCUAGGGCAUAUUUCCAACAGUCUCCCACUUGCACUAGAGUCAAUAAUCAAGUCCUCACAUCGCCAUGCGAUUUACAUUGUAAUAAAUCGAACACCCAUACAGUUCUGGUGUUGAUCAUGUUUUGCCCGUAGAAGAGGUUUAGUCAGCGGGUCUGCUACAUUCAGAUCCGUGUGCACUUUGCAAAUAUUCAUGUUCUCUCCUUCGACGUAGUCGCGGAUGAGGUUGAAGCGUCGUUUGAUGUGUCUGGUCUUCUUGUGAAACUUUGGUUCCUUUGCUAAGGCAAUUGCACUAGUGUUGUCACAUAACAGAGUCAAUGGGUCCAGUGCACUUGGCACAACUCCAAGAUCUGUCAUGAACUGCUUCAUCCAGACACCCUCUUUUGCGGCCUCCGAGGCAGCCAUGUACUCCGCUUCAUAUGUAGAAUCUCCUACGAUGCUUUGCUUGGAACUGCACCAGCUUACCGCACCCCCAUUAAGAAUAAAUACGUAUCCGGUUUGAGACUUAGAGUCAUCCGGAUCGGUGUCAAAACUUGCGUCGACGUAACCUUUUACGACGAGCUCCUUGUCACCUCCAUACACGAGAAACAUUUCCUUAGUCCUUUUCAGGUACUUCAGAAUAUUCUUGAUCGUCGUCCAGUGAUCCACUCCUGGAUUACUCUGAAACCUGCCUGCCAUACUUAUGGCCAAGCUGACGUCUGGUCUAGUGCACAACAUUGCAUACAUGAUAGAACCUACGGCUAAAGCGUAGGGGACGGAACUCAUUGUCUUUCUAUCUUCCGCAGUUGCUGGGCACUGAGUCUUACUCAAUUUUAUACCUUGUAAUACUAGCAAGAACCCUUUAUUGGUCUGAUCCAUUUUGAACUUCUUCAAAACUUUAUCAAGGUAUGUGCUUUGUGAAAGUCCUAUCACGCGUUUAGAUCUAUCCCUAUAGAUCUUAAUGCCUAGAAUGUAAGCAGCUUCUCCUAGGUCCUUCAUAGAGAAACUUUUAUUCAAGUAACCUUUUAUGCUCUCCAAAAGCUCCACGUUGUUUCCAAUCAGCAAUAUGUCGUCCACAUAUAAUAUUAGAAACGCCACAGAGCUCCCACUCACUUUCUUGUAAAUACAAGAUUCUCCAACCACUUGUAUAAACCCAAAUGUUUUGAUCACCUCAUCAAAACGCUUAUUCCAACUCCGAGAUGCUUGCACCAGUCCAUAAAUGGAUCGCUGGACCUUGCACACUUUGUCAGCAUUCUUAGGAUUGACAAAACCUUCGGGUUGCAUCAUAUACAACUCUUCCUUAAGAAAAUCGUUAAGGAACGCCGUUUUGACAUCCAUCUGCCAGAUUUCACAAUCGUAAAAGGCAGCUAUUGCUAACAUGAUUCGGACAGACUUAAGCAUCGCUACUGGUGAGAAAGUAUCAUCGUAGUCAAUUCCUUGAACUUAUGAAAAACCCUUUGCCACAAGUUGAGCUUUAUAAACGGUCACAUUACCGUCUGCGUCUGUCUUCUUCUUAUAGAUCUAUUUGUUCUGAAUAGCCUUGCGGCCUUCAGGUAGUACUUCUAAAGUCCACACUUUGUUCUCGUACAUGGAUCCUAUCUCGGACUUCAUGGCCUCCAGCCAUUUGUUGGAAUCCGGGCCCACCAUUGCUUCUUCAUAAUUCGCAGGUUCAUUGUUGUCCAACAACAUAAUCGUCAAGACAGGAUUACCGUACCACUUGGGAGCGGUACGUGAUCUUGUCGACCUGCGAGGUCCAACAGUAACUUGAUCCGAAGUUUCAUGAUCAUCAUCAUCAACUUGUUCCUCAACCGGUGCCGCGGCAACAGGGGUUUCCCCUUGCCCUGCGCCACCAUCAAGAGGAAUUAGAGAUUCGACAACCUCAUCAAGUUCUAUCUUCCUCCCACUCAAUUCUUUCGAGAGAAACUCCUUCUCAAGAAAAGCUCCGUUUUUAGCAACAAACACUUUGCCCUCGGAUUUGAGAUAGAAGGUAUACCCAACUGUGUCCUUUGGGUAACCUAUGAAGACGCACUUUUCCGCUUUGGGUUCCAGCUUUUCAGGCUGAAGCUUUUUGACAUAAGCAUCACAUCCCCAAUCUUUAAGAAACGACAACUUUGGUCUUUUGCCAUACCACAGUUCGUAUGGUGUCAUCUCAACGGAUUUUGAUGGUGCCCUAUUUAAAGUGAAUGCAGCUGUUUCUAAUGCAUAACCCCAAAACGAUAACGACAAAUCGGUAAGAGACAUCAUAGAUCGCACCAUCUCUAAUAAAGUACGAUUACGACGUUCGGACACACCAUUACGCUGUGGUGUUCCAGGCGGUGUCAACUGUGAAACUAUUCCACAUUGUCUUAAGUGAGUACCAAACUCGAAACCCAGAUAGUCACCCCCACGAUCAGACCGUAGGAACUUGAUCUUCUUGUUACAAUGAUUUUCGACUUGACUCUGAAAUUGCUUGAACUUUGCAAAUGUCUCAAACUUGUGCUUCAUCAAGUAGACAUAACCAUAUCUACUUAAAUCGUCAGUGAAGGUGAGAAAAUAACGAUAUUCACCGCGUGCCUCCACACUCAUUGGACCACACACAUCGGUAUGUAUGAUUUCCAACAAGUCACUUGCACGCUCCAUUGUUCCGGAGAACGGAGUCUCAAUGUUAUGUAUAUGUGUAUUAUCACUAUCAAGAUUCAAUAUGAACAAUCCUCUCACAUUGGGUGCAUGACCAUAAAAGAUAUUACUCAUAGAAAUAGAACAACCAUUAUUCUCUGACUUAAACGAGUAACCGUCUCGCAAUAAACAAGAUCCAUAUAUAACAUUCAUGCUUAACGCAUGCACUAAAUAAAAUUUAUUUAAGUUCAUAACUAAUCCUGAUGGUAACUGAAGUGAAACUGUGCCGACGGCGAUUUCAUCAACCUUGGAACCAUUUCCCACGCGCAUCGUCACUUCAUCCUUCGCCAGCCUUCGCUUAUUCCGCAGUUCCUGUUUCGAGUUGCAAAUAUGAGCAACAAAACCAAUAUCGAAUACCCAGACACUACUACGAGAGCUGGUUAAGUACACAUCAAUAACAUGUAUAUCGAAUAUACCUGAUUUUUCCUUGGCCGCCUUCUUAUCAGCGAGAUACUUGGGGCAGUUGCGCUUCGAGUGACCCAUACCCUUGCAAUAAUAGCACUCCGUUUUAGGCUUAGGUCCAGCUUUGGGUUUCUUCGUCGGAUUGGCAACAGGCUUGCCGCUCUUCUUUGAAUUACCCUUCUUUCCUUUGUCGUUUCUCUUGAAACUAGUGGUCUUAUUCACCAUCAACACUUGAUGCUCUUUACGGAGUUCUGACUCUGCGACUUUCAGCAUCGCGAAUAACUCGCCGGUUGACUUGUUCAUCCCUUGCAUGUUAUUGUUCAACACAAAGCCCUUAUAGCUUGGUGGCGGUGAUUGAAGAAUUCUGUCAAUGAUAGCCUCUUGCGGGAGUUCAAUCCCCAACUCAGCUAGAUGGUUUGUGUACCCAGACAUUUUGAGCACAUGUUCACUGACAGACGAAUUCUCCUCCAUCUUGCAAGCAUAGAAUUUAUCGGAGGUCUCAUACCUCUCGAUCCGGGCGUUCUUCUGAAAGAUAAACUUCAACUCCUGGAACAUCUCAUAUGCUCCAUGACGCUCAACGCGACGUUGAAGUCCCGACUCUAAGCCAUACAAGACUGCACACUGAACUACUGAGUAGUCCUCCUUGCGUGCUAACCAAGCGUUCUUAACAUCUUGGUCAUCCGUGGCGGCUGGUUCAUCUCCUCGCGUAGCAUUAAGGACAUAAUCCUUCUUCCCAGCUUGCAGGAGCAACUUAAGAUUACGAGCCCAUUCUACAAAGUUGCUUCCAUCAUCUUUCAACUUAGCUUUCUCUAGGAACGUAUUAAAAUUCAGGGUGACUGUCGCGUGAGCCAUUGAUCUACAACACAAAUAUUUUCAAAGUGGACUUCGACUAUGUUCAAGAUAAUUAGAGUUUAACUAAUCAAAUUACUUGCUAAACUCCCACUCAAAAAGUACAUCUAUCUAGUCAUUUGAGUGGUUCAUGAUCUAAUUCCACUAGCUCAAGUCCGAUCAUCACGUGAGUUGAGGAUAGUUUCAGUGGUAAGCAUCCAUAUGCUAAUCAUAUCAACUAUAUGAUUCAUGAUCGACCUUUCAGUCUCAUGUGUUCCGAGGCCAUGUCUGCACAUGCUAGGCUCGUCAAGCUUAACCCGAGUGUUCCGCGUGUGCAACUGUUUUGCACCCGUUGUAUGUGAACGUUGAGUCUAUCACACCCGAUCAUCACGUGGUGUCUCGAAACGACAAACUGUAGCAACGGUGCACAGUCGGGGAGAACACAAUUUCGUCUUGAAAUUUUAGUGAGAGAUCACCUCAUAAUGCUACCGUCAUUCUAAGCAAAAUAAGGUGCAUAAAAGGAUUAACAUCACAUGCAAUUCAUAAGUGACAUGAUAUGGCCAUCAUCAUGUGCUUCUUGAUCUCCAUCACCAAAGCACCGGCACGAUCUUCUUGUCACCGGCGCCACACCAUGAUCUCCAUCAACGUGUCGCCAUCGGGGUUGUCAUGCUACUCAUGAUAUUACUACUAAAGCUACGUCCUAGCAAUAUAGUAAACGCAUCUGCAAGCACAAACGUUAGUUUAAAAGACAAUCCUAUGGCUCCUGCCGGUUGCCGUACCAUGGACGUGCAAGUCGAUAUUAACUAUUACAACAUGAUCAUCUCAUACAUCCAAUAUAUCAUAUCACGUCUUUGACCAUAUCAUAUCACAAGCAUACCCUGCAAAAACAAGUUAGACGUCCUCUAAUUGUUGUUGCAUGUUUUACGUGGUUGCAAUGGGUAUCUAGUAGAUCGCAUCUUACUUAUGCAAAAACCACAACGGAGAUGUGCAAAUUUCUAUUUAACCUCUCCAAGGACCGCCUCGGUCAAAACCAAUUCAACUAAAGUUGAAGAAACAGACACCCGCCAGCCAUAUUUAUGCAACGAGGUUGCAUGUCAAUCGAUGAAACCAGUCUUUCGUAUGCGUACGAAUAAUGUCGGUCUGGGUCGCUUCAAUCCAACAAUACUGCUGAAUUGAGAAAAGACUAAGGAGGGCCGCAAAUCGAACAUCACCGCCCACAAAACCCUUUGUUUUCUACUCGAGAUAACAUCUACGCAUGAACCUAGCUCAUGAUGCCACUGUUGGGGAACGUCGCAUGGGAAACAAAAAAUUUCCUACGCGCACGAAGACCUAUCAUGGUGAUGUCCAUCUACGAGAGGAGAUUUGGAUCUACGUACCCAUGCAGAUCGCACAGCAGGAAGCGUUACGAAACGCGGUUGAUGUGGUGGAACAUCCUUGACGACCCGCAAGUAUAGGGUAUCUAUCAUAGUCCUUUCGAUAAGUAAGAGUGUCGAACCCAACGAGGAGCAGAAGGAUGUGACAAGUGGUUUUCAGCAAGGUAAAAUCUGCAAGCACUGGAAUUAUCGGUAACAAGUAGUUGUGUGGUGAAAUGAUUCGUAGCAAUCAACAAGUAACAAAAGUAACAAUGGUGCAGCAAAGUGGCCCAAUCCCUUUUGUAGCAAGGGACAAGCCUGGACAAACUCUUAUAGGAGGAAAAACGCUCCCGAGGACACAUGGGAAUUUCUGUCAAGCUAGUUUUCAUCAUGUUCAUAUAAUUCGUGUUCGUUACUUUGAUAGUUUGAUAUGUGGGUGGACCGACGCUUGUGUGUUGCCCUUAAUUGGACAAGCAUCCCACUUAUGAUUAACCCCUCUCGCAACCAUCCACAACUACGAAAGAAGAAUUAAGACAAAGUCUAACCAUAGCAUUAAACUAGUGGAUCCAAAUCAGCCCCUUACGAAGCAACGCAUAAACUAGGGUUUAAGCUUCUGUCACUCUAGCAACCCAUCAUCUACUUACUACUUACCAAUGCCUUCCUAUAGACCCAAAUAAUGGUGAAGUGUUAUGUAGUCGACAUUCACAUAACACCACUAGAGGAAAAACAACAUACAACACAUCAAAAUAUCGAACGAAUACCAAAUUCACAUGACUACUUAUAGCAUGACUUAUCCCAUAUCCUCAGGAAAAAAAGUAACUACUCACAAAGCAUAAUCAUAUUCAUGACCAGAGAGGUAAUGAGUAGCAUCAAGGAUCUGAACAUAAACUCUUCCACCAAGUAAUCCAACUAGCAUCAACUACAAAGAGUAAUUAACACUACUAGCAACCUUACAAGUACCAAUCAGAGUCGCGAGACGAAGACUGGUUACAAGAGAUGAACUAGGGUUUGGAGAUGAGAUGGUGCUGACGAAGAUGUUGAUGGUGACGAGUCCCCUCCGAUGAGAGGAGUGUUGGUGAUGACGAUGGCGACGAUUUCCCCCUCCGGGAGGGAAGCUUCCCCGGCAGGACCGUCCCGCCGGAGCUCUAGACUGGUUGUGCUCAAGUUCCGCCUCGUGGCGGCGGCGAAUCCUCGGAAAAGCCUCCUCUUGAUUUUUUCCAGACCAAAACCCUUCUUGUAGCAAAAGGGGGGAGCCAGAGGGCCAGCUGGGAGCCCACAAGCCCCCUAGGCGCGGCUAGGGGGGUGGCCGUGCCUAGCAGGCUUGUGGCCCCGUGCUGGCACCCCUCGGGUACUUCUUCGGCCCAAUAUUUUUUAUAAAUCCCAAAAAAAUCCACGUUGAUUUUCACGGCUUUUGGAGUUGCGCAGAAUAGGAAUCUCAAACUUGCUCCUUUUUCAGGCCAGAAUUCCAGUUGCCGGCAUUCUCCCUCUUCAUGUAAACCUUGCAAAAUAAGAGAGAAAAGGCAUAAGUAUUGUAUUGUGAAGUGAAAUAACAGCCCAAAAAGCGAUAAAUAUCAACAUGAAAGCAUGAUGCAAUAUGGACGUAUCAACUCCCCCAAGCUUAGACCUCGCUUGUCCUCAAGCAAAAGCCGAGCUCAAUAAAUAUGCCCACAUGUUUAGGGAGAGAGGUGUCGACAAAACAAGAUACGAACAUGCACGCAUCAUGAUCAUGAUCAGAACAACAAUACCAUCAUGUGAACUUUUAUGCUAAAGUGACAAUUUCUUCACAAAGUAAAGUAUGGAUCAAGAACCUUACCGAGAAUUAACAACCGAUAGCCUUUAGUCAUUGAAGCAAUUGCAAUUUAUCACAACAUUGGAAAGAGUCAAAUAAGAGCUUGUAAAGCAAAUCCACAUACGCAAUCAUCUUUUCGUUCUCUACAAUUGCUACAACUCAUGUGGUACUCAUGAGAUCAAAGUUUCAGUCGGACACAGAGAAAGAUAGGGGCUUAUAGUUUUUCCUCCCAACCACUUACCUCAAGGGUAAUGUCAACAAUAAUAAUUCAUGAAUACUUACUUCCAAGUAUAAUAAAGCAUAAGUACUCAUCUCCAAGUUGAUAUAUGAAUAUAGAUCUUUCCCAAGCAUAUGACGGUAGCCGAGAUAAAGGAGAAAUAAGGAAUUGGUGAAGAUCACCAUGAUUCUUUCAAGGGCAAAAAGUAAAGGUACAAGAUAGGCCCUUCGCAGAGGGAAGCAGAGGUUGUCAUGCGCUUUUGAGGUUUGGAUGCGUGUCCUCUUAGUGCGAAGGAACGUCACUUUAUAUUGCCUCCUGUGAUAAAGAACUUUAUUAUGCAGUUUGUCACUUUUAUGUCUUCCUCAUCACAGGUUCAUACAAAGCUUAUUUUCCACACACUAAUAGAUCAUACAUAUUAGGGAGCAAUUUUUAUUGCUUGCACCGAUGACAACUUACUUGAGGGAUNNNNNNNNNNNNNNNNNNNNNNNNNNNNNNNNNNNNNNNNNNNNNNNNNNNNNNNNNNNNNNNNNNNNNNNNNNNNNNNNNNNNNNNNNNNNNNNNNNNNCUCACAAAGCAUAAUCAUAUUCAUGACCAGAGAGGUAAUGAGUAGUGAUGACCCACAAGUAUAGGGGAUUAAUCGUAGUCCUUUGGAUAAGUAAGAGUGUCGAACCCAACGAGGAGGAGAACGCUCUGAUAAACGGUUUUCAGCAAGGUAAUAACUGCAAGCACUGAAAGUAGCGGUAACAAGUGAUGGUGUAGUGAGGUGAAACGUAGCAAGCGAAAAGUAACAAGUAACAAGUAGUAGCAACGGUGCAGCAAGUGUCCCAAUCCCUUUUGUGGGACAAGCCUGGACAAAGUCUUAUAAGAGAAAAAACGCUCCCGAGGACACACGGGAAUUUCUGUCAUGCUAGUUUCAUCAUGUUCAUAUGAUUCGCGUUCGUUACUUUGAUAGUUUGAUAUGUGGUUGGACCGGCGCUUGGGUACUGCCCUUAAUUGGACAAGCAUCCCACUUAUGAGUAACCCCUCUCGCAGGCAUCCGCAACUACAAAAGAAGAAUUAAGACAACGUCUAACCGUAGCAUUAAACUAGUGGAUCCAAAUCAGCCCCUUACGAAGCAAUGCAUAGACUGCGGUUUAAGCUUCUGUCACUCCAGCAACCCAUCAUCUACUUACUACUCCCCAAUGCCUUCCUCUAGGCCCAAAUAUGGUGAAGUGUUAUGUAGUCGACGUUCACAUACCACCACUAGAGGAAAAACAACAUACAACAUAUCAAAAUACCGAACGAAUACCAAACUCACAUGACUAUUAUUAGCAUGACUUAUCCCAUGUCCUCAGGAACAAAAGUAACUACUCACAAAGCAUAAUCAUAAUCAUGAUCAGAGGUCUAAUGAAUAGCAUCAAGGAUCUGAACAUAAGCUCUUCCACAAAGUAAUCCAACUAGCAUCAACUACAAAGAGUAAUCAACACUACUAGCAACCUUACAAGUACCAAUCGGAGUCGCGAGACGGAGAUUGGUUACAAGAGAUGAAGUAGGGAUUGUAGAUGAGAUGGUGCUGAUGAAGAUGUUGAUGGAGAUGCCUCCCCUCCGACGAAAGGAGUGUUGGUGAUGACGAUGGCGAUGAUUUCCCCAUCUGGGAGGGAAGUUUCCCCGGCAGGAUCGUCCUGCCGGAGCUCUAGAUUGGAUCUGCUCAAGUUCCGCCUCGUGGCGGCGGNNNNNNNNNNNNNNNNNNNNNNNNNNNNNNNNNNNNNNNNNNNNNNNNNNNNNNNNNNNNNNNNNNNNNNNNNNNNNNNNNNNNNNNNNNNNNNNNNNNNAAAUUUCUUUAUAAUUGAAGAAGUCAUGUCAUCUUCUCUCUUGGCUUUCAAAAGCUUGAAUUUGAAUUCACCGGAGAAGGGGAAAGUCAUUUUAUUUCCUCUCAUUCAAAAGUUUCGAAAAGUUUCAAAUUUCACACAAGUUUCAAUCACUCACGCAAACAGACAAACAAUCAAUCUAAUAAUUAUAUUAACAUUCCAAAAUUUAUAAUUUUGGGAUGUUACAAUGGUAUAGCAGGACAUAAUCACCUACAUUGAACUCUCGUUUCUGUAUUCGUUUAUCGUGCCAUAUCUUAACCUUUUCCUUGAACAACUUGGCAUUCUCAUAUGCCUGGGCCCUCCAUUCAUCUAACGAGCUGAUAUCAAACAACCGCUUCUCACCGGCAUGUUUGAAAUCAAAGUUGAGCUCUUUGAUUGCCCAAUAAGCUUUGUGUUCCAGCUCAAGAGGUAAAUGACAGGCCUUACCGUAAACCAUUCUAUACGGCGACAUGCCCAUGGGAUUCUUAUAAGCAGUCCUAUAAUCCCAUAGUGCAUCGUCAAGUUUGCUAGACCAAUUCUUUCGAGAUCUAUUGACGGUCUUUUGUAAGAUCAAUUUGAUCUCCCUAUUACUCAACUCCACUUGACCACUAGACUGAGGAUGAUAAGGAGAUGCAACUCUAUGGUUGACAUCAUGCUUAGCGAGCAUCUUGCGGAAAACACCAUGAAUGAAGUGUGAACCGCCAUCAGUCAUCAAAUAUCUAGGGACUCCAAAUCUUGGGAAGAUGACUUCUUUAAGCAUCUUAAUAGAGGUGUGGUGAUCAGCAUUUUUAGUGGGGAUAGCUUCUAACCACUUAGUGACGUAAUCCACAGCAACUAAGAUGUGAGUGUGCCCAUUGGAACUCGGGAAGGGUCCCAUAUAAUCAAAGCCCCAGACAUCAAAUGGUUCAAUGACAAGUGAAUAGUUCAUAGGCAUUUCCUGACGCUUACUGAUGUUCCCUAUUCUUUGGCAUUCGUCACAAGACAAGACAAACUUACGGGCAUCCUUGAAGAGAGUGGGCCAAUAGGAACCUGAUUGCAAUACCUUAUGAGCUGUUCUAUCUCCAGCAUGGUGUCCUCAGUAGGCUUCGGAAUGACACUUCUACAGGAUCUGUCCCUGUUCAUGUUCAGGCACACAAGGUCUAAUAACACCAUCUACUCCUUCCUUAUAAAGGUGAGGAUCAUCCCAAAAGUAGUGUCUCAAAUCAAAGAAGAAUUUCUUCUUUUGCUGAUAGGUGAAACUGGGUGGUAUAUAUUUGGCUACGAUAUAGUUUGCAUAAUCAGCAUACCACGGUACACUAUGUGAAGUGCGGAUGACAUUUAAUUGCUCAUCAGGGAAGCUGUCAUCAAUAGGUCGUGGGUCAUCAAGGACAUUCUCUAUCCUAGACAAGUUAUGUGCUACGGGGUUAUCAGCACCCUUUCGGUCAACGACGUGCAAAUAAAAUUCCUGUAGCAGGAGAACCCAUCCGAUCAGCCUAGGCUUAGCGUCCUUCUUCUCCAUAAGGUACUUAAUAGCAGCAUGAUCAGAGUGAAUAGUGACUUUGGAGUCAACUAUAUAAGAUCUGAACUUUUCACAUGCAAACACGACUGCUAAAAACUCCUUUUCCGUAGUGGCAUAGUUUCUUUGGGCACUGUCUAGAGUUUUACUAGCGUACUGAAUAACAUUCAACUUCUUGUCAACUCUUUGUCCUAGAACAACACCAAUAGCAUAAUCACUAGCGUCACACAUGAUUUCAAUGGACAAGUUCCAGUCAGGUGGUUGAACAAUAGGUGCGGUUAUCAAAGGCUUCUUAAGUAUUUCGAAAGCUUCCUCACAAUCCUCAUCAAAAACAAAAGGAACAUCCUUCUGCAAGAGGUUGGUAAGAGGCCUAGAAAUCUUAGAGAAGUCUUUAAUGAACCUUCUAUAGAAACCAGCAUGACCUAGGAAACUUCGUAUACCUCUGGUAUCUGUGGGGCAAGGCAUUUUCUCAAUUGCAUCAACCUUAGCCUUAUCAACUUCAAUGCUUCUUUCAGAGAUUUUGUGUCCUAUGACGAUGCCUUCAUUAACCAUAAAGUGGCACUUCUCCCAAUUCAAGACGAGGUUGGUAUCUUUGCAUCUCUGUAAGACUCGAUUAAGGUUGCUGAGGCAAUCAUCAAAGGAAGACCCGUAAACGGAGAAGUCAUCCAUGAAAACCUCAACAAUCUUUUCACAAAAGUCAGAGAAUAUAGCGAUCAUGCAUCUUUGAAAGGUGGCAGGUGCAUUGCAUAAGCCAAAAGACAUACGUCUAUAAGCAAAGGUACCGAAGGGGCAGGUGAAAGUGGUUUUCUCCUGAUUAGAUCCUGCAACAGGUAUUUGCGAGAAACCUGAAUAACCGUCUAGAAAGCAAAAGUGUGUGUGUUUGGAUAGCCUUUCUAGCAUUUGGUCGAUAAACGACAAAGGAUAAUGAUCUUUCCUAGUUGCCUUGUUUAGUUUCCGGAAGUCUAUCACCAUCCUAUAGCCAGUAAUAAUCCUUCGUGGGAUUAGUUCGUCCUUAUCAUUAGGAACGACGGUGAUACCUGAUGUUUGUUGUGUAUCCCUUGCAAUGGCACCAGAAAUAGUUGUGUCGACGGCACCAGGAAUCCUUCAGCUACGGCUACGCCGUAAGGACUUCCUAGGCAUGUAUGCACAGGAUUUCCCCCGUGGCCUUGGAGGCUUGCGUUGGUGUUCCCUCGAAGCGUAAAGGGUGAUGUAGCAUAGCGACGGUAAGUAUUUCCCUCAGUUUGAGAACCAAGGUAUCAAUCCGGUGGAAGAGUAUCUCAAGAUCCUGCACAAACACAAAAGCUUGCACCCAACGCUAUGAAGGGGUUGUCAAUCCCUUAUAGAUUGUUUGCCAAGUGAGAACUGCAAGCAACAAAGUAACAAAGCAAAGUAAAAGCGGAGAUGUAAACGAUGGAUGCGAAUAGACCCGGGGGCCAUAGUGUUUACUAGUGGCUUCUCUCAUGAAAGCAAGUAGACGGUGGGUGAACAAAUUACUGUCGAGCAAUUGAUAGAACUGUGCAGAGUCGUGACGAUAUCUAUGCAAUGAUUAUUUCUAUAGGCAUCAUGUCCGAAACAAGUAGACCAAUACUCUCUGCAUCUACUACUAUUACUCCACACAUCGACCGCUAUCCAGCAUGCAUCUAGUGUAUUAAGUCCAUAAGAACAGCGUAACGUCUUAAGCAAGAUGACAUGAUGUAGAGGGAUAAUCUCAAACCAAUGAUAAAAACCCCGUCUUUUUACCCUUGAUGGAAACUACUUGAUGUGUGCCUUGCUGCCCCUACUGUCACUGGGAAAGUUCACCACAUGGCAGAACCCAAAACCAAGCACUUCUCCCAUUGCAAGAAUCAUAGAUCUAGUUGGCCAAACAAAACCCAAGACUCGGAGAGACUUACAAGGAUAUCAAAUCAUGCAUAUAAGAAAUCAGCAAAGACUCAAAUAUAUAUCAUAGAUAAUCUGAUCACAAGUCCAUAAUUCAUCGGAUCUCGACAAACACACCGCCAAAGAUGAUUACAUCAGAUAGAUCUCCAUGAAUAUCAUGGAGAACUUUGUAUUGAAGAUCCAAGAGAGAGAAGAAGCCAUCUAGCUACUAACUACGGACCCGUAGGUCUGAAGUGAACUACUCACGAGUCAUUGGAGGGGCGAUGAUGAUGAAGAAGAAGCCCUCCUACUCCAAAGUCCAUUCUGGCAGGGCGCCGGGAAGGGUCUCCAGAUGAGAUCUCGCGGAAACGGAAGCUUGCGGCGGCGGAAAAGUAUUUUCGAGGCUCCCCUGAUUUUUUGCGGAAUAUUUGGGAAUAUAUAGGCGCAAGACCUAGGUCAGGGGGCGGCCAGGGAAGCCACAAGCCUGCCCACCGCCGCCUCCCCCUUGUUGGCGGAGUGGGGGCUUGUGGGCUCCCUGGAGCCCACCUGGCUUGGUCCAAAAGCCCCCUAGACUUCUUCCGUUCGGGAAAAAAUCAUUUCGGGGUUUUUCUUCUGUUUGGACUCUGUUCCAAAAUCAGAUCUGAAAAGAGUCAAAAACACGGAAAAACAGGAACUGGCACUUGGCACUGAAUUGAUAAGUUAGUCCCAAAAAGAUAUAAAAAGGUACAUAAAACAUACAAAGAAGACAAGAUAACAGCGUGAAACCAUCAAAAGUUAUAGAUACGUUUGAGACGUAUCAAGCAUCCCCAAGCUUUACUCCUGCUCGUCCUCGAGUAGGGAAGUGAUAAAGAAUGAAUUUUUGAUGCUUUCAUGCUACCUAGCAUAGGUGUCCUUUGUAAUUCCUCUUAUGUGACGUGAAUGUUCAUAUCCAUUAGAUUCAAAACAAUAGUUUGCUAUUGACGUGGAAACAAUAAUAAUUCAAGAAAACUAGCAAAGUAAUCAUGAACUUUCAAAAUAACAAGGCCAAAAGAAAGUUAUACCUACAAAAGCAUAUAGUCUGGCUAUGCUCUAUCAUCAUUGCACUACGAAUUUAAAUCAUGCACAACCCCGGUAUUGGCCAAGUAAUUGUUUCACACCUUUACUUUCUCAAACAUUUUCAUCUCUCGCGCAAUACAUGAGCGUGAGCCAUGGUUAUAGCACUAUAGAUGGUGUGGAAUGUAGUGGAGGUUGCAAGAAAAAAAAGGAGAAGAUAGUCACAUUAACUAGGCAUAUCAAUGAGCUGUGGAGAUGCUCAUCAAUAGAUAUCAAUGUGAAUGAGUAGGGAUUGCCGAAAAAAUGAUGCACUAGAGCUACAAGUAUGUGAAAGCUCUUAAAGAAAACUAGUGGGUGUGCAUCCAACUUGCUUGCUCAUGAAGACCUAAGGCAAUUUUGAGGAAGCCUAUCAUUGGAAUGUACAAGCCAAGUUAUAUAAUGAGAAUUUCCCACUAGCUAUAUGGUGGUGACAAAACGAGAGACUCUCAAUCAUGAAGAUCAUGGUGCUCAAAAUGCACAAGUGUGGAAAAAGUGGUAGCAUUGUCCCUUCUCUCCUUUUCUCUCAUAUAUUUUUUUUGGUGGGCUCUUUGGCCUCUUUUUUUAUGGGCUUCUUUGCCUCUUUUAUUUCCUCACAUGGGACAAUGCUCCAAUAAUGAUGAUCAUCACACUUUCAACUCAAAACUUAGAGCAAUUAUGACUCUGUAUGGAAUGCCUUCGGUAGUGUACCGUGGCAAUGAUUUAGCAUGGCAUAGACAUGAAUGGAAACAUCAUGCUAGCUAUCUUACGAUCGUGCAAAGGCAAUGUAGACGUGGUGGCACAUAUGAUGGUGGUAGUUGCAUGGCAAUAUAUCUCGGAAUGACUUUGAAAAAGCCAUAGUAGGUAGGUAUGGUGGCUGUUUUGAGGAAGGCUAAUGGUGGGUUUUGUGCACCGGUGAAAGUUGCACGGCACUAAGAAGAUAGUGAUGGUGGAAGGUGAAAGUGCAUCUAAACCAUGGACUCAACAUUAGUCAUCAAGAACUCAUAUACUUGUUGCAAAAAUUUUAUUAGUAAUCGAAACAAAGCAUUCAAUGCAUACUCCUAGGGGAAGGGUUGGUAGGUAUAGACCAUCGCGUGAUCCCGACCGCCACGCAAAGGAUGACAAUCAAUAGACUAAUCAUGCUCAGACUUCAUCACAUAGCGGUUCACCAUACGUGCAUGCUACGGGAAUCACUAACUUCAACACAAUUAUUUCUAGAUCCACAACAUCUUACUAGCAUGACUUCAAUAUUACCAUAACCACAACUCAAAAUUAAUUGAGAUGAAUCAAACUUCUCUAACUAUUCAAGGCACAUGAAGGUGGAAGUUUUCGUAUCCCUUUGGAUAACUACCCCUUUUGAGACUACUUCAAAGCAUAGAUCAACUACCAGGCCACGCACCGCUGUGCUCUAAAAGAUAUAAGUGAAGCACAUCGAGCAAAAGUAUCUAGCUCAAAAGAUAUAAGUGAAGCACAUGUGAGCUGAAUUGUCUACCAAAAGAUAUAAGUGAAGCUCGACAAAAUCACGGUGUGUGCAUGUCUCUCUCUGUAGGUAUGCAGCAAGGAUGAUUGUGACACAACAAAAAUAAAAGACUCCUACGAUACAAGACGCUCCAAGCAAAAACACAUAACAUGUGGUGAAUAAAAAUAUAGCCCCAAGUAACGUUACCAAUGGAUUGAAGACGAGAGAGGGGAUGCCUUCCCGGGGCAUCCCCAAGGUUAGGCUUUUACAGCAUCCUUUAAUAUCUUGGGGUGCCUUGGGCAUCCCCAAGCUUGAGCUCUUGCCACUCUUUAUCUUUUUGUCCAUAAGAACUUCAUCCAAAACUUGAAAACUUCACAACACAAAACUUAAACAGAAACUCGUGAUAACAUUAGUACAAGAAAGCAAACCACCACUUCCUUAGGUACUGUAGCAAACUUAAAUUCUACUUGUGCUGCUGUUGGGUUACUGUACUUUCAAUAUUCCAUGGCUAAUACCCCCCGAUACUAUCCAUAGUUUCAUCAAAAUAAGCAACCAACACAACAAAAACAGAAUCUGUUAACAGCAUACCAGUCUGUAGGAAUCUGUAUAUUUCGUGUACCUGUGGUACUUCAACAAUUCUGAAAAAUUACGACAGUCUGAAGAAUUUGUGUAGCAAUCAGAAGAAAACAGAAUCAACUCAAAAGCUCUUACAGAAAAAAAACGAAAAUUCUUUUAGUGAGCAGAAAGUUUCUGUCUUUUCCAGCAUGACCAAACGAUCAUCCCCAAGACUAAUCAUAACGGUUUUGCUUGGCACAAACGCAAAAAGAAACACAAAAAACACAAUCAUAACAGAAUUAUGAAAGUGUGGAAAACGCAAAACAGAAAGAAAAAGGAUAGAUUCGUUGGGUUGCCUCCCAACAAGCGCUUUUGUUUAACGCCCUUAGGUAGGCGAAAGUGAUGGAAUCACGUAUAGUCAUGUUUGGUGCUCAUACCAUAGGUAGCCCUCAUCAUAGAUUCAUAAGGCAAUCUUAUUUUCUUUCUAGGAAAGUGCUCCAUGCCCUACUUUAAGGGAUGUUGAAAUCUAAUAUUCCCUUCCUUCAUAUCGAUGAUAGCACCAAUAGUCCUUAGGAAAGGUCUACCAAGAAUAAUAGGACAUGAAGGAUUGCAAUCUAUGUCAAGUACAAUGAAAUCCACGGGUACAUAGUUCUUAUUUGCAACAAUAAGAACAUCAUCGAUCCUUACGAUGGGCUUCUUGAUAGUAGAAUCCGCAAGAUGCAAAUUAAGAGAAACACUCUUCAAUCUCAUGAAAACCAAGAAUAUCACAUAAAGAUUUUGGAAUCGCGGAAACACUAGCACCCAAAUCACACAAAGCAUUGCACUCAUAGUUUUUGAUCUUGAUUUUGAUAGUAGGUUCCCACUCAUCAUGAAGUUUUCUAGGUAUCGAGACUUCUAGUUCGAGCUUCUCUUCAAGAGAUUUCAUCAUAGCAUCUACGAUAUGUGUGGUAAAGGCUUUGCAUUGGCUAUAAGCAUGUGGAGAGUUUGCAAUGGAUUGCAUCAAAGAAAUGCAUUCAAACAAGGAGCAAUUAUCAUAAUUGAAUUCCUUGAAAUCCAAAGUGGGAGUUUCAUUACUACCCAAAAUUUUGACUUCUUCUACUCCACUCUCCACACCUUUAUCAUCAAGAUAGGUGGACUCCGAAUCAUUGGGGCGUUUUUCAAACAAAGUGGAUUCAUAUCCAGCCCCUCCAUAAGUAGGCUUGACACGCGAAAACAAAGAUUCAAGAGGAUACACACCAAACACUUUAAGAUCUUCGUGAUUUGCAUCACUAGAAUGCACCCUUUUAAACCAUUCAUGUCUAGCGCGAAUUUGGGCGGUUCUUUAUUUGCUCUUUGCUCUCAUUCAUGGAGAUACGCAUAGCUUUCAAAGUUUCAUCCAAGUUGAUCUUGGGAGGAGCGCAUCUAACUUUCAAAGCAUCAAUAUCACAAGACAUCAUAUCAACGCUCUUAGCCAAAUCGUCUAUUUUGAGUAGUUUUUCCUCUACGGACGCAUUGAAAAUCUUUUGAGAGUUGAUGAACUCUUUGAUAUUAUUCUCUAGAUCAGAGGAUAAUUUGUUAUGAUUUCCAUAAGUGUUGCCGUAGGAAUUGCCAUAAUUGUUAGCGGAGUUACUAGGAAAAGGCCUAGGAAUAUAGUUUCCUCUAAAAGCAUUGUUGUUGCCAAAAUUGUUCCUACCUACAAAAUUCACGUCCGAACUAGCGUUGCUACUCUCAAUCAAAGAAGAUAGUGGCAUGUCAUUAGGAUCUACGGUAGCGUUUCUACUAGCAACCAAAUUCAUCAAAUCAUCCAUAUUAGUACUAAGCCAGUUAAUCUCUUCUAUAACAUGCACCUUUUUGCUAGCAGACGACCUUUCAGUGUGCCACUGAGAGUAGUUGGUCAUGAUAUUGUCUAGGAGUUUUGUAGCGUCUCCUAACGUGAUUUCCAUGAACGUUCCACCUGAGGCGGAAUCCAAGAUAUUGCGAGAAGCGAAAUUCAAGCCAGCGUAAAAGAUUUGUGUAAUCAUCCACAAACUCAAGCCAUGAGCAGGACAAUUUCUAAUCAUAAGCUUCAUCCUCUCCCAAGAUUGUGCAACGUUUUCAUGAUCAAGUUGCUUGAAAUUCAUGAUAUCGUUACGUAAGGAGAUUAUCUUAGUCGGCGGAAAAUACUUGGAUAUGUAAGCAUCUUUGCACCUAUCCCAAGAAUCGAUACUAUUUUUAGGCAAAGAAGAAAACCAAGUUUUUGCGCGAUGUCGCAACGAGAUAGGAAAAUGUUUCAACUUAAUCACGUCAUUAUCCACAUCUCUUUUCUUUUGCAUAUCACAAAGCUCAAUGAAGGUAUUGAGAUGGGAUGCGGCAUCUUCACUAGGAAGGCCAGAGAAUUGCUCUUUCAUAACAAGAUUCAGCAGAGCUGCGUUCAUUUCAUACGAUUCCGCACUAGUGGCGGGAGCAAUCGGAGUACUAAUAAAAUCCUUAUUAUUAGUGCUCGAGAAGUCGCAAAGUUUGGUGUUUUCAGACAUGAUGUCUUCAACAAACAAACAAGCACACAAGCAAGCAAGAAACCGACAAAGGAAAACGUCAAGGGCAAGAGAAAAAGGUGAAGGAGAAAGGCGAAUGAAAACGGCAAAUGUGAAGUGGGGGAGAGGAAAACGAGAGGCAACUGGCAACAAAAGUAAAUGCAAGAGAAGAGUUUGUGAGACCUACUUGGAUAGAUCUUGAUUUCUCCUCCCCGGCAACGGCGCCAGAAAUAUUUCUGAUGUUUGCUGUGUAUCCCUUGCAAUGGCGCCAGAAAUAGUUGUGUCGACGGCACGAGGAAUCCUUCAGCUAUGGCUAUGCCUUAAGGGACUUCCUAGGCAAGUAUGCAAAGGAUUUCCCCCGUGGCCUUGGAGCCUUGCGUUGGUGUUCCCUCGAAGCGGAAAGGGUGAUGUAGCACAGCGACGGUAAGUAUUUCCCUCAGUUUGAGAACCAAGGUAUGAAUCCGGCGGAAGAGUAUCUCAAGAUCCAGCACAAACACAAAAGCUUGCACCCAACGCUAUGAAGGGGUUGUCAAUCCCUUAUAGAAUGUUUGCCAAGUGAGAACUGAAAGCAACAAAGUAACAAAGCAAAGUAAAAGCGGAGAUGUAAACGAUGGAUGUGAAUAGACCCGGGGCCGUAAUGUUUACUAGUGGCUUCUCUCAUGAAAGCAAGUAGACGGUGGGUGAACAAAUUACUGUCAAGCAAUUGAUAGAACUGUGCAGAGUCGUGACGAUAUCUAUGCAAUGAUUAUUUCCAUAGGCAUCACGUCCGAAACAAGUAGACCGAUACUUUCUACAUCUACUACUAUUAAUCCACACGUCGACCGCUAUCCAGCAUGCAUCUAGUGUAUUAAGUCCAUAAGAACAGAGUAACGCCUUAAGCAAGAUGACAUGAUGUAGAGGGAUAAUCUCAAACCAAUGAUAAAACCCCCAUCUUUUUACCCUUGAUGGCAACUACUUGAUGUGUGCCUUGCUGCCCCUACUAUCACUGGGAAAGGUGACCACAUGGCAAAACCCAAAACCAAGCACUUCUCCCAUUGCAAGAAUCAUAGAUCUAGUUGGCCAAACAAAACCCAAGACUCAGAGAGACUUACAAGGAUAUCAAAUCAUGCAUAUAAGAAAUCAGCAAAGACUCAAAUAUAUAUCAUAGAUAAUCUGAUCACAAGUCCACAAUUCAUCGGAUCUCGACAAACACACCGCCAAAGAAGAUUACAUCGGAUAGAUCUCCAUGAAGAUCAUGGAGAACUUUGUAUUGAAGAUCCAAGAGAGAGAAGACGCCAUCUAGCUACUAACUACGGACUCGUAGGUCUGAAGUGAACUACUCACGAGUCAUUGGUGUUGGGGAACGUCGCAUGGGAAACAAAAAUUUUCCUACGCGCACGAAGACCUAUCAUGGUGAUGUCCAUCUACGAGAGGGGAUGAGUGAUCAACGUACCCUUGUUGAUCGUACAGCAGAAGCGUUAGUGAACGCGGUUGAUGUAGUGGAACGUCCUCACGUCCCUCGAUCCGCCCCGCGAACAAUCCCGCGAUCAGUCCCACGAUCUAGUACCGAACGGACGGCACCUCCGCGUUCAGCACACGUACAGCUCGACGAUGAUGUCGGCCUUCUUGAUCCAGCAAGAGAGACAGAUAGGUAGAAGAGUUCUCCGGCAGCGUGACGGCGCUCCGGAGGUUGGUGAUGACCUUGUCUCAGCAGGGCUCCGCCCGAGCUCCGCAGAAACGCGAUCUAGAGGAAAAACCGUGGAGGUAUGUGGUCGGGCUGCCGUGGAAAAGUCCUCUCAAAUCAGCCCCAAUACCUCCGUAUAUAUAGGUGGGAGGGAGGGGACCUUGCCUUGGGGCUCAAGGAGCCCCAAGGGGGUCGGCCGAGUCCAAGGGGGGAAGGCUCCCCCCCCAAACCAAGUUGGACUUGGUUUGGUGGGUGGGAGUCCUUCCCUUCCUUCCCACCUCCCUUUUUUUUCUUUCUCUUUGAUUUUCCUUUGUAUGGCGCAUAGGGCCCUUUUGGGCUGUCCCACCAGCCCACUAAGGGCUGGUGCGCCACCCUUAUGGCCUAUGGGCUUCCCCGGGGUGGGUUGCCCCCCCCCCGGUGAACUCCCGGAACCCAUUCGUCAUUCCCGGUACAUUCCCGGUAUCUCCGAAAACCUUCCGGUAAUCAAAUGAGGUCAUCCUAUAUAUCAAUCUUCGUUUCCAGACUAUUCCGGAAACCCUCGUGACGUCCGUGAUCUCAUCCGGGACUCCGAACAACAUUCGUUAACCAACCAUAUAACUCAAAUACGCAUAAAACAACGUCGAACCUUAAGUGUGCAGACCCUGCGGGUUCGAGAACUAUGUAGACAUGACCCGAGAGACUCCUCGGUCAAUAUCCAAUAGCGGGACCUGGAUGCCCAUAUUGGAUCCUACAUAUUCUACGAAGAUCUUAUCGUUUGAACCUCGGUGCCAAGGAUUCAUAUAAUCCCGUAUGUCAUUCCCUUUGUCCUUCGGUAUGUUACUUGCCCGAGAUUCGAUCGUCAGUAUCCGUAUACCUAUUUCAAUCUCGUUUACCGGCAAGUCUCUUUACUCGUUCCGUAAUACAAGAUCCCGCAACUUACACUAAGUCACAUUGCUUGCAAGGCUUGUGUGUGAUGUUGUAUUGCCGAGUGGGCCCCGAGAUACCUCUCCGUCACACGGAGUGACAAAUCCCAGUCUUGAUCCAUACUAACUCAACUAACACCUUCGGAGAUACCUGUAGAGCAUCUUUAUAGUCACCCAGUUACGUUGCGAUGUUUGAUACACACAAAGUAUUCCUCCGGUGUCAGUGAGUUAUAUGAUCUCAUGGUCAUAGGAAUAAAUACUUGACACGCAGAAAACAGUAGCAACAAAAUGACACGAUCAACAUGCUACGUCUAUUAGUUUGGGUCCGGUCCAUCACGUGAUUCUCCUAAUGACGUGAUCCAGGUAUCAAGCAACAACACCUUGUUCAUAAUCAGAAGACACUCACUAUCUUUGAUCAACUGGCUAGCCAACUAGAGGCUUGCUAGGGACGGUGUUUUGUCUAUGUAUCCACACAUGUAAAUGAGUCUUCAUUCAAUACAAUUAUAGCAUGGAUAAUAAACGAUUAUCUUGAUACAGGAAUUAUAAUGAUAACUAUAUUUAUUAUUGCCUCUAGGGCAUAAUUCCAACAGUCUCCCACUUGCACUAGAGUCAAUAAUCUAGCCCUCACAUCAUCAUGUGAAUUACAUUGUAAUAAAUCUAACACCCAUACAGUUCUGGUGUUGAUCAUGUUUUGGCGUGGAGGAGGUUUAGUUAGCGGGUGUGCUACAUUCAGAUCCGUGUGCACUUUGCAUAUAUUUACGUCCUCUCCCUCGACGUAGUCGCGGAUGAGGUUGAAGCGUCGUUUGAUGUGUCUGGUCUUCUUGUGAAACCGCGGUUCCUUUGCUAAGGCAAUGGCACCCGUGCUGUCACAGAACAAGGUUAUUGGAUUCAGUGCAAUUGGCACCACUCCAAGAUCCGUCAUGAAUUGCUUCAUCCAGACACCCUCCUUAGCCGCCUCCGAGGCAGCCAUGUACUCCGCUUCACAUGUAGAAUCUGCUACGACGCUUUGCUUGGAACUGCACCAGCUUACCGCACCCCCAUUAAGAAUAAAUACGUAUCCGGUUUGCGACUUAGAGUCGUCCGGAUCUGUGUCAAAGCUUGCAUCGACGUAACCUUUUACGGUGAGCUCUUCGUCACCUCCAUACACGAGAAACAUCUCCUUAGUCCUUUUCAGGUACUUCAGGAUAUUCUUGACCGCUGUCCAGUGAUCCACUCCGUGGAUUACUCUGGAACCUACCUGCCAUACUUAUUGCCAGGCUAACAUCCGGUCUAGUGCACACCAUUGCAUACAUGAUAGAACCUAUGGCUGAAGCAUAGGAGGCGGAGCGCAUAUGCUCUCUAUCUUCAUCAGUUGCUGGGCACUGAGUCUUACUCAAUCUCGUACCUUGUAAAACUGGCAAGAACCCUUUCUUAGACUGUUCCAUUUUGAACCUCUUCAAAACUUUAUCAAGGUAUGUGCUUUGUGAAAGUCCUAUCAGGCGUUUUGAUCUAUCCCUAUAGAUCUUAAUGCCUAGAAUGUAAGCAGCUUCUCCUAGGUCCUUCAUAGAGAAACUCUUAUUUAAGUAAUCCUUUAUGCUCUCUAAAAACUCCACGAUGUUUCCAAUCAGCAAUAUGUCAUCCACAUAUAAUAUUAGAAACGCCACAGAGCUCCCACUCACUUUCUUGUAAAUACAAGAUUCUCCAACCACUUGUAUAAUCCCAAAUGCUUUGAUCACCUCAUCAAAGCGUUUGUUCCAACUCCGAGAUGCUUGCACCAGUCCAUAAAUGGAUCGCUGGAGCUUGCACACCUUGUUAACAUUCUUAGGAUCGACAAAACCUUCGGGUUGUAUCAUAUACAACUCUUCCUUAAGGAAACCGUUAAGGAACGCCGUUUUGACAUCCAUCUGCCAGAUUUCAUAAUCGAAAAAUGCAGCUAUUGCUAACAUGAUUCUGACGGACUUAAGCAUCGCUACGGGUGAGAAUGUCUCAUCGUGGUCAACUCCUUGAACUUGUGAAAAACCCUUUGCCACAAGUCGAGCUUUAUAAACGGUCACAUUGCCGUCAGCGUCCGUGUUCCUCUUAAAGAUCCAUUUGUUCUGAAUAGCCUUGCGGCCCUCAGGUAGUACCUCCAAAGUCCACACUUUGUUCUCAUACAUGGAUCCUAUCUCGGACUUCAUGGCUUCUAGCCAUUUGUUGGAAUCUGGGCCCACCAUUGCUUCUUCAUAAUUUGCAGGCUCAUUGUUGUCUAACAACAUGAUUGAUAAGACGGGAUUACUGUACCACUCUAGAGCAGCACGUGGUCUCGUCGACAGAAACUUGAACUGGAGUUUCAUGAUCAUCAUCAUCAACUUCCUCCUCAACCGGCGUUGCAACGACAGAGGUUUCCCCUUGCCCUGCGCCACCAUCCAGAGGGAUGAGAGGUUCGACAACCUCGUCAAGUUCUAUCUUCCUCCCACUCAAUUCUCUCGAGAGAAACUCCUUCUCGAGAAAAGCUCCGUUUUUAGCAACAAACACUUUGCCCUCGGAUUUGAGAUAGAAGGUGUACCCAACUGUCUCUUUUGGGUAACCUAUGAAGACGCAUUUUUCCGCUUUGGGUUCCAGCUUUUCAGGCUGAAGCUUUUUGACAUAAGCAUCACAUCCCCAAACUUUAAGAAACGACAACUUUGGCCUUUUGCCAUACCACAGUUCGUAUGGUGUCGUCUCAACGGAUUUUGAUGGUGCCCUAUUUAAAGUGAAUGCAGCUGUUUCUAAUGCAUAACCCCAAAACGAUAACGGCAAAUCAGUAAGAGACAUCAUAGAUCGCACCAUCUCUAAUAGAGUACGAUUACGACGUUCGGACACACCAUUACGCUGUGGUGUUCCAGGCGGUGUUAACUGUGAAACAAUUCCACAUUGUCUUAAGUGAGUACCAAACUCGAAACUCAGAUAUUCACCCCCACGAUCAGACCGUAGGAACUUGAUCUUCUUGUUACGAUGAUUUUCCACUUCACUCUGAAAUUUCUUGAACUUUUCAAAUGUUUCAGACUUGUGCUUCAUCAAGUAGACAUAACCAUAUCUACUCAAAUCGUCAGUGAAGGUGAGAAAAUAACGAUAUCCGCCGCGUGCCUCCACGCUCAUCGGACCACACACAUCGGUAUGUAUGAUUUCCAACAAGUCACUUGCAUGCUCCAUUGUUCCGGAGAACGGAGUCUUAGUCAUCUUGCCCAUGAGGCAUGGUUCGCACGUGUCAAGUGAAUCAAAGUCAAGUGACUCCAAAAGUCCAUCAGCAUGGAGUUUCUUCAUGCGCUUUACACCAAUAUGACCUAAGCGGCAGUGCCACAAAAAUAUGGCGCUAUCAUUGUUAACUCUAACUCUUUUGGUCUCAAUGUUAUGUAUAUGCGUAUCGCUAUCAAGAUUCAAUAUGAACAAUCCUCUCACAUUAGGUGCAUGACCAUAAAAGAUGUUACUCAUAGAAAUAGAACAACCAUUAUUCUCUGACUUAAAAGAGUAACCGUCUCGCAAUAAACAAGAUCCAGAUAUAAUGUUCAUGCUCAACGCAGGCACUAAAUAACAAUGAUUUAAGUUCAUCACUAAUCCUGAUGGUAACUGAAGUGAAACUGUGCCGACGGCGAUUGCAUCAACCUUGGAACCAUUUCCUACGCGCAUCGUCACUUCAUCUUUCGCCAGCCUUCGUCUAUUCCGCAGUUCCUGUUUCGAGUUGCAAAUAUGAGCAACAGAUCCGGUAUCGAAUACCCAGGCACUACUACAAGAGCCGGUUAAGUACACAUCAAUAACAUGUAUAUCAAAUAUACCUGAUUUUUCUUUGGCCGCCUUCUUAUCUGCCAAAUACUUGGGGCAAUUGCGCUUCCAGUGACCCAUACCCUUGCAAUAGUAACACUCCGUUUCAGGCUUAGGUCCAGCUUUGGGUUUCUUCGUCGGAUUGGCAACAGGCUUGCCGCUCUUCUUCGAAUUACCCUUCUUUCCUUUGCCGGUUCUCUUGAAACUAGUGGUCUUAUUCACCAUCAACACUUCAUGCUCUUUACGGAGUUCAGACUCUGCGACUUUCAGCAUCACAAACAACUCGCCGGGAGGCUUGUUCAUCCCUUGCAUGUUGUAGUUCAACACCAAGCCUUUAUAGCUUGGCGGCAGUGAUUGAAGGAUUCUGUCAGUGAUAGCCUCUUGUGGGAGUUCAAUCCCCAGCUCAGCUAGACGGUUUGAGUACCCAGACAUUUUGAGCACAUGUUCACUGACAGACGAGUUUUCCUCCAUCUUGCAAGCAUAGAAUUUAUCGGAGGUCUCAUNNNNNNNNNNNNNNNNNNNNNNNNNNNNNNNNNNNNNNNNNNNNNNNNNNNNNNNNNNNNNNNNNNNNNNNNNNNNNNNNNNNNNNNNNNNNNNNNNNNNUAUUAUGUUGUCGCUAAUAUAUGUGUGUUUUAGAUCCUAUCUUGCAAGUUGUAGUCACCUACUAGGUGUUAUGACCCGGCAACCCCGAAGUGACAAUAGACGGAACCACUCCCAGAGAUGACCAUAGUAUGAGGAGUUCAUGUAUUCACCGCGUGUUAAUGCGUUGGUCCGGUUCUUUAUUAAAAGGAGAACCUUAAUAUCUCGAAAUUUCCAUUAGGACCAUGCUGCCACGGGAGGGAUGGACAAUAGAUGGCAUGCAAGUUAUUUUCCCUAAGCACGUAUGACUACAUACGGAAUACAUGCCUACAUUAGAUUGACGAACGGGAGCUAGUUACAUAUCUCUCCGUGUUAUAGCUGUUACAUGAUGAAUCAUAUCCAUCACACUCAUCCAUCACCGCUCCACUGCCUACGAGUCUUUUACUACUGGUCCUCGCUACGUUAUUUUGUCUAGGCUUGUCCCUUGCUACAAGAGGGAUUGGGCCACUUUGCUGCUACUGUUGCUACUGCUGUUACUUUGCUGCUGCUGCUGCUACUGCUGUUCCUUGCUACUUCGUUGUUACUUGUUGCAAGACCUUUUCCGACACCGUUGUCGGGGAAGAAUAUUUCCCGUCCACGGGCAACUUACUUGCGCCAUUGAUACAACAGUUAGGAAUAGUCUGCCGUCAACAGAUCGUUUCUGGCACCGUUGCUAUCAUACUACUUUGCUACUGAUAAUUUUCUUGUAGACACUAAGCUUUCAGGUGUGGUUGAAUCUGAUAAACUCAGAUGCUAAUACUUGAGAAUAUUCUUUUGCUUCCCUUGGCGAACCNNNNNNNNNNNNNNNNNNNNNNNNNNNNNNNNNNNNNNNNNNNNNNNNNNNNNNNNNNNNNNNNNNNNNNNNNNNNNNNNNNNNNNNNNNNNNNNNNNNNUGAGCUUUGUCAGCUGGAUGCCAUCGUGCAAGUAAUGGCUCUGAAGACUCAAUUCAACCUAGGCAGAGAAUGCUAAGAUGCGAUGAUGACGAUAUUUAGACGCUUUCUACCCAAAGGCCAUGUACUGCGUGCAAACCUGUACGAGUCAGAAAAAAUCAUCCGUGUACUUAAGAUGCCCUAUGAGAAGAUACAUGCAUGUGAGAAUGGAUGUGCCUUAUUUAGGCUUGAGUAUGCGGCCUUGAACUAUUGCCCCAUUUGAAAUUCUUCCAGGUAUAUUGUGGUAGACAACGGUAUGGGUGAAAAGAAUCAGACCAAAAUCCCCAUUAGUGUUCUUCGGUAUCUGCCAAUCGUACCAAGACUUCAACGUCUUUUCAUGGUCGAAGAGACGGCCAGACAACAUCGACGUGAUGCACACUGAAAAGAAUAUUGCGGAGGCCAUUUUUGGUACAUUGUUCGGCAUAGAGGGGAAGUCAAAAGAUAAUCCUAAGGCUAGAAUUGACCUGCCGUGAUUCUAAGAUGGAGAAGGAGAAUUACAUGAAGGUAAUUACAUAUUAUUAAGGCUUUGUAGUUAGUUUCCUUGAUUUGGUUCUUACGCGCUCAAAUUUCUCUUUAUUAACUUAGGUGCCCCCGAGAUGGUGUGUGGAUAAGAUGGAUUGUUGGGAGGCCUUGGCGGAUCUGUGGUNNNNNNNNNNNNNNNNNNNNNNNUGGCGGAUCUGUGGUGCUCCGAAACGUGGGAGGCCAGCCAAAACAAUGCCAAGGAGAGGCGUGGCAAAUGGUUGGUGUGCCACACCAUCAAGGGAGAGUCAACUUAAUCCAAUUUGGCGAGAACUGGGUAUGUGGUUUGCUUCAUGCCUCAUGCAAUUCAUUCUUAAUGCUAUAUUGAGCCCUUUACUAAUACAAUUUUCCUCUCUUUCUCUUUUAGGUGCGUCACAAUAAGACGGAGGUGCCACAGAUGUACGACCUGUAUGUGAUGGCCCAUACUGCCUCGUACAAGAAGGUCAAGGCAUUCUCUGAGUCUGACCUCGAGCAUUCAGAAAACUUCACCAACAUCUCCUCCCACCACAAGCUCGUGAAGUACAGAGAUCACGGGAAGGCGAGGAGAGGGAAGGACUUUAACCCGAGCGAGGGGCCUAUUGAUCCAGAGCUGGUGAUGAUAGCUGGCAACGGGAGGCCAUUGGAGACGGCCUUAUACGUUGUCCUAGCACUCUCCGGCAGAUAAAGGCACGCCAAAUGAGCUCUUGUCCGGAGAUAACACCUCGUCCACGGCCAGUCGAGCUCGCCAUCGAGGUUAGUUUAAUGGACUCAACUAUCUUUCCGCAUUAUGUUCUGCGUUGGAACCAAUAUGAUUACAAUGCUAACAAUGAGUUGUGUUGCAGGCUGGUAUUCUGAAAGAGAAAGAGGCAAUGCAGGCGGUUAUGGCGGAGAAGGAUAAGGAGAUGAGGGAGCUGGAGGAGAGGAUGACUGCAUUAGUGGAAGCAGAGAGCGCACGAAAUGAUGCGUCUAACAGGGCCAUAUACGAGCUCUUCGUGGUAAGUUUCUUCUUCAUAUUAUUUCAAAUCUUACAUUUUAAUGUCCGUUUCAUUAAUAACUAAAAAGUUUGACUUGUCGAAACCAAAUGUACAGUCUAUGUGCGAGAAGACCGGCCAAGUCCCUCCGACGAUGCCAGUCAUUAACAUGGCGGGGAUGGUGAGUUUCAUUUCAGUGUAGUGAUCUUAAGAGUGCCCUCAUGCUAACGACACAUUGCAACCGAUGUUUGGUGCAGAAUAUCUCCCGAAACGCAUCGCACGACCCUUCUACAGUGGAGCCUUCUCCAGGGCAGCCUUCUCCAGGUGAAACAAGCCAGAGCCAUCGUGCUUCACCGCCGUGGUGACGGUAAUGGUAUGCUAUUUCUAGUGUUUUAAUAAAAAUAACAUAUACUUAGCUAAGUUCUCUCCUAAAUGACAUAAUAAGGCUUAGGUAGCUCCAGGAUGACCUAUUCCCCCUAACUUAGGUAUCAAAUGGCCUAUAAUUGGCUUAGCUAGAUCCAAAAUAGCUUAAUAAGCAUAGUUUGCUCCGGAAUGACCUAUUUUACCCAAGUUAGCUCCGAAAUGACCUAUAGUUAGCUAGGCAUCCACCUAAAUGACAUAAUUAGCUUAGUUAGCUCCAAAAUGGUCUAUUUAAUAAAAAUGACAUAUACUUAGCUAAUUAUCCUUGAAAUGACAUAAUUAGCUCCAAAAUGACAUAUACUUAGCUAAUUAUCCUCCAAAAUGACAUAUUUAACCCAAGUUAGCUCCGAAAGGACAUAUAGUUAGCUAGGCUUCCACCUAAAUGACAUAAUUAGCUUAGUUAGCUCCAAAAUGACCUAUUUAAUAAAAAAUGAUCUAUACUUAGCUAAGUUCUCUCCUAAAUGACAUAAUAAGGCUAACUUAGCUCCAAGAUGACCUAUUCCCCCUAACUUAGGUAUUAAAUGGCCUAUAAUUAGCUUAGCUAGAUCCAAAAUGGCUUAAUAAGCAUAGUUUGCUCCGGAAUGACAUAUUUUACCCAUGUAGCUCCGAAAUGACCUAUAGUUAGCUAGGCUUCCACCUAAAUCACAUAGUUAGCUUACUUAGCUCCAAAAUGGUCUAUUUAAUAAAACAUGACCUAUACUUACCUAAUUAUCCUUAAAAUGACAUAAUUAGCUCCAAAAAGGCAUAAUUGGCUAAUUUAGCCCGAAGAAGGGGACAAGAGGAGAAGAAAGAGGAAAAAUGACAAGAAGGAAGAAGAAGAAGAAGAGAAGAAGAAGAGAAUAAGAAGGAGAAGGAGAAGAAGGAGAAGAAGGAGAAGGAGUCCUUCUCCUUCUUCUCCUUCUUCUUGUCCUUCUUCUUUUCUUCUUCUUCUCCUCUUCCUUCUCCUUCUCCUCCUCCUUCUCCUCCUCCUUCUUCUUCUUCUUCUUUUUCUUCUCCUUCUUCUUCUCUUCUUGCUUGUUCUCUUCUUGCUUCUUCUCUUUCUUCUUCUACGUAGGUUACUUUCCCCAACAAAAACAUACUUAGCUAAUUAUCCUCCAAAAUGACAUAAUUAGCAUAGUUAGGUAAAAACAUCAUAAGAACCUUGGUUAGCUCAUUAAAAUGACUAAUUUAGCUCCAGAAUGACAUAAUAAGGUCAAAAUGGAUUAAUAACCAUAGUUGGCUACAAAAUGACAUAUUUUAUCCAAGUUAGCUCUAGAAUGACCUAUACUUAGCUAAGUUCUCUCCUAAAUGACAUAAUAAGUCUAUGUAGCUCCAAGAUGACCUAUUCCACCUAACUUAGCUAUUAAAUGGCCUAUACUUAGCUAAGUUCUCUCCGAAAUAACCUAUAUAUACUUCUUCAUCUAGUAUUCUUCUUCUAACUUUCUUAUUUGUCAUUUUGCAGAUUACAUUCACUUCACGGGAAGCUUGGAUUAUAUUGAUGGAAUGCUUGAAUAUGAUUUCUUGUACCAUGGCUUCACGAAAGCUUGUCUUGAAACUAUUGUAGUAUAUGAAUAUAUAUGAAACUUUGUAUGCAUGUGGAUGAAACUGGUGUAAUAUAUGGUUUGGUACGGAUGCAACUUGCAUAAUAUGUAUGUACUAUGGAUGAAAGUUAUGUUAAUAUGCUUAUGAGUACGGAAACAAAUUUAUUUUUGUCAAAUAUAUAUAUAUCCUAAUUAUUGUGAAAAUUUCUGGAUAUAAUAAGAAAUAAAAUAAAAAGGGGUUGUUUUCAGCCUUUGCCGCUGUCCCCUCAUGGCAAAGGGUGGAGGGCAGACAGCAAAGAGGGGAGAGAGAGGGGCUGGUUCUCCCCUUUGCCGUCAGCCUCCUCAUGGCAAAGGGGGAGGGCAGGCGACAAAGAGGGGAGAGAGAGGGGCUGGUUCCCCCCUUUGACGCCAGCCCCCUCAUAGCAAACGGGGGAGGGCAGACGGCAAAGAGGGGAGAGAGAGGGGUUGGUUCCCCCCUUUGCCGUCAGCCCCAUCAUGGCAAAGGGGGAGGGCAGACGACAAAGAGGGGAGAGAGAGGGGCUAGUUCCCCCCUUUGCCGUCAGCCCCCUCAUGGCAAAGGGGGAAGGGCAGACGGCAAAGAGGGGAGGCCUGCCGUUAACACUUAACGGGACCGUUGGUGGAUCUGUCGUCCCAUUUAAUUUGCCGUCUGCCCCCUCAUGGCAAAGAUUCUUUGCCGUCCGCUUUACAAAAGCAGACGGCAAAGAACCUCUUCACCGGAUUUUUUUACGUCUACUUUUCCAUCUGCUGAUGGACGGCAAAGCCUUUGCCGUCCGUGGUUCCCCCCUUUGCCGUCAGCCAUGGCAGACGGCAAAAUUAUAAAUUCCAGUAGUGUUUUGUUGAGCAUAGGAUUGUGAUUGAUGCCUCCAAUACAUAUAGCCAACCAUCAACUCGCCAAGAGAAUGAGGUUGAAUUGCAUGCACCUAAUGCUUGUAGCCAACCACCAAUUAGCCACGCAAAUGAAGUUGAUAUGAUUGCUAGUGAGAAAGUAAUUCAAGAGGAUGGCGAUGGUGAUGUUGAUGGUGAUUUGGAUGAGCUACAAAAAGGGUUUCAUGUUAUUGAUGUUCGUGACUUGGAUGCAUACAUAACGCAAAAGGAGAUGGAUCAUGAGUUACCUUUUAAGCGUCUAUAUGGGUAUGGCUCAGAUGAUGAAGGUAUUGAGGAAGAAUUGGACGAGGAUGGAUUCACGAAGGAGGAAAACCAAAUUCACUUUGAGUUGACUGGCUUGGAAAAAAUAAAUCACUUGUUUCGAGAUCUCGACCAUGGCCAUAAAGCCAUAGUUGAUGGUGGUGUGAGAAACACGGCGAUUGAGCCAACACCUUGCCCUGAUCCAGGGAAACCAAGGGAGGAGAACGAGGACGAGAAUGCUUAUUUGAAGAAAGGAGUGAAGUUUCUAACUUUGGCUCACAUGAAGGUUUGGUUGUGUGAAUACGGAAUUCGGAACCACAUACCAUAUUGUGUGGAGCACUCCGACAUAAAUUAGCAUUACACCGUGAAGUGUGAGCACGAAGAUGAAGGAUGCCCAUGAAAGGUUUGGCUUAUCGGGGUUCUUUACCACGGGUCGUCCAACUGGCAACCGCUGCCACAUCCACACAAAUAGGCUCCACACAAACCCGAAGAAUGAGGAUGUUUCUUUUGUCCUCGUUGGCGGCUGGUCCAACUGCAAUUAAACAUACAUGUUAGCAACGUGUGGUGCAUGAGAAAUGAAAGAUAAAGUCUACAGAUAGCUCUUACCCGGCGAUACAANNNNNNNNNNNNNNNNNNNNNNNNNNNNNNNNNNNNNNNNNNNNNNNNNNNNNNNNNNNNNCUGAACCCCAUCUAUAAUGAGUAUCCCACUCCCUGAGUAGCUCCAAAUAUAUCUAGAGGGUUGAGUUCCUGGUUGCAUCCAUGAAGACUACUUUGGUUAGUACAUACCAAAGAUAGGCCCGAGCAUACUACUGCACAACCAUCUCAUUGGCAUCUGCAGCGCACGGAUUGUUUACUCGUCUCACUUGUUUUAGAUAUGAAUGUUUCACUUUACACCUAAAAUCCUUGCCUUGCAGAGGGGGGGUGUGCUGAACACCAAUUAAAUCAUAAACCCGAGCUCGCCAGUUAAUGGUGCUGACAUGACCCGAAAGAGAAAAACGGUUGAUAGGAAGGCCGCUUAUCAUGGCCAUAUCCUCUAGGUUNNNNNNNNNNNNNNNNNNNNNNNNNNNNNNNNNNNNNNNNNNNNNNNNNNNNNNNNNNNNNNNNNNNNNNNNNNNNNNNNNNNNNNNNNNNNNNNNNNNNGGAAGGGGAGGACUCCCCCCCCUUGGCUCGGCCGACCCCCUUAGGGCCUCUUGAGCCCCAAGGCAAGGCUCCCCCUCUUCCCCCUAUAUAUACGGAGGUUUUAGGGCUGAUUUGAGACAACUUUACCACGGCAGCCCGACCACAUAUCUCCACGGUUUUACCUCUAGAUCGCGUUUCUGCGGAGCUCGGGCGGAGCCCUGCCGAGAUAAGAUCAUCACCAACCUCCGGAGCGCCGUCACGUUGCCGGAGAACUCGUCUACCUCUCCGUCUCUCUUGCUGGAUCAAGAAGGCCGAGAUCAUCGUCGAGCUGUACGUGUGCUAAACGCGGAGGUGCCGUCCGUUCGGUACUAGAUCGUGGGACUGAUCGCGGGAUUGUUCGCGGGGCGGAUCGAGGGACGUGAGGACGUUCCACUACAUCAACCGCGUUCACUAACGCUUCUGCUGUGCGAUCUACAAGGGUACGUAGAUCGAAUAUCCCCUCUCAUAGAUGGACAUCACCAUGAUACGUCUUCGUGCGCGUAGGAAAAUUUUUGUUUCCCAUGCGACGUUCCCCAACAGUGGUAUCAGAGCCAGGUUUCAUGCGUAGAUGUCUUCUCGAGUAGAACACAAAAGUUUUUGUGGGCGGUGAUGUGCGUUUUGCUGCCCUCCUUAGUCUUUCCUUGAUUCUGCGGUAUUGUUGGAUCGAAGCGGCUCGGACCGACAUUACUCGUACGCUUACGAGAGACUCGUUUCAUCGCUACGAGUAACUCCGUUGCUCAAAGAUGACCGGCGAGUGUCGGUUUCUCCAACUUUAGUUGAAUCGGAUUUGACCGAGGAGGUCCUUGGAUGAGGUUAAAUAGCAAUUCAUAUAUCACCGUUGUGGUGUUUGCGUAAGUAAGAUGCGAUCCUACUAGAUACCCAUGGUCACCACGUAAAACAUGCAACAACAAUUAGAGGACGUCUAACUGGUUUUUGCAGGGUAUGCUUGUGAUGUGAUAUGGCAAACGAUGUGAUGUGAUAUAUUGGAUGUAUGAGAUGAUCAUGUUGUAAUAGUUAAUAUCGACUUGCACGUCGAUGGUACGGCAACCGGCAGGAGCCAUAGGGUUGUCUUUAAACUAACAUUUGUGCUUGCAGAUGCGUUUACUAUAUUGCUAGGACGUAGCUUUAGUAGUAAUAGCAUGAGUAGCACGACAACCCCGAUGGCGACAUGUUGAUGGAGAUCAUGAUGAUGGAGAUCAUGGUGUGACGCCGGUGACAAGAAGAUCGUGCCGGUGCUUUGGUGAUGGAGAUCAAGAAGCACAUGAUGAUGGCCAUAUCAUGUCACUUAUGAAUUGCAUGUGAUGUUAAUCCUUUAUGCACCUUAUCUUGCUUAGAACGACGGUAGCUUUAUGAAAGGAUCGAUAUGGUUGGCUAGAGGGGGGGUGAAUAGACAACGANNNNNNNNNNNNNNNNNNNNNNNNNNNNNNNNNNNNNNNNNNNNNNNNNNNNNNNNNNNNNNNNNNNNNNNNNNNNNNNNNNNNNNNNNNNNNNNNNNNNAACAUAUAAUUUGUCUACGUUUGAAAUUUUAAAAUAUAAGUUAGAUCAGAUUUAGUUUAAACCUUGUUUUGCCUAUUCCAGGAGUUUAAAACUAUAUUUUAAUUUGCUUCCUUUUGGUACUGAUCACUAGUGAUCAUAUUCAUCAUUGGUAAAAACUUCAGAUUUGUUUGAGUAUUUUAGCUCAUUAUUUCAUGUGAAACAAUUUCUGUUUCGCCUCUUUUAGGAUUUCCGCUAAUUCCUUUUCUAUUUUUGUUUUCAUGAAAUCAAUUCUAGUUCCUUAGUAACUUGCAAUUGGUUUCCGCAUUCUUUCAAAUCCCGUUUGGGAAUACUUUCAAAAGGUUUUGUGAAAAAUACUUUAUUUUAUCCUAGUUAAACUUAUAUCUUAGUUCCUUGUUAUUAUUUUCUGUUAGACAAAACUAUUUAGUGUUUAACGUAGUAGAAGACUCCCUAGUCUUAUUUGAAGUUUCUUUCGGAAUUCCUAUUCACUUUCUUCUUCGUUUUGAUUGCUAGAAUGAUUGCUAGUAUGAGUGCUUAUGUGAAUGAUAUGUUUGUUAUAUAGAUUUCAUCGGAGAGUGACGAGUAGUCUAUCAAGUUAUUUUCUCGAGAAAUUCUUCUUCGUCAACAUCACCAGGCAAGUCACUUUGAUCAUACUAUCACCUAUAUUUUAUGCAUCGUAGUUCUACCAUCCUAUGCCCAAUUGCAUGCUCCUUAGGUACUUGGAAAUUUUAGUAUAGAUUGUAGUAUCAUGUGGUAGGCACACAACAACCCCGAUACUUGGCCCGGGACGACAAUUUUCUUAAUGCUAUGCUUGAGUAGACGGGUUAUCGGUUGAGUGUAUAUCACGAGUGAUGCGAGGUUGAUAUAAUAAUCAAGACCGGCUAAGACAAGAUUUUCAAGACCUCGGACGCAAUGCAACUCUGGGUGAAGGACGGUUGAUCGGCUCCCUGGAGAACCCAGUGGAUGCCCGGGAUGCUGGAGAGGCCAUGUCAUCCUGCGGAAAGCUUCACCCAGGCUCAAAGAGACGGACGGAUAUUUUCAAGACCCAAGGNNNNNNNNNNNNNNNNNNNNNNNNNNNNNNNNNNNNNNNNNNNNNNNNNNNNNNNNNNNNNNNNNNNNNNNNNNNNNNNNNNNNNNNNNNNNNNNNNNNNUAGCCCAAAAGUUCAAAACAAAAAAAAUCCACCUGACGCACGGGUGAGCAUAUUGCAGCCGUACCUAGGAUAUGCGUGUUGCGGGUCCAGCCAGACAUGGAGUUGUGAAUAAAUGGUGGACAAAAGUUAAUCAUUAACAAUAUAGGCAUAUAAGAAUUGAAAUGUAAAGUGACCAGAAUAUACCCAACUAAUGGAUGGCUCUCUCGCUCAUAGGUGUAGAUGCAUCCAUUGUCCAAAGGCAUCUUCAAGGUCGAUCCACAAACCGUCGGCAUAUGUCGGUGGGGCGGUCCGGACACGAUGUUUUUUUGCAAACUGGAGAUAAAAGUGGAGAAGAUUUGCGGAAGUACGGACACGUGAAACGUAUGAAUCCGACACCCCUGGCCCAUCCAAAACGUUUUCUGGACCCCACAACUUCAUCCUCCUCAUUUUUUCUCCUUUUGUUUUUCUCUCUUGCCUUCACCGCCGCUCCAUCGCCCCAGCCACUACGCCAUAGCCCUGCCGGAACUCUACUUCUCCGUCACCUCUGGCGCUUCAGGAAGGCUCCCCACCACUUCUCCUCCAUCUCCGUUCAACCCCUGUCCUCCGACCGUCCCGCCAGGUACCAUCCUCUACUACUAUACUCACCAUGCCCGUAACUAUUUGAUGAAUCACGAGAGCUCAAAACAGUUGUCACUUCUUCUUUCUAGCAAUGGAUUCCAAUUUGGAGUACAUAUACGAGCAAUAUGUUGAGUCAUUCGACGGCUCGUCGGAUGAGGAGGAGUACUCUAAUGAGACGGUGAUGAUGCACGCGGUCCUUGAAGAUGCAGAGCGUGCGGAGGAGCAUGUUUUCAAUAUCAAGGGCUCAAACAUGGGUGAUACUAUCCAACUUCCUCACGAGAAUACGUCNNNNNNNNNNNNNNNNNNNNNNNNNNNNNNNNNNNNNNNNNNNNNNNNNNNNNNNNNNNNNNNNNNNNNNNNNNNNNNNNNNNNNNNNNNNNNNNNNNNNUGCAAGCAAUAAAAAUUGCUCUCUAAUAUGUAUGAUCUAUUAGUGUGCAAGCAAUAGAAAUUCUUCUUUGAUUUAAGACAUUACUUCUAGGAUGAUCCUCACCUUUAUAAGGAAGGAGUAGAUGGUGUUAUUAGACGUUGUGUACCUGAACAUGAACAGGGGCAGUUAUUAGACGUUGUUUACCUGAACAUGAACAGGGACAGAUCCUACAGAAGUGUCACUCCGAGGCCUACGGAGGACACCAUGCUGGAGAUAGAACUGCACACAAGGUAUUGCAAUCAGGUUUCUAUUGGCCCACUCUCUUGAAGGAUGCCCGUAAGUUUGUCUUGUCUUGUGAAGAAUGUCAAAGAAUAGGUAAUAUUGGUAAACGUUGGGAAAUGCCUAUGAACUAUUCACCUGUCAUUGAACCAUUUGAUGUGUGGGGCUUUGAUUAUAUGGGACCUUUUCCAAAAUCCAACGGGUAUACUCAUAUCCUAGUUGCUGUUGAUUAUGUCACUAAGUGGGUAGAAGCUAUCCCCACUAGUAGUGCUGAUCACAACACUUCUAUCAGGAUGCUUAAAGAAGUUAUUUUCCCUAGAUUUGGAGUCCCUAGAUAUCUAAUGACCAACGGUGGUUCACAUUUCAUUCAUGGUGCUUUCCGUAAAAUGCUUGCUAAGUACGAUGUCAACCAUAGAAUUGCGUCUCCCUAUCACCCACAGUCCAGUGGUCAAGUAGAGCUAAGCAAUAGAGAGAUUAAACUAAUUCUGCAAAAGACUGUCAACAUGUCUAGAAAUAAUUGGUCUAAGAAGCUCGAUGAUGCACUGUGGGCUUAUAGAACUUCCUAUAAGAAUCCCAUGGGCAUGUCUCCGUACAAAAUGGUGUACGGUAAAGCAUGUCAUUUACCUCUUGAGCUAGAGCAUAAAGCUUAUUGGGCAAUCAAAGAGCUCAACUUUGAUUUUAAACUUUCUGGUGAGAAGAGGUUAUUUGAUAUUAGCUCGCUUGAUGAGUGGAGAACUCAGGCAUAUGAGAAUGCCAAGUUGUUCAAAGAAAAGGUUAAGAGGUGGCAUGAUAAGAAGAUACAAAAGCGUGAGUUCAAUGUAGGUGAUUAUGUCUUGCUAUAUAAUUCUCGUUUAAGAUUUUUUGCAGGCAAGCUUCUCUCUAAAUGGGAAGGUCCUUACGUUAUCGAGGAAGUAUAUCGUUCCGGUGCCAUCAAAAUCAAUAACACAGAAGGUAAUUUUCCUAGAGUGGUAAAUGGGCAAAGAAUCGAGCAUUAUAUCUCCGGUACUCCCAUAAAUGUUGAGACCAAUAUCAUCAAUGUCAUAACUCCAGAGGAGUACAUAAGGGAUGUUUAUCAGCCUGUUUCAGACCCUGAAAACGAAGAGCCUGUUUCAGACUCCGAAAACGAAGAGGUAUGUGAUUCGGUAAGAAAAUAGACUCCAAAACUUUUCCAGUAGAAAUUUUUCUCCGUUUUGGAAUUUUUGAAAAAAUAGAAAAAAUUGGAAGUAGUCCGGAAAGCGUGCGAGGGGGCGACAAGCCUGCCAGGCGCGGGCCCAUCCCCUGGCCACGCCUGGGGGGCUUGUGGCUACCUCGUGUGCCUCCCAGACUCCGUUUUCAUGUGGAGUACUCCUUCUGGUCUGGAAAAAAUCAUUAUACAUUCUCCCGAAAGGUCUGACCCUCGUAUCACGCAGAUUUCCUCUAUUUACAUUUCGAGCCCCUUUGUGUUGCAGAUCUAGAUCGCUAUAACGUCCCCAAAUGCUCCGAAGGACAAGAUCUUCGAGAAGGUCAUCAAUCCCUACCUCACGGGAGUGCUGCAACACCCUCAAUCUAUCGAGAUGCGUGAGGGGAUGCUGCACAUCCGUGAUGUUGAGGGGCCUAAGAAGACUAGAAGCAUGGAGGCGAGGCUCGAAGCAAUGGAGCAACAGGUCUUCAAGUGCCAAGGGAUGGUGGAGCGUGGACUUAACGCCAACCACAUGAUAAUCACGGAGUUCACCAGCAAGCACAGGAUCGAUGCCAAUGAGAUUGGGAAGCACCUCUCUAGGCUCUAUGACAUGAUUGAUCAACUCCAUGCCCAGAUCCAUGACCUGCAGAACCAAAACUGUGAGUAUGAGUAUAUAUUUAAAUCAAUACGGUUGGCUACAGAUUUGAGGAUUUGGGAAACUCGUUCAUCUUUCCAUGAUGGAGCACCUAUGCCUUGGAAGACGGAGAAUCAAACCCAUGUUGCAACAACUCCGCCACCAUCACCUCCAAAGGAAGAGAACUAAGCAUGGGUAUGGGCAAUCCCCUUGGCUUUUGCCAAGAUUGGGCGAGUUGCCCCGGUAUCGUAUCACCAUCACAUCUUUUGCCUUUACCUUUUCUUAGUUCGUUCCUUUUUGGUUUUAUCUUUCUCUAGUAGAAUAAAGUUCUUAGUGUUUUAGGCUUGAGUUUUGCUUUGUGUCACCCCCGAUGUAUUUAGUGUUUUAGUCUUGAGUUUUGCUUUGUGUCACCCCAAUGUAUUCGAGCUCGCGAGCCAUAUAAUAAAGAGAGUCUUAGUUGAAGGGCUUUGCCUCUUGCCAUGAUCAAAAGAGUGAGAAAAGAACAAAAGCGUGAAAGAUCAUGUAAUGAUCCNNNNNNNNNNNNNNNNNNNNNNNNNNNNNNNNNNNNNNNNNNNNNNNNNNNNNNNNNNNNNNNNNNNNNNNNNNNNNNNNNNNNNNNNNNNNNNNNNNNNUGGCGCCUUGGUAGCUCCCCUCUGGUACUUCUUUCGCCUAGUAUUUUUAUAUAAUCCCAAAAAAUUCCAUGUAAAUUUUCAGGGCAUUUGGAGUUGUGCAGAAUAGUGGACUAAGAUUUGCUACUUUUCUAGUCGAGAAUUCCAGCUGCCUGAAUUCUCCCUCUUCAAAUAAACCUUGCAAAAUAAGAGAGAAAAGGCAUAAAUAUGGUACCACAAAGUAAUAUAACAGCCCAUAAAGCAAUAAAUAUCAACAUGAAAGCAUGAUUCAAAAUGGACGUAUCAACUCCCCAAGCUUAGACCUCGCUUGUCCUCAAGCGAAAACCAAGUUCCAUAAACAUGUCCACAUGUUUAGGGACGAAGGUGUCGAUAAAACAUAAUACGGACAUGAGGGCAUCAUGAUCACACAUAGAACAGCAAUACAACAUAAAGUAUCUUCAUCAGCACCAUCUCAUCUCCAAAUCCUAGUUCAUCUCUUGUAAUCAAUCUCCGUCUCGUGACUCCGAUUGGUACCUGUAAGGUUGCUAGUAUUGUUAAUUACUCUUUGUACUUGAUGCUAGUUAGAUUACUUGGUGGAAGAUUAUAUGUUCAGAUCGUUGAUGCUACUUGAUACGUCCAUUUUGCAUCAUGCUUUCAUGUUGAUAUUUAUCACUUUAUGGACUAUUAUUAUACUUUGUGGAACCUUACUUAUGCCUUUUCUCUCUUAUUUUGCAAGGUUUAUUUGAAGAGGGAGAAUACCGGCACCUGGAAUUCUGGACUGGAAAAGGAGCAAGUCUGAGUGCUCUAUUCUGCGCAACUCCAAAUGCCCUGAAAAUCAACGUGGAUUUUUUUCUGGAUUUUAUAAAAAAUACUGGGUGAAAGAAGUGUUAGAGGGGAGAAACCAGGGGCCCACAAGCCUGGUUGUCGCGGCCUACCCCCCUGGCCGCGGCAACAGGGCUUGUGGGCACCCUGGCGGCCCACUGGCCCCCCUCUUUUGCUAUAUGAAGGGUUUCGUUCAAGAAAAAAUCAAUCGGGAGCUUUUUCGUGGAUUCUCUGCCGCCACGAGGCGGAACUUGAGCAAAUCCAAUCUAGAGCUCCGGCACGCCGAUCCUGCGGAACUUGAGGAGAUCCAAUCUAGAGCUCCGGCAGGACGAUCCUGCCGGGGAAAUUUCCCUCCCGGAGGGGGAAAUCGUCGCCAUCGUCAUCACCAACACUCCUCUCGUCGGAGGGGAGGCAUCUCCAUCAACAUCUUCAUCAGCACCAUCUCCUCUCCAAUCCCUAGUUCAUCUCUUGUAACCAAUCUCCAUCUCGCGACUCCGAUUGGUACUUGUAAGGUUGUUAGUAGUGUUGAUUACUCUUUGUAGUUGAUGUUAGUUGGAUUACUUUAUGGAAGAGUUUAUGUUCAGAUCCUUGAUGCUAUUCAUUACACCUCUGAUCAUGAUUAUGAUUAUGCUUUGUGAGUGGUUACUUUUGUUCCUGAGGACAUGGGAUAAGUAAUGCUAAUAAUAGUCAUGUGAGUUUGGUAUUCGUUCGGUAUUUUGAUAUGUUGUAUGUUGUUUUUCCUCUAGUGGUGGUAUGUGAACGUCGACUACAUAACACUUCACCAUAUUUGGGCCUAGAGGAAGGCAUUGAUCGACUACAUAAAACUUCACCAUAUUUGGGCCUAGAGGAAGGCAUUGGGGAGUAGUAAUUAGAUGAUGGGUUGUUGGAGUGACACAAGCUUAAACCCCAGUCUAUGUGUUGCUUCGUAAGGGAUUGAUUUGGAUCCACUAGUUUAAUGCUACGGUUAGACGUUGUCUUAGUUCUUCUUUCGUAGUUGCGGAUACUUGCGAGAGGGGUUAGUCAUAAGUGGGAUGCUUUUCCAAGUAAGGGCAGUACCCAAGCGCCGGUCCACCCAAUAUCAAACUAUCAAAGUAACGAAUGCGAAUCAUAUGAACAUGAUGAAACUAGCAUGACAGAAAUUCCCGUGUGUCCUCGGGAGCGUUUUUCCUCUUAUAAGACUUUGUUCAGGCUUGUCCCUUGCUGCAAAAGGGAUUGGGCCACUUGCUUCACCGUUGCUACUACUUGUUACGUGUUACUUUUUGCUUGCUACGUUUCACCUCACUACACCAUCACUUGUUACCGCUACUUUCAGUGCUUGCAGUUAUUACCUUGCUGAAAACCGUUUAUCAGAGCGUUCUCCUCCUCGUUGGGUUCGACACUCUUACUUAUCCAAAGGACUACGAUUAAUCCCCUAUACUUGUGGAUCAUCACUCUACGAUAGAUCCCCUAUACUUGUGGGUCAUCAAGACUCUUUUCUGGCGCCGUUGACGGGGAGUGAAGCGCCUUUGGUAAGUGGAAUUUGGUAAGGAAACAUUUAUAUACUGUGCUGAAAUUUAUUGUCACUUGUCACUAUGGAAACUGUUCCUUUGAGGAGUUUGUCCAGGGUAUCUUUACCACGAACGGAAGCACGAGGAGUUGUUCCUCAAUCUGAGGUACCUACUGAAAAUAUCUUUUAUGAAAUUCCUUCGGGUAUGGUUGAGAAACUCUUGGCUAAUCCUUUUAUAGGAAAUGGAUCAUCACAUCCAUACUUGCAUCUGAUCUAUUUAGAUGAAGUUUGUGGUUUAUUUAAGCUUGCAGGUUUGCCCGAGGAUNNNNNNNNNNNNNNNNNNNNNNNNNNNNNNNNNNNNNNNNNNNNNNNNNNNNNNNNNNNNNNNNNNNNNNNNNNNNNNNNNNNNNNNNNNNNNNNNNNNNAGGCCAAAAUUGAAGGAAGCACCGGUAAGAAUUCACAACUGAAUGGGAAAACCAAGAAUUAAUGGACAUACAUGAGAAUGGAGAGUUCAUGAGCCACCUGAGAGAAAACUUGAAAAAGGCGCCUGAAUAACCGAGAGACGAACGAAGAGACAACAAUUAAGAAGAAUUGAGGAUGAAGAUGAAAGCUGAGAACGAAGAAUCUUCUAAAAUGAUGGCCUUCGGAGGAUCGAGAAUGAAAACAACUCAGAAAAGCACCGGAUAGCAAGAAAAGGGAUUACACAUGAUUGGAACAAAUAAGUUGAUGGCACCAAGCUGAAAUGACGAAUCACCAAGAGAAUGAACCAAGAUUCGAGAGAAACACUCCUUCAGAUUUGCAAACUGAGAAUGAUGACGAGAAACAACACCAAGAAUACUGAGACACUCCGGAAUAAGAACAAGGAAAAAUUUAGCCAAUGACGACAAAUAAAUUUGAAGCGAUCUUGAAGAAGGAAUAUGACUGAUGAAAUUCGUACUUACGUCAUAGUUAAAAGAAUUAAUGAUCUCCGGGAAAAGAUUAAAAGAGACAGGAAAGAUCCUGGGAAAGAACCUGUGGGUUAUGGGCCCACUCAAAGAAAAUCACCGUUGAAACAAUAGCUAGAACGAGAGAUAUUGCACCGGAAUAAGAAAACUAGAUGAGGUUGAGAACCUUGAAAUAAUGAAAGACCUGAAACAAGAAACUCUGAGGUAUCUUCAACGCUCUGGAUGGAAUAGUGAUAUAACUGAAUAAACAAGAUAGGCCGAAACGAAUCUCCAACAUAGGAAAGAAUUACAGGGAUGAAUGGAUAUGAUGACACGGACAACUAAAUUGAAUUCACCGGAAAAAUGACAAGAAUGAAUAAAGAUGAACAUGAAGCUCCUGAGAAUCUUCACGAUGAAUCACCGGCUACGAAAGGAAAAAAGAGAUAGCGGAAGCACAAUGAAAUGAAUGUGCUUGGAUGAAAUCCAAUCACCGAAGAAAAAAGGGCGGGAGUGCGGGGAAAAACAAAGACUACUUGAGACAGAAGAGACGAACUCCGGAUGAAAAGAGAACGAUCUUGCAAAAAAAAAUUGGAGAGGAUAGAAUCCACUUGGAGAGAAACACACCGGUUGAAUGGAAUUGACAUGACGACUCCGGUUGACAAGAAUUAACAAGAGAACUGAUUAAGCAAAAGGAUUUGCAUUAUCAUAUAAAAAAUAUGAGAACACAGAUUAGGAAAGAUCUGAAAUCACCACUUGACAUCGAAGCAACACGAAUUACCACAUUCCAACAAAACAAAGGGUGAGGCUUAUGAAACAAGCCAGAACAAACUCAUGAGAAAGAUUUCGUCCAAUAUUUUCGUGGACAGGAUCGCACGGGCACGAUUUACAGAAGCCAUCAAGUGCAAGGCAGUGCACCUGACAUACGAAGCGUCCCCGAGUCGUAGCAAGCUACAAGGACUCUUUAAGACACAACGUGUACCGCUGUAAGUCGACCGUGAACAAACGAAUCCACUAGAUGUCGAACCCCAACCUAACAUCAUUUAUUUGUUGGAAGAUUGUCCUAUAAGCAACUACUUGAAUUCCCAACUAUGAAUUCCCGNNNNNNNNNNNNNNNNNNNNNNNNNNNNNNNNNNNNNNNNNNNNNNNNNNNNNNNNNNNNNNNNNNNNNNNNNNNNNNNNNNNNNNNNNNNNNNNNNNNNCCCAUGUCCUCAGGAACAAAAGUAACUACUCACAAAGCAUAAUCAUAUUCAUGACCAGAGACGUAAUGAGUAGCAUCAAAGAUCUGAACAUAUAAUCUUCCACCAAGUAAUCCAACUAUAAUCAACUACAAAGAGUAAUUAACACUACUAACAACCUUACAAGUACCAAUCGGAGGCGCGAGACGGAGAUUGGUUACAAGUGAUGAACUAGGGUUUGGAUAUGAGAUGGUGCUGAUGAAGAUAUUGAUGGUGAUGAGUCCCCUCCGAUGAGAGGAGUGUUGGUGAUGACGAUGGCGACGUUUCCCCCUCCGGGAGGGAAGUUUCCCCGGUAGGACGACCCUGUCGGAGCUCUAGAUUGGUUCUGCUCAAGUUCAGCCUCGUGGCGACACGGGAAUUUCUGUCAUGCUAGUUUCAUCAUGUUCAUAUGAUUCGCGUUCGUUACUUUGAUAGUUUGAUAUGUGGUUGGACCGGCGCUUGGGUACUGCCCUUAAUUGGACAAGCAUCCCACUUAUGAGUAACCCCUCUCGCAGGCAUCCGCAACUACAAAAGAAGAAUUAAGACAACGUCUAACCGUAGCAUUAAACUAGUGGAUCCAAAUCAGCCCCUUACGAAGCAAUGCAUAGACUGCGGUUUAAGCUUCUGUCACUCCAGCAACCCAUCAUCUACUUACUACUCCCCAAUGCCUUCCUCUAGGCCCAAAUAUGGUGAAGUGUUAUGUAGUCGACGUUCACAUAACACCACUAGAGGAAAAACAAAUAGUCGACGUUCACAUACCACCACUAGAGGAAAAACAACAUACAACAUAUCAAAAUACCGAACGAAUACCAAACUCACAUGACUAUUAUUAGCAUGACUUAUCCCAUGUCCUCAGGAACAAAAGUAACUACUCACAAAGCAUAAUCAUAAUCAUGAUCAGAGGUCUAAUGAAUAGCAUCAAGGAUCUGAACAUAAGCUCUUCCACAAAGUAAUCCAACUAGCAUCAACUACAAAGAGUAAUCAACACUACUAGCAACCUUACAAGUACCAAUCGGAGUCGCGAGACGGAGAUUGGUUACAAGAGAUGAAGUAGGGAUUGUAGAUGAGAUGGUGCUGAUGAAGAUGUUGAUGGAGAUGCCUCCCCUCCGACGNNNNNNNNNNNNNNNNNNNNNNNNNNNNNNNNNNNNNNNNNNNNNNNNNNNNNNNNNNNNNNNNNNNNNNNNNNNNNNNNNNNNNNNNNNNNNNNNNNNNCUAUUGCUUGCACACUAAUAGAUCAUACAUAUUAGAGAGCAAUUUUUAUUGCUUGCACGGAUGACAACUUACUUGAGGGAUCUUAUUCAAUCCAUAGGUAGGUAUGGUGGACACUCAUGGAAAAGAAGUGCGGAUGACAUUCAAUUGCUCAUCAGGAAAGCUAUCAUCAAUAGGUAGUGGGUCAUCAAGGACAUUCUCUAGCCUAGACAAGUUAUCUGCUACAGAGUUAUCAGCACCCUUUCGGUCAACAACGUGCAAAUCAAAUUCCUGUAGCAGGAGAACCCAUCUGAUUAACCUAGGCUCAGCGUCCUUCUUCUCCAUGAGGUACUUAAUAGCAGCAUGAUCAGAGUGAAUAGUGACUUUGGAGUCAACUAUAUAAGAUCGAAACUUUUCACAUGCAAACACGACUGCUAAAAACUCCUUCUCCGUAGUGGCAUAGUUUCUUUGGGCACUGUCUAGAGUUUUACUAGCGUAGUGAAUGACAUUCAACUUCUUCUCAACUCUUUGUCCUAGAACAGCACCAACAACAUAAUCACUAGCAUCGCACAUGAUUUCAAAGGGCAAGUUCCAAUCAGGUGGUUGAACAAUAGGUGUGGUUAUCAAGGCCUUCUUAAGUAUUUCGAAAGCUUCCUCACAAUCCUCAUCAAAAACAAAAGGAACAUCCUUCUGCAAGACGUUGGUAAGAGGCCUAGAAAUCUUAGAGAAGUCUUUAAUGAACCUUCUAUAGAAACCAGCAUGACCUAGGAAACUUCGUAUACCUCUGAUAUCUGUGGGGCAAGGUAUUUUCUCAAUUGCAUCAACCUUAGCCUUAUCAACUUCAAUGCCUUUCUCAGAGAUUUUGUGUACUAAGACGAUGCCUUCAUUAACCAUGAAGUGGCACUUCUCCCAGUUCAAGACGAGGUUGGUAUCUUUGCAUCUCUGUAAGACUCGGUCAAGGUUGCUGAGGCAAUCGUCAAACAAAGAACCGUAAGCGGAGAAAUCAUCCAUGAAAACCUCAACAAUCUUUUCACAAAAGUCAGAGAAUAUAGCCAUCAUACAUCUUUGAAAGGUGGCAGGUGCAUUGCACAAGCCAAAAGGCAAACGUCUAUAAGCAAAGGUACCGAAGGGGCAGGUGAAAGUGGUUUUCUCCUGAUCAAAUUGUGCAACAGGUAUUUGCGAGAAACCUGAAUAACCGUCUAGAAAGCAGAAGUGUGUGUGUUUAGAUAGCCUUUCUAGCAUCUGGUCGAUAAACGGCAAAUGAUAAUGGUCUUUCCUGGUUGCCUUGUUCAGUUUCCGGAAAGCUAUCACCAUCCUAUGGCCCGUAAUAAUCCUCUGCGGGAUUAGUUCAUCCUUAUCAUUAGGAACGGCGGUGAUACCUCCCUUCUUAGGUACGCAAUCUACUGGACUUACCCAAUCACUAUGAGCAACAGGAUAGAUGAUUCCUGCUUCCAGAAGCUUUAAUAUUUCUUUUCUCACGACCUCUUUCAUCCUCGGAUUUAAGCUCCGUUGAUGAUCAGCAACUGGCUUAGAAUCAGGAUCAGAUUUAAUCUUGUGCUGACAUAGUGUGGUACUAAUACCCUUAAGAUCAUCAAGAGUAUAUCAAAUAGCAGCACGGUGCUUCCUCAAGGUCUUUAAUAACUUCUUCUCUUUGUGAUCCGAGAGGUGAGCACUAAUAAUAACAGGAUAUAUCUCCUUCUCAUCAAGAUAGGCAUACUUAAGAGUAUCUGGUAACUGUUUUAGAUCGAACACAUGAUCACCCUUUGGUGGGGGAGGAUCCCCAAGCAAUUCAACAGGAAGAUUAUUCUUGAGAAUAGGAUAUUGCUCUCAAACAAUUUUAUCUAUCUCAUCUCUUUCCUCCAUAUGCAUAUCAUUUUCAUGCUCAAGCAGAUAUUGCUCUAAAGGAUCCGUAGGAGGUACGACAAUAGAGGCAAGAGCAAUGAUUUCAUCCCUACCAGACGACUCUUUUUCAUGGGGUUGUCUUCCAAACUUGGAGAAGUUAAAUUCAUGAGACACACCCUCGAAACUAACUAUGAUAGUUUGCUUCUCAGAGUCAAUAUGAGCAUUGACAGUAUUGAGAAAAGGUCUGCCAAAUAUGAUGGGACAAUUGACAGUGUUGAGAAAGGGUCUACCAAAUAUGAUGGGACAAAAGCUAUCUUGUGAAGUGGCAAGGACGAGGAAAUCAGUAGGAUACUUCGUCUUACCACACAUGACUUCUACGUCUCUCACAAUUCCCAGAGGGCAGAUAGUGUCUCUAUUAGCUAGUGUAAUAGUGACAUCAAUGGGUUCUAACUCAGUAGGUGCAAUCUCAUCUUUGAUUUCAUCAUAUAGGGAACGGGGUAUUGCACUAACACUAGCACCCAUAUCACAUAAACCAUGAUAACAGUGAUCUCCUAUCUUGACAGAAACAACGGGCAGGCCAACUACAGGUCCGUAUUUGUAUUUCGCGUGAGGCUUAGCUAUUCUAGCAGAGCCCUCACAGAAUUUGAUAACAUGCCCAUCUAUGUCUUCGGCUAAGAGAUCUUUGAUAAUAUCAACACUAGGUUCAACUCUAAUCUCCUCAGGGGGUGCAAGUGGUCAAAUGUAACCCCUACGUAUCACAGUUGGAGCUUUAGAAUAAUCCUUUUUCCUAGCAGGGUAAGGUGGUUUCUCAGGGUAGGCACAAGGAAUAACAGGAUCACUAAAAGCAAUGACUUUCUCCUCAACUAGAUUGGUUUUGGCUAUGUUGCUUUCUACAGGAGGAUGAUACUUAAACCACUUCUCUUUGGGAAGAUCAACAUGAGCAGCAAAAGAUUCACAUAGAGAAGUUACUAUCUCAGAGUCAAUUCCAUACUUAGCGCUAAAAUCUGUAGAAGUGUUUGUCGCAACAAAGGUUUAACGCAAUCAAACUGGAAAUUCAUACCUCACUCCUUACCUUCUUCCAGCUCCCAAUCUUCAGAGUUAUGUUUCAUUCUUUCCAAUAAAUUCCACUUAUGGUCAAUAUCCUUCUUCAUAAAAGAACUGGUACAAGAAGUGUCAAGCAUGGUACGAUCUUCAUGGGAAAGUGCUACUGCAACAAAAGACCUUCCAAUGGCGCCAGAAAUAGGAGUGUUGCUUGAUACUCCUCAGCAACGGCACCAGGAAUCCUUCAGCUGUGGCUACGCCUUAAGGGACUUCCUAGGCAAGUAUGCAAAGGAUUUCCCCCGUGGCCUUGGAGCCUUGCUUUGGUGUUCCCUCAAAGCGGAAAGGGUGAUGUAGCGUAGCGGUGGUAAGUAUUUCCCUCAGUUUGAGAACCAAGGUAUCAAUCCGGCGGAAGAGUAUCUCAAGAUCCUGCACAAACACAAAAGCUUGCACCCAACGCUAUGAAGGGGUUGUCAAUCCCUUAUAGAAUGUUUCCCAAGUGAGAACUGAAAGCAACAAAGUAACAAAGCAAAGUAAAAGCGGAGGUGUAAACGAUGGAUGUGAAUAGACCCGGGGGUCGUAGUGUUUACUAGUGGCUUCUCUCAUGAAAGCAAGUAGACGGAGGGUGAACAAAUUACUGUCAAGCAAUUGAUAGAACUGUGCAGAGUCGUGCCGAUAUCUAUGGAAUGGUUAUUUCUAUAAGCAUCACAUCCGAAACAAGUAGAGCGAUACUGUCUGCAUCUACUACUAUUACUCCACACGCCGACCGCUAUCCAGCAUGCAUCUAGUGUAUUAAGUCCAUAAGAACAGNNNNNNNNNNNNNNNNNNNNNNNNNNNNNNNNNNNNNNNNNNNNNNNNNNNNNNNNNNNNNNNNNNNNNNNNNNNNNNNNNNNNNNNNNNNNNNNNNNNNGUGAGAGGUCAAAGUCUUCCAUGCACACCUCUUGACUCUUCUUUGCACCGGCGCGUCCUGCAGCUCCUGCUCAACUGGCUGAUGGACACGUCUCCGGCUCUCCGCUCCGCUGCGUCGUCAACAUCCACCCCGGCUGGGCUGAUUGAUAGUACUGAAGAUGAACCGUCUCUCAGGCUGACGCUGACGUCGAUCGGAUCCGAAACCUGUGGCCAGAUCCGUCUCGAGCACACACGAUUGCGAGGCUUCUUUUGUUUGCCGUCGUAGUAGUACGUAGUCGAGGUGCAUUAAUUUAUUCGUCAGUGCAUUUUCUGCAACUUCAGUUGCAUGGUUUAAAUAACGAUGCAGGCCUCCACCGGUCAGCUGAUCAGUAUACGCAUAAUGAAAACAGAGUCACACGGGAGACGUCGCCAGUGCAUUGCCAUCGCUUCCCCGUAUCCACUGCCUCCGAAAAACAAACAAAAAUGCGCCGAGGGAAACGUGGGUCAAUCUUGCCGCCCGCCGUUUCCCCGCAGUUUCCCGGUGCCGGAGCCGAGCGAAGUCACCAAGAAGGAAGGGGCGUCACCUCGCUUGUCGCCUCUGAGCACAGUGAAGUUAGAUUGUCACCGAUCCGGUGCUACGCCACAGCACAGCCCUGCUGCCCGCGGCCACCAAGGUCAAAUCUGUUGCACCACAGUACAUCCUUCUUAGUUCUUACCGUCCUCCCCCUGAUCCAAACCCUCGUCGCCAAAUGCACGGUCACGGCACCGGCAGCCCGGACGGACACACCACCGCGCUCCCCGUUCGUCAACGCGCAGUCGCCUGAACUUUCUUGGCUCUCCCGCGGCAGCGACGGCUCUCAAACACCUUGGCUCUCCCCUCGUCCACCUCCACACACCACCCCAACCCCGAAGGCACACACGACGCGCGCGCGUCGGCCUCACCAGUCACCACACCACCCACCCAACUUCUGAGCUUCCUCCCUCGCCGGCGCGCGCACAGACGCGCCCACCGCGUGCGCUCCCCUCCUCGCCGAUGAAGCCGCGGGACCUGCUGGAGCGGAUCAGGCAUCCCUUCGGCUCGUCCCGCCCCCCGGCGGCGGGGGCGGCGCGGCAGAAGCUCGGGCAGGGCGGCUUCGGGCCCGUGUACCGGGGCAGGCUCCCGGUCCCCGACGGCCGGGAGGUGGCCGUCAAGCGGCUCGGCGCCGGGGCCAGGCAGGGCGCGCGGGAGUUCAAGAACGAGGCCAACCUGCUGUCCCGCGUCCAGCACCGCAACGUCGUCAACCUGCUCGGCUACUGCGCCCACGGCGCCGACGAGAAGCUGCUCGUCUACGAGUACGUCCCCAACGAGAGCCUCGACAAGAUCCUCUUCUCCGCCGCCGCCCCGCCGCGCUGUG
rnacentral:lncRNA from 1 species